AUGGGUACGAGUUCAUAGAAAGAGUGUAAAACAGCUUAGUGCUCGUGCUCAAUGGGACAUUGCAAGGAUGUUCCUCAUUUGCUAAGCUUCGGAGGCCGGCCAUGACUUGAACCGAUGCAUCUGUGUCAUUGUAUGCAGGAAGAUGAGGCAAGGAGGGAGGUGAAGAUGGAGUGUAGUAACCCCUAUACUGUACUAUAGCUGUGGUGGUUGUGUUAUCAUAGAAGUCUUGAUAUUUCGGGGCAACAGAAUAAGUUAUAGCCGCCAUGUAAUAGUGAUCCGGGCGUUGGUUAGCUUCUAGUAAGACAUCAUAGGUUUGGCCAGGAAAUAUUGUGAUAUAAUCUCGUGUCAAUGGUUUUGUGUAGCUACCAUCUGUUCCAACCACUGUCAUUUUAUGCUUGGCUAUGCCGAAGAAGAGAGCCUCGUGCAAGGCAGCAUUGAUUAUGCGAAGUAGAUAGGUCUUUCCACGAUCCACCGUUAGCUUGAAUGUGCCUGCAAUUAGAAAGGGAAAGUUGUAUACUUAUGACUAGCCAAAAGAAAAAGAAAAAGUUUCCAUUAGAAUCCACCAAUUAUGAAGUGAUUGAUUGAUUAAGGGUGUAAAUUUGGCUCCAUAGUUCAAAAUUAUAUUUGGACUAGCCUUUUUUGAUGUGUUAAAUCAUGGCUCUACCAUCCUCAUAUCUAUAUUCCUCUUUCUUAGCAUUAACCUUUAAAUAUGUUGAUGUUAAUAAGAAAAAGUAGUAUGGUUAACAUAUAAGAAAAUGAAAUCGUGUACAAUUUUAAAAUGGGAAGUUAAACUUUGUACCUGAUUUUGAGCAUGGAUAUAGAUCACCAGGUUGUCCAUUUAUCAAUAAAGCAUUAGAGGAGUUGGGGUCACCUCCGGUUGCAAGCCCUUGAUCUCGAACCUCAUUCACAUCCCUCUUCCACCACUCUCCUGCAUUUCAACAACUUCAAUAAUUUUAGAUUUUGCUUGGUUGGUUAAUUCAUAAUAUGUAAAUUAACCUUUAAAAGUAACAACACUUAUACCUAAUAUGAUGGGGACUUCUGCGUUAGGUUUGUGAAAAGGAUACUUGGUUCCAUUCUUGGGAUAGAUGAUUAUAGCUCCAUGAACAGUGGCUCGGGUCCAGUCACUGUGAGCAUGCCACCAUAGAGUGCCUUCCUCAGUGGAAAGGAUGAUCUUCUGGGUAAACUUUGACCCUGGCUGAAUUGGGCAUUGUGUGAUAUACUCGGGACCAUCUGUCCAUGGAUAUCUAGGCAUGGUCACCCCAUGCCUGCAAAACCAUAACUAUACGUUAAAGCUAGUACUAAUUUUCAAAGUAACAAAAGAUAGCAUGCAACAAGCAUCAAUUGUAUUUCAAUGGAACUGAAGCAAAUAACCCUAAAGUAUUGUUUUAAAUUUGACUUUAUUUUUAAAGCAAUAUAUUGCGGCUCCCUCUUAGAAAGAAAAGAAUGUAAGCCAUGUCUUUCUCUAAGAUACACACAGGACCUACCAGUGAAUGGUGAUGUUUUCUUUUCCCCUGUUAUAAACAUCGACAAUGAUCGUCUCUCCUUUCAUAGCAUAUAUAGUUGGUCCCGGAAAUUGUCCAUUUACUGUUAAGAUGUUCUUGGCGCUACAAAGCCUUGUAUAUGAAGCUUCCCUCACCUGCAACCAAUUAAAAGUUAACCAUGCAACCUCAUCCCAAAAGAAAUAUUACAAGUAUGAAUAGUUCCAUCGAUCUAUUCAUGUAAGUGUAUAACCAAUUAGAAAUUGAUGGCAUGCAUGAAUGACUCAACGGCACCCAUAACAUGCAUGAACAACUCAAUGACACUAAGGUAAGAGGUCAUACGGUAGAAAAUGAGAGCCAUACUACUAGCUAAAUAUCAUGAUUAGAAGGUGGCGUUUAGGCCAGAAUCAUAUAUAAUAUUUACCACAAAAGUAAGCCGACGGGUCGAAGCUUGGCAAUGGAUGCCACCACCAAAAACUAGAAACGCUAAAAUUUGCAAGAGGAAAACCUUCAUGAUCAGCCACAUUUUCCUUGGAAUAAAAGCCUCUUCUCUUGUCCUAAACACAACUCCUUCAAUUCUCUUACUACUUUUGAUAUAUUUCUUUCAUAUAUGAUUCAUUAUAUAGGCAUGGUAAUUCUCUCGGGAUACAAUACUUCCUCUCCACGUGUCAAUAUAAGAGGAAGUGAUUUGAAUGUGUAUUGGUUUUCAAUGUUCUUAUGAUAUUUCUUACAAGUUACCUACACGUUAUCUUAGAAUAAAUUUAAAAUAUUCUUUCACAAGUCCAACAAAUGUUAAUUAAUUAAAACUUUGACCUCCCGUAUGAGUACCCUUAUCAAGAUUAGUCAUGAAUACUGUUUUUUAUUGACAACUACUUUCAAGAAUUAUUUUAAAAUUAUUUUUAUAAACAUUAUUUAACCAACCCUUAUUAUUAAUUUUACUUGUUUUCGUGUUACUUAAGAUAAUUAAUAGUGCAGAACCCAUGACUUUGGUGGUUGGUGGCAAAGUUGUUUUCGUAUUGUUACUUAAUACAAUUAGUCAUGAUCAUUGUUUUCGUCUGAAUGGGACAAAGUUGGUAUUUCAGAAUUUUCCAUAAAAAGCACAAAAAUAUAUUUUGUAAAAAGUUGAAAAUAGGAUACGAACAACCCCUUGUAGCAUACUUUUUCUCAACAAAAAGAAAUUUAAUAAUAAUAAUAAAAAAUAAUUAUAGAUUUAAAAAAAAAAUAUUUUUCAAAACAAAUGCAAUCGAAAAUUUAUUUCUUCGAAUGGUAUGUAUAUCUUGAUUAAAUAAAUAAAUUAUGGAAAGACUUAUGUAUUUUUAACUUAUUUAUAAAUAGAAAAACUGAUGAAUAAAUUUUAAGAUGUGUAAAAAUUUGAUCAAGUUAAUUUAAACUUUUUUAUUUUUUCACUUUCUUUCUCCUAUUUUUUUCACUUGUCAAACCCAAGAGUCCACCACAUGAAUAACCUUAACUUACAAAUCCAAAAAGUAAUUAGUUGACAACUUUCUCAAAUUGAUUCAUAACAAUAAUUAGAGCAUAAAUAUAUAUAUAAAUUUCUAAUCCAAAACUAAUUAAAAAUAUCUAAAUAGUAAAUUCAAAGAUCAUCCCCAACACUUUGAAGAGUUUUAGAAAUCAAUACUAAAUUCAAUCUUAAUUUAAAACUCCUAAAUAAUUAAUUGCAAAGCAGAUUUCAAAUGAAACACCCUUCUUAUCUUAAUUUCCCCUCAUUAAUAUCACUUAUAUCUAAAAAAGGGAAAUAAUAGAGAAGAGUGAACUUAAAACUCAGUUGGGAAAAAUAGUUCAAUGAGGAGGAUCAAGUAUAGUAUAAAGCUAAAUCCUAGGGCAUAUCACAUCUUUAUAAAAAAUAAAAAAAUGAUAAGUAGGAGUUCAUUUAAUUCAAUAAUUAAAUUCACUUUCUUUAAAAUAUUAUGCACUAGAAGUUCAUUUAAUUCAAUAAUUAAAUUCACUUUCUUCAAAAAAUAUUCGAACUAGAGGCUUGAAUUGAACCUUGGCUACCACUUGGCUAAGUUGUUAUUUAUAAAGAUAUGUUUAAUUUAAAUAUCUUAAAAUUCACUAUUUUAAAAAAAAAUUCUAAUUAUUUUAUUUUAAAAUUUAUUUAAUUGAUUAAUAAAAAUAUAAAAACCAACAUAAUAAUUUUUCUUAAAAAGUCUUUUUUAUAUCAUUUAUAUGAUAAUUAAAUACAAAAAAUAUAAAUAUUAAAAAAUCAUAGAUGCAUCAUAAUUUAUUUUACAUUAUUAAACACAUUUAAAUUAAAUAGAUUAUAAUUAUAAUAUUAAAUGUAUUAUCAUUUAUCUCAUUAAUUCUAUUUUUUUUAAAAUAACUAUCACUUCACUUUUAAAUUUUUUAUAUUUAUCCUUUUAAUUUUGCAUGUCUUUAUUUUAAAAUAUUAAAAAUAUAAAUUUAUUCAAAAAAUACUAAAAUAUAAAAAAAAAUUGAUAAUGAAGUUCUAAUACUUUAUAAAUUAAAAUUAAUUUGAUAAGAUAAAUAAUAAAUCAUAUAUUAAGACUGAUAUAACCUUGCUUACGGAUAUUUUCCUCAUUAACCAUACCUAUGUCAAUUAUGCUUAUAAAAUAACUUUAAUAUGUAUAUUUUUACUUAUUUUUAUCAUUUUUUUUUUGGAGUUUUCAAAAUAUUUCUAUGAAUUUUGAAUAAAUAAUUUUCACCUUACCGAAUUGUUGUCAAAAUAUCAAUCGAUAUUCUGAUAUUUCUAAUAUAUCCGUAAAAUUUAUGUAUCGAUGUUUUCCGAUAUUUUAAUCCUAGAGUUUAGACUAAUAACACCCUUAUUAGUUAGACUUACAUUAUAUCACUAUCCUCACCAAAGGUAACUAAGGUUAACAACUUCUCUCUUGUUGACUAGGUCCACUAAUAACUAGAGUUUCAAAAUUUAGGGAAUUUAAACAUUUUGAUAGUUUAAAAAUAGAUGAAAAAAAUAAGGAAUUUGUAUGGCUUACCGUACCAUUAACCCCUACCUUGAAGAUAUCAUUCAAAAUCCUGAAAGAUUUAGUCUACUCCUAAUAUAAAUAUAAAUAAAAAAUAAUUAUUAAAGACUAAUUAUCUAAAUUAAUGUCUUCCUAAAUUUUUUGUAAAACUUAUUUUAAUUCCAAACUCUCUUCUAAAAAUCUACAUUUUUUAAUUAAUUUUUUUAUUAACCACCCACCCAACUCCAACAAUAUUUAAGUAAUUAAUAAAGUAAAUGAUUGAAUUACAAUGAACAAGUAUAAUGAUCAAAAUAAAAAUUUUACUGUUUUUUGUUUUAAUAUAAAAUCAGACCUCUAAUUGAACAAAUCAUUUACUGUUUAAAAAUAUUCUUAAUAUCUUCUUUUUCUUUUUGUGUUUUUAAAAGUUCAUUUUUAUUUUAACUAGAUCAAAUAAUAUUUGUAUAAUAAUGCCUUUAACAUACAUUUUUUUUUAAUCAAUAAUACCAAAUAAACAUCUCAACAAAUAUUAUAUAAGAUGAUCAUUAAUUUCACUAUCUUCAUUUUAUUUAUGUUAUUCUUCUUUAUUCAGUGGAUUUAAUUAUGUGUUGUAAAAUGAACAAGGACCUCUAUAGUUAUAAUCUCACCUAAAAAGUUGGAGAAGUUAUCUCUACAUUUAUGGUUCAUGCAUGAAAUAAAUUGUUUUUGUACUUCCAUCAUCAAAGAUGCAUGUAUGUCUAUCAAUGGCAAAAGAAUCUAUGAGUUCAAGAAAAAAAUGAAAAAAAUUUAUAUGUUUUUUUAAUUCAUUUCAUUUUUUUAUUUUUCUAUUCUAUAUAAAAAUUCAAUAUAUAUAACUUUUUAACUAAUUUUAAUUAUAUUUUUGUUUCAUAUUUUCUAUAAUAAAUCAAAAAUUAAAAAAAGAAGACAUUUUUUAAUAUUUCAACCAUAAUAAGGUGGGCAUAAUUAAUUUUUAAUGCUAGGAUAUCCUAACAACCUAACCUUAAAAUUUUCUUAAAUAAAUAAUCACUUUACUAGUCAUAUAUUUUUUUACUCCACCCUAUUGUGAUUGGCACCAUAGUAUUUGUUAUACUUCGAAGCAUUUUGGUAUGAUUCUUAUCUCAUAAUAAGUCAUUUUUGAAGCAAACCCAACAUGCUUGAUAGAAAUCCUCUUCCUAAAUGAACCCCUAGGUUUCUUAUUUAUGAGUGUUGGUACAUUAAGUUAUAUAGUUUAAGAUUGAUAAUUUUGUUUCAUUCAUUUUGACUUAGGGCUUUUUUAGAUUAUGUCUCGCUCUCCUUUGAAAACUCGAAGUUGUUGUGUGAUCAACUGGAAUAACAAAGGUAAGUAUCGAAAGGUCUAGAAAGGCAAAUUAGAGUUAGUUAAGGUUGGCACGAACGUCAAGUUCUUAAACCGAGUUAAAUGUUUAUUAAAAUAGUUUUAAAGAACUCCUUGAGUGCUUUAAUGAUGCAGAGAGCACUUAAGCACUCCUUGGAGCACUCAAGUGUGAUAGAAUUCUUUAGAAUUUCAAAGCUUUGAUUUUCCAACUUUUACAAGCUUUAUUUUUGGAAAAUUCUAAAUCCAAUCCACUAGGAUCUUGGCCUAAUAAAUACCUUGCCUAAUGAGGAUUUUCUCUUUUUGAUGUUAAUGUUUCAAAAAACCUAGUUUGUCAUCUUGUUCCCAAAACUUUGAAAGAUGAUUGUCUUCACUUUUACUAGGUUGAGAAAGAGAUUUGCAUCUCAACAAAUACUAAAUUAAGUAAGAUUCACGAGGAGCAUAAGUGGUGUUGUGCUACAAAUGUGAAGUAUAGUAGAGGUGAUAGUGAGCUCAUGACCUAGAGUCGUUUGCAUCCUUCACAUCCCUGAGAUGCUUCAUUUUCAUUAUUCUAGCCACUUGCGAGUGGCCUCAACCCGACACUAUGAGCCGGAAAGCAUCCUGAUCGGCUAUCCAUUUAAAGCCAUAAUCUCAUGACCUAGAGUUGUUCUUUUUAUUUAUGACCCAGAGUCAUUCUUUCCAUUUAGAGCCCUGGGCUCAGGACCUGGAGUUGUUCUUCUCAUUUAUGACCUAGAGUCAUUCUUUCCAUUUAAAGCCUUGAGCUCACGACCUAGAGUCAUUUUUCUCAUUUAUGACCCAGAGUCAUAUCUUUUCCAUUUAGAGCCAUGAGCUCAUGACCUAGAGUCAUUUCUCUUCCAUUUAGAGCCUUGAGCUCACGACCUAGAGUCGUUUUUCUCAUUUAUGACCCAAAGUAAUUUCUUUUCCAUUUAGAGCCCUGAGCUCACGACCUAGAUUCGUUUUUCUCAUUUAUGACCCAGAGUCAUUUCUUUCUAUUUAGAGCCCUGAGCUCACAACCCAGAGUUAUUCAUCUCAUCCAUGACCUUGAGUCAUUUUUUUCAUCCCUUUCCAUCUUUGUGCUACUCAUCACAAACCUUUCUCUCUUUACUGUCAUCCCCCCUCAUAGAGUUGUUCCAUCCUUGUUGUUGUAGCCUCGUGUUUCGAUCUUACUCUCAUCAUGUGCUAGGACAAAAUCUCUGGUCCUUUUUUAGUUCUUUGGUAUAGUUCACUUCGUUCCACUCAUUAUUCAUAUUUCAACUCACAUUCUCUACACUCGUGAUCUUUACUGAAGAGGGGAAUAUUUGUAGACCCUCCAUUUUGUCCCUUUAGCGCAUGUCUUUAAGUUCACUUCCAGUGUUCCAUAGUGGUUCUUUGAUGACCCAUUACUACUUAUGUAACUUAUUUUUUUUGAGCCACUUUGAGGACUUUGGUUGAAGGGUUUAUCUAACUUCACAUUAUGACCUUAGCUGUCAUUCAAGUUUAGAUUAGACUUCACUUAGGUGCACUUUAGGUUAGACUUAGCUAGGCUCACCUAGUCUCACCCUAGGGUCGUAUAGAUAUACCCAACCCAUUAGGCACCAUCUUAGGUCCACUUAGACACUUUAGGCCUGUCUAGGUUCACUUAGGCCCAUUUAAACACCUUAGACCCAUCUAGGUUCACUUAGGCCCAUUUAGACACUUUAGGCCAAUUUAGGUUCAUUUAGGUCCACUUAGGCAUAGUUGGCCUACUAGACAUUUUUAGCGUGACUUGUAUGAUUGCAUGGAUCAUUUAUCUCAUUUACUUAUUUAUUUAUUUUUAUUUAUUUUAUUAUUAUUAUCAAUCACUUAUUUAAUCAUUUAUUAUAUUUUUAUUUGUUUAUUUAUUUUAAUUUAUUUUUCAUUGUUAUCAAUCACUUUUAUUCAUUGAGUUAUUUAUUAUUUGUUUAUUAUCUUGUUGUUUAUUCGUUUAUUUAUUAUUAUUAUUAUUUUAUCAUUCUCUAAUUUAUUUAUCUAUUUAUUUAUUUAUUUAUUUAUUAUUCCUUUAUUUAAUUUGAUAAUUUGAUGUUUUUAUGGGAAAACUGCAAUCGGAGGAAAAAGAAUUUUGAAAUUGGUAAGAAUUUGAAAAGGAAAGGAACUCUUCAAAGAUGGGACUCUUUACGUCAUAUGCAUGGAUUCACUUUUGAAAUUUUGAAAGAAUUUUUCUGGUGGAUGAGAUAGAAUUUGGCAAAGAGGAGUCCUCAGUUGGGACGACUCCAAUUGCUAUAAAAAGCAUAAACUGGUGGUUUUGAAGGGGGAGGGGAUUUUCUGGAGAUUGUUUUUCAGAGGGAGAAAGGAAUGAAGCCAGAAGGAGAGAUCUGAGACCACACACGAGUGGGGAUUUUCCUGCUGGAAGGAGGGCUUUGCCAGAUACGUUUGUUAUAGAUUCCUUCAUCCCCAUUAUCCUCUUGUUAUCAAUUGAUCUUCACUGGAUUUCGAGUUUUGCCUGGAUCCUUGGGUUUAGAAAGGCGGAGGUUGUACGUUUGUUGGCAUUGGUGCUAGAUUGCUUAUAUGAUUCUUGUUGUCGACUUUCUUUUUUUUUCUAUGGAGUUCCUUAGUUUUGGUUUGAGAAUAAAAGGUUCCUUUCUUUUUAUUAUAUACUGUGCUUUACAUCAGAAUCGUGGUUGUCUUUGUUUGCUUGAAUCUUCUUGUGCUUUUUCUCACCAUUCCAAGCCCGUUGAAUAAUCAUGAAAUGUGGCAUUACCAUGUUCUUGUUUUUACUUGAUCUCUCCUCCUCUCUGUUUCAUUCAUUUCUCGUUUCCGCACCUUCCCCUGUUUUUCUUGUUCUGGCAGUCCACUAAAAGUGCUAACCUAGCCUCCUUGCUUAAGACGGCCAUCCCUAUGGUUAUAUAUGGCUACAAAGAUCAAGCAGAAUAGAGAUUUGAAUUUGCUUCAAACUCUCCCACUUGCCAAUCUCGGAACGUAUGCGGUAAUGGAGUUCUACUAGGGUCAAAUUUUCAGAAACAACAACAGCCAGGCUUUCCACAUGAGGAGCAAUAGUAUUGAUGCACAUUAGGGAAUGACUCAAUACCUGGAGAAGUUAGUCAUUGAUUUAUCAGGGCUGGUGACUGGACCGGAUUGCUGUCGCUAGGUCUGGUAAAGCAUUGGCAUUUGGAAUUUCUUUCUCUGCCUGGUGAUGCCUUUGGUUCCAGCAGCUCAAAAGACGCAGGGGUUUGUGAUAAUGAAAAGAACGUUUUCUGCUUAAAUGGGAAGUCAUCGACCUUACUGAAUGGAAUUGGAUAAAGGAGAAGGAACUCCAAGAAACUUGGGAGUAAUGUGCAUGGAAACUUCAUUUUUCUUGCAAAGUCGUGGUUCCUAUAAAAUCAUAUGAAGCUUCAGGUUCGCUUUCAGGUGACGCGAUAUGAUUCUACAUAUCGCAAUGCAGAACGGUAUGGCAAUGCAGAACGGUUUUGUUUGAAACUGGGCGAGCAGGUCUACCAGUGAUGAUAGCAAACCCGAGAGUAGCUACACGUACAUGCAGAUUCUACAUGCAUGGUUAUCUUUUGGUGUGCCCCCACACAUGCAUGUGUCACAAUCAGGGUGAAGAAAAAAUGUUUCCAUGGAGACAGAGAUAGGUGGCAGUGAAAUAAGGAGAAGGUAGCUGUUGGUGAUGUUACAUAUGUUGAAGCCCAUUGUGGAGCAGUUAAAAGGGUGGGCAGAAGUGAUGCUUUUGCUACAGAAUUUGACCUUGAGGCGGAAGAGUAUGUUCCACUUCUUAAAUGAGAGGUUCACAAAAAAAAAGGAGAUGGUUCAGGAUGUAACACUUCAUGACCUGGAUAUUGCAAAUGCACGGCCUCAAGGUGGACAAUAUAUUGUCCCUAAUGGGUCAGAUGAUGAAGCCCAGGAAAACAAAAAUCACUGAUAGGUUACAAUAGGAAAUUAACAAGGUUGUUAACCGUUACAUUAAUGAAGAUGUGGCAGAGCUUGUUCUUGGGGACCUAUUUAUUAAUGAGGUACACAUGUUGGAUAUGGAGUGUUUUUCAUAUUUGAAUCGUGCUCUAGAUACCUGACUGUCUCCAAAUGUAAUUUUUGCUGGAAAUAGGGGAAUAUAUAAUGUAAGAGGAACCGAUGUGAGUAUUCCUCGUGGCAUACCUGCUGACUUGUUGGACUGGUCGGUGAUUGUACGGACGAAAACUUAUGAUCCUGCUGAUAUGAUUCAGAUUUUGACGAUUCGUGCACAGGUGGAGAUGAAUAAGUGGUUUUGAAGAGUGACCCUUCAAUGCAGUCCUAAGGAUGGUUGUUGGGAAGAGAUAGUUUGUUAAUGGGGUCCACGCAAAUGAAGAAGCAAGACAUGUCAUAGCAGGCUUUACGCAGUUCGUACAUCUCCUCGAGGCCCGUGUUCCAUCUGAUGUCUUUCCAUUUGUAGAGUGGAUAGAUUUGGACGGCUAUUUGAAGUCUAUGAAGCGUGUAGCCAAGCGGGUGGACAGUCUACAAGGUUGGGUAGAAGAACAUGUUAUGAAACCUAAGAGUGACCCCAGCAGCGGGUAGGACUUCAUUGAUGUGAUACUGUCUAUUCUCAAAGACGAUUCCGCGUUUAGCCAUACAAGGGAAACUAUUAUCAAAGCAACAGUAGUGAAUCAACAUUGGCAGGGUCAGUAAGCGUGGUUGUUCUUUAUCUAUUUCCCAGAUGAAGAUUAUUGAUGAACCUGUUGAGAAGCUUUUCCUUUGGGGUUAUAUAAUGCAUCGAGAUAUUGUAAAGGAGUGGACGCUUAUAGUUUGGGCCUUGUGGAUGUUAUAGUUGCUCCAGAUCAGUUAGUAAAGACUGCUCGCCAACUAGAUAUUUUAGAGUGUAGAAGACCAUGGGUUUAUAAUCUUUACAAGACUGGCAAGUUGGAGCCCCUAGGGAAAGCAAGGGAGAUGCUCAAGUUUGCAAGAACUCAGGCACAGAAACAGGCACUAAAUUUGACGCACCCAUUAGUUUGCAUUGAUGUUAUUGAAGCGGGUAUAGUUUCUGGUCCUGUUGCUGGACUUUGGAAGGAGGCUGAGGCUUUUCAAGAACUUCUACGCUCUGGCAUUUGCAAGUCCUUGGUCCACAUCUUCUUCGCUCAAUGAGGAACCACAAAGGUUCUUGGGAUCACUGAUCUGGGUUUGGUACCAAGACGAAUAAACAAAGUAGCUAUUCUUGGAGGAUUGAUGGGAUCUGGAAUAGCAACAGCAUUGAUACUUAGUAAUUAUCCGGUGAUCCUGAAGAAAGUAAAUGAAAAGUUCUUACAAGCUGGGAUUGGUAGAGUCCGAGCUAAUUUGCAAAGCCGUGUCAAGAAAGAGGCAAUGACAAUCGAAACUGAUGCUACUUCUGCAAGUGUUUCAGCAAGUUCCUAGAAUGAAUUAAGCUUACCCUCUAUAGAGGCAAUUGAAAUGGAAACAAGCAAGCAGACAAAUUGUUCUGCUAGUGUCUCCAAGAGUUAUCAACACUCCCCAAGCUCAUCCUAUGAGAAGGCAAUGACAAUAGACGCAACUGGCCUUUCACCAGGUUGUAGUGAUUGUCAGUCUAUGAUCAACUCGGUGAAGCAGCAAAGAAACAAGAACUUAUCAAUUACAGACCUGUUUUCCAAGUAUAAGAGUUCUCAACAUGCUCAAAGCUCAGCAUAUGAGGAGACAAUGUAAGAUAGCGGUGGUUCUUCUAAUGAUGGUCCAUCUAUGGGCAGCGUGUGACAGCAAUGUGAAACCUUAGCAAAAUAGUCAACUGAUUAUCUUGAAGUAAGCGAUCUAGAAUUCAAGGAUUUCACUAAAAAGUAGAAUUGUGAGCAGAAAUCCAGCUACAGCUAAAGGUAAUGGCGUCAGAAGUCCAACUGGAAACAUCAGCAGAAUAUCCAGUAAGAGAUAUUAUUGAUAUGGUUGCUGGAUUGCCUCAAACCCUAUGAAGACAGGGCACAUAUGCAUUUGCCACUCUAACGGGAGAUGUCUCUUACAGUGAAGAAGUUUGGAAAAUCCUUCUCAUGACUGUGCGAACUAGUAAGGAUGACGUUGAAACUGAUUCUUCCUCAGGAUUUGAAAUUGAUUCUUAUGAAGACUUGCUCGCACCACUGUCCAAAACCAAAACUGCCUUGCUUGAAAUCAAAACUGCAUUAAUGGAACACUGAAGUCUAUCUAGACAGUCACGGUUAGAAUGUACUGGUUGUGUCUUUCCUCCCAGGCAUUAGCAUGCAACGGCAGUUCUAGGUUCAAAGAUACAUGUAUUUGGUGGACUUGACAAUGAUGCAAUCUCUCCAUCCUUGCGUGUCCUUGACACGGGCGAUUUGCAGUGAAAUGAGAUACGUGUCCAUGGGGAAUGGCCUUGUGCUCGUCAUUCUCACUCAUUGGUUGCCUAUGGGUCUAAAUUAUUUAUGAUUGGGGGUGCAAUGAUGGCAAAGCUCGUGGGGAUCUGUACGGUUUUGAUGUUCAAACACGUCCAUGAAAAAAAUGAAGUGGCAUCAGAAGAACUCCAUAUACAAGGUUCUCCCACUUAAUAUUUAUCUACAAAAAUUAUCUUGGCAUUAUUGGGAGUGGUUCUUUCUUAAGUCCAUCAUCAUAUUCAGCGGCAAACAUGGUCAGGUAGUGAUGAUGUGGACCUGCAUUUCUCACGUGCGUCCCCACUUGAUCGGGCAAGACUCACUUUAAAUUGGUGAAAAAAUUGGUUUUGGAAAAGUCGAAGUCGCCACUUAUUUUAUUUUAUUUUAAAGGGAAAAUAAAACAAUAAAUAAAACCCUAAAAACAUGACUUCAUAGUUUUUGGAAAAACGUGUCUUUGAAAAACCCGAGUCUAGGUCCGAGGAUCAGGUUACCUAUUAGGAAGACACCUCUAAAAGGUAGCACCCCUCUAAGCCCUACAAAGGUCUCUACUGACUAAGUUGAGAUAAAUAUGAUAAUUAAUUAAUUAAUUGAAGAUAUCUACUAAGGUGAUUUCAAAAAAAUAGCAUGUCAAACAAGAUUAAAUUACAAUAAAGGAGAGUUAGGAUGCAUACACGAACCACUUCUCAAGCGCUAUGAUAAAACAUCAGAAUUAGUAUAGAAAUAUAACACACGGCAUAUAUUUAAUCAUAGCGAAUCAAGCACACAUCUAAGCAUCUAAGGAUCAUAUCAAGCAUAAAUAAGGCUCACGACAGCAUGCAUGUUCAUGGAAUUCCAAAAAGUAAUGAUAUAGAGCGUACCUGGAUAGCAUGCAUAAUUUAUAUGAUUUCUCCAAAAAUGCUAGAGUGAUUAGGACAAGUAUGAAUUAUAUAACAUAGUCAUUAUGUCCAAUACACAGUACCAAAGCCAAAAUUGAGCCAAGGUAAGUCAAAUGACUCUAAAAAUAAAUAACCAAUUCAAGUAAUGUAUACAAGAUCAUCAGUAUGCAAUUUGAAAAGGGAGCAUCAAAAAAACAAUUUCUAAAAAAAUGGCUUAGAAUGGAAUUUAAUAAUGAAAAACAUCAGGAAACAACUCCUACACAUCUAGAUCAACAUACCAAAGGCCAAACUCUCAUUCAAAGGACAUAUUGCAACGAAGACACCUAAAGGUUCUACAAAGUCUAGAUUAGAUAAGAAAAACUGACAUGCAUAAAUAAAUUUUUAAAAAAUAAUAAAUGAUCACAUAAAAUCAUACAAAAAAUCACACACGGAGUUCAAAGUGUCUAUAUCACAUAAAAAAAGAAUCCAGGGUCGGAUAGUACUCAAAAAUACUUUUAAAACACUCAAGCUAAUCAAAUGUCUAGAAUCAAGCAUGCACAGUAGGAACGAAUUUGAAAAAAAAAAAUCUCCAUCAAAGAGGCAUGUUUUUUAAUAUUUUAUGUGUCUAAGAUCAAUUUCAAAAAGCCUAGAAUUGAGAAAAAAAUAUUUAAUCAAAUUUAAAAAGUCGUCUGGAAUUUUAUUUUUUCAAAAAAGUUCUCAGGUGUCCAUAACUAGGAGAAAACGGAGCCCCCCUAAAGACUCGUUUAUAUAUUCUAUUCUAAAAUGGCUUUUUAACUCAAACAAAACUUUAAAUUCAAGUUCAAGAAGUGAGGAAAGUCAUACAAGUUUUGGAAAAUUUUUAAAAACAUUCUAAAGUUGCUAAAACAAAUUUUAUCUAGAGGGUCAGUGGCUAAGUGUAAACUAGUAGCAAGGAAGUGUUUUGGAAAUUUUAUAUAGGGGUUUCACCAAUUCCCCAAGUGAUAUACACAAAUUUAGCCUAAAAUUAUCCUAUUUGUUUGGGAUCACAAGCUUGGAUUCGUGUCUUAUUCAAAACCAUAAUUUUUAUUGAAAACCGAGAAAGAUGCAAACCGAUCAAGACAUAGUUGCAUAUUAUUUAAAAAAAAAAUGAGAUUUUGAUUCUAAGGACUCUAAAUGAAUUAUUUUUAAAAUAGAAUUUUCAAAGGGAUCUUUUGAGAAAAGUAUUUUAUUUUAAAAUAAAAGAAAUUAAUUUGAAAACAAUCAAAAUAUAAGAAACAAAAUAUCGAGCAAAACAAAAGAAAACGAAUUCACAAAGUGAAAUUUUUGACAAUCGAACAAACCAAAGUGGUGAAAAUGGAAGCCAAUUUUAACUAUUUUCCAAUGACCCCUGAAAAGUAAUUUUUACCAGAGACUACCAAAGCAAUAAACUAUUCAAACUCAGGCCAAAUAAGCUAAUGAGAUACUCAUCAAGAAUUAAUGACUAAUUUUCAAGAAACACGUAAAUUAAGAGUAACAAUCAAGAAUUAGCAAUGAUCAAUUAAACACACAAAUGCAUCUAGAUUGAUUAAAAUGGACCAAAUUAAAUCAGGGCAAACAGGAAUUUUCAAUCAUAGAAUUAAUUUUAUUAAUGAGCUAAUAUUAUAGCAAAUACUCAAAUUGAAUAGAUGAGUGAAGCUAAAUCAGAGUAAACUAAACACAGACACCUUCAAAUAUAGAAUUGAUUUAUUAAUAACUUAAAAUUUGAAAAACACCUAAAAUAAUUAAAAUGAAUCAAAUUAAAUGAAAGCAAACUAAAAACAAAAUAUGAAUUCAUGGAAUCAACUUCCUAAAUAAAUUUACAUUAUUAAAAUGAAAUCUAAGAUCAAAAUGAAUUAAACACUAAUUAAGGCAAAUCUAAAAAUCAAAUAUUUAACACAUGAGGUCAAUUAUUUUAACAAACUAAAAUUUUACUUAAACCUAAAAUUAAAUUGAAAAAACUAUCCAAAACAAAUUUUAAAACUAAACUAUAAAGUCAAUCUCAUUAACAAAUGGAUAAAUAGAUAGCACAUGAAUAAAUAAGUAUGACUGAAUCGAAAUAUGAACUCAUGGAAUCAAUUUUUUUUAAAUAAAUUUACAUUACUAAAAUGAAAUUGAAAUUUAAAAAUAUUUUUAACACCAAUUAUGGCAAUCCUAAAAUCAAAUAUUUAACACUUAAUAUUAACUAUUUUAAUGAACAGAAAUUUCACUUAAACCAAAAAUUAAAUUAAAGAAAAACUAUCUAAGACAAAUUUUAAAACUAUGUCUCUAACCAAUAACAUAAAUCUUGUUAAAUAAUGGAUAAAUAGUUAGCAUAUAGAUAAAUAGAUCUCAAGUUUAACAAUGACUUAUAAUGGCAUAACAGUAAAUCCAUAAAGAACUUUUAAUAUAUAGUAUUGAUGGAUUAAAAAAAUAAGAGGAGAGAAAGUGGCAGCCGCAUGGACUGCAUGAGGAGGGUUGACGUCUCAUAGUCACCUUCUUUCCUCCAUUGAUAGUAGCCCACAAGGCCACCUUAAGUGGGCGACACAAUAAGACUGCCAUGCACGCAUGACGCAGCCACGUGGGAGAAGGCAGCAACCACUUUCGCAUUUUUACUGUAUCUCCAGAAACUCCUUUGUAUAGCCCACACACGCGCUAAUGAAGCAGAUUCAGCAGAUUUUAAGAGGGGGAAUCUUGAAACCACACAACAUCAAGAGACUUGGCCGGAAGUGUGAUGAUGGGUGUUUCCGAAGAAGAGUUAUAAUUCGCCCACUGUUGAAUAUGUUCAAAGAUGUGAAGGGUCCCACGAGCCUUGAAUUUGUCACUACAUACAAAAUAUAUGCAGAAGUGAUUGAAAAUGCUUGGCAACCUUUUCCUGCAUGUGAAUGUGUUGAGCUCUAUGGUGCAAUUACUAAUGAAAUUCUCAAUUUAGUUGAUAAGUAUUUUGAGAUGCAAAAGCAUGAUGCUGUCCGGGCAUUGGAAAUUUAUCAGAAAGCAGGAGAGCCAUCAAGCAUUCACUCGACAAGCAAGAGUAACACAUAGGCCACACCAUUCUCCAACAAGACACAACAACAUACAUUCUUGAAGGUAAGUCCCAUUUUAAAAAAAAAUUUUAGUUUAAUUUUAAUUAAUUUAGUUAGUUUAGAUGUUUUUUUUUUUCAUAAUUAGUUUAAUUAAUUCUACAUGAUAAAGUUGUUAUUUUUCAUUUCGAUUUAGUUUAGUGUUGAUUUUUCUUUUAGUUUAAGUGUGUUUGUGGUUUUAAUUCAAUAGUUUAAUUAAUCUUAUUAGAUAAAGUUCAUACAUAAUUUUUUUUUUAUCCCAAAUUAGUUUAGUUUUAAUCCAUCUUUUAGUUUAAUUGUGUUAGUAAUUUUAAUUCAGUAGUUUAAAUAAUCAUAUUAGAUAAAGUUCGUAUUUUUAAUUCUAAUUAGUUUCAUCUUAAUUUAUUCUUUAGUUUAGAUUUGUUGUUGAUUGUACUUUAUUAGUUUAAUUAAUCUUAUUAGAUAAAGUCUAAUUUCAAUUUAGUUUAGUUUUAAUUUAUUCUAUAGUUUGAGUAUUUUUGCGAUUUUAAUUCAAUUGUUUAAUUAAACCUCUUAGGUAAAGAUCUUGUUUUUAAUUCCGAUUUAGUUUAGUUUUAAUUUAUUUAUUUAUUUUAGUUUAGAUGUAUUUGUAAUUUUAAUUCAACAGUUAAAUCGAUCUUAUUAGAUAAAGUUGAUGUUUUUAAUUCCAAUUUAGUUUUUAGUUUAAAUGUGUUUGUGUGUUUAAUUGACCUUAUGCUAGCUCAUGAUUUUUUAUUUUCAAUUUAGGUGUUUUCUUGAAUCUUAAUCAUUAAUUCUUGGUGGAUAUCUCAUUAGUUUAUUUUAUCUAAGUUUUAAUAAUUUAUUAUUUUGAUAGUCUUUUGUCAAAUUUACUUUUCAGAAGCCAUCGGAAAAUAGUGAAGAUUGACCUCCAUUCUCACCACAUUAGUUUGUUUGGUUGUCAAAAAUUUUACUUAGUGAUUUUGUUUACUUUUGAUUUGCUUGUUUCUUAUGUUUUGAUUGUUUUCAAACUAAUUUAUUUUAUUUUAAAAUAAAUAUUUUUCUCAAAAGAUCCAUUUGAAAAUUCUAUUUUAAAAAUAAUUCAUUUAGAGUCCUUAGAAUAAAAAUCUCAUUUUUUUAAUAAUAUACAACCAUGUCUUGAUCGGUUUGCAUCUUUUUCAGUUUUCUGUAAAAAUUUUGAUUUUGAAUGGAAUAUGAAUCCAAGCUUGUGGUCCCAAACAAAUUGGAUAAUUCUGGGCUAGAUUUGUGUAUAUCAAUUGAGGAAUUGGUGGAACCCCUUUAUAAGAAAAUUCUUCAAAACUCAUCUUUGCUGCCAUCUUUGCUAUUUCAUGCUAUCAUGUCUCUUCAUUUUUUAGGAAUUAUAUACAAGAUGUAUGUGAUAAUUGAUGAUUUCGUAUACUUUGAUCAUUUUUGCUAGGUUAAUUAGAUAACAAGCACGUUAGGAUUUCUUUAUUUUAUUAUUUAUUAUCUAACCCCUCAUGUCUUGUGGAAGCACGUUACAAGUUAUCUAUGCUAUCCAAGUAUGCCCUCUAUCACCCACCUUCUAAAUUUUGUGAAUAUGCUGGUCACUGUGAACUGCACUUAUGUUUGAUAGUGCUUGGGUGUCUUGAUAUUUGUUUCAUUGUUCAAUUUUUUCUGAUAAAGCGCAUGCUGAACGAUAUACUAUUUGAACUAACUUUGAUGUCUUGCAAUGACGCUUAAGAAGCAAUCCAGGUACAUACCCUAAAUCUUCUUUAUGAUUAUGAUUUGUUUUUCUUAUUUGGCAUGCUAAUUUUGAAAUCACCUAGCCUACCUAGGUAUCUAUGAUCAACCAAUUAAUUGUCACAUUUCUCUCAACUUAGCUAGUAGAGACCUUUUUAGGGCUUAGAGGGGUGUUACCUCUUAAAGGUACCUUCCCAGUAGAUAACCUGAUUCCCAAACCAAGACUUGGGUUUUCGAGAUAUGCUAUUCAAAAAUUGUGGAGUCACUUCUUUAGGGUUUUUAUUUUUAUUUUUUUUAUUUUCCUUUUAAAAUAAAAUAAAAUAAGUGGCAACUCCAACUUUUCCAAAACUAAUUUUUCACCAAUAAAAGCGAGUAUUACUGAUUGAGUGGGGACGCACGUGAAAAAUGUGGGUCCUCAGUAUAUAUAAGGCAACCUAAAGGAUUUAUUGUUAUAAGACAAAAACACAAAGUUAAGGAUAGAUACAUUUAGCUAGGUUGAUUUUUAACCAAUCCAAGAAUCAAAUAGGAGUUCAUUGGUUUUAAAUAAAGUACAACAAAUUUAUUUAUUUACUCAAACUCAAAAAUAUUGAGUUUGUAUGUUUUUUUUUUUCACAUUGACCGUACAACCGAAAUGAUCAAAUUCUAUAUAUAUAUAUAUUUACAAGUAAUACAAUUACAAUUUUUUAAAAUAAUAUUGGGCGCUUGUGACUUGAAAUUAUAUUAUCAUCAUUAUUAAGUCCCAAAAUACAAUGAUUUUAAAUUUUAGAUCAGGCUUAUGCCAUAAGCAACUUUUAAUUUGUAAUAAAGCCAUACGAGUUAGACUCUAAGCCUCUAACAUCAAACUGUAGCCCAGCUAAGUUGCCUUUGGAUGAGCAUGGUUCGACUCACAAAGUCCUAAGAUUCUCCACAACACUCCAAAAUCCAAACAAUUAUAUUUGUCCGACUCCUCUACUACUUGGGUUUGUUUGCCAGUCCACUUUUGGUAAGUGAUCUAGGUUGAAUAUUCCAUAAGCCAAAUACAUAAACUAGUUUGAUCUCUAGUUUCAUUGUACCACCAAAAUAGAGAAAUUCAAGUAAGAAGACUUCUAAAGAGAAUAGUUUAGAGAGCUACUACAAAAGAGGAUUGGAGAUGGUUGGAGUAAUGGUGGUAGCUAUUGAAAGGAUCGAUGGUGGCGGGAAGCCAUAGCCGCUGGUGAAGAGGAAGUUAGGUGAAUUGGAGACUUGGUGAAGAAGAUAAUGUGAGCUUGAUAAAAUUUCCUCAAACUUUUCCUUCUCUCUCUUAUUUUCCCCACUAAUUUUUAAGGAAAGUAGUAGGGAAAAUAUUACAAUAUUUUCUUUAGUAUUUUCCUUUAUUUUUCCUUCCAUCGUAUUUUUCAUGUCACCCAAACUAAGGAAAAUGACUUUCCACAAUAUUUUUUUUCCUUUCCCUUGCAUUUUCUGUAACAAAGUUCUAUAAUCACUCCAAUCCGCGUUUAAAAAUUGUAUUUCUUUCUAAUAUGGGAACAAACUUUUUCCUUCUUUCUUAUAAUUUUCAUUUGGGAAUAAUUUAAAAUUAAAUAAAUAAAAGCCCUUCUAAAUAUUAAAAAAACACUCUCUUAUAGAUUAGUCCGAAAAAACUUGGCCCACUCUAGACAUUCUCAUUCUCUCCUUCCUCUAUUUGAUGUGAUGGAUCAUGGGUGGUUCUAUAUGACAAGAUUAAUCAACUAAUUUAUGGAUUUGAGAGUGACCCUAAACUAAAUGUGGAGCACAUAUUAGAUUACAAUCUUAUAAUAUUUACUUAAUGGUAUCUAAAUUUCCCAUCCAAGGCCUAAAUUGGCUUUGGAAAGACGAUAACCCAAAACAUGAAUGAAAAAGACCCAAAAUAUUGAUGAAAUAAGAAUGAUAAUAAGAUGAAUUUUAUUUAUUUAUUUAUUUUAUUUCAUGCUUAAUAGGAACGAGUUUGAAAAAAAUAAUAAAUUAUUGAAUACAAGUUUAAUUUUAUUCAAUUUUUUUAAAUAAUGAUAAAAUAAAAUUCACAAUAAAAAGAAUUUUUUGUUAUUAUAUAUUUGUUUUGCCUCAUCCUUAAUACGAGGAAUUUGAAAAAUAACAGAUAAGUUAAAACGUGGGUUUGAAUUUUUUAUUUUUUUAUUUUGCAUGAGGAAUAAGGCUGCUAUUGACUAUCGAGAGAAUACACAGAACUUUGAAAGGAAAAUUACCAAAGCUGUUUUGGCAAGAGGAAUGGGAAGGAGUGCAGAUGUAUAGGGACGGAAUGUGGGCUAUGUUCAGGAAGGAGGGUUCUGAUCAUGCUGGACUGACGUGGAUGAUUGAGGCUCUCUCCAGGCUGGUGAGUGGUCUUCCCAUGUGGGUGGAGUCAAUAAGAAGGGGAGAGUUUUUCACGAGCGGAAAAGGGUGAUUGAAGGAGGGGGAUGAGAUCCAGAUCAUAAAAAACGGCUGGGUGGCUUUUAAAAGUUGGGUUUUUUUUUCAGUAGUGGGGCACGAUUUGCAGCAUCAAAACAGGAAGAGGAGGUGCAGCCGCACCAUUGAGAAGAGGAGGUGCAGUCGCACCAUUGAGAAAAAGAGGACAACUUGGUGAGAAAGGGGAGGUUGGGUCAACCUUUUAGAGAGGCGAUCAGACUACGUUUGGAAAGGUUUGGGGCUGCUAUUUUGGAGAAUCAGUCCAUAUUUUUAAGAAGUUCGGGCUGCAAAGAAGGCAUCUCGAGAAAAGGGGGAAUAUCCAGCAUUCUGAAGGGGAAGGCCGUGUCAAUGGAAGAGGGUUCGUAUUUUAGGGAAGUGAUGGUGGGGUUGAGGUUAGCGAAGGAGGUUAUUAAGGUUCAGCAAGGGUGGCGAGCCAAUGCUGUGGCUCAUUUGAAUCUGUCUAGUGGUUAUUCGAGGUCCUCAGCCAAUUCUGCUACUGACUGGCCUUGUUUGUUGUUGGAACCAUUAUCACAGGCAGCGAAGAUUGGGUUUUUUUUCAGCCGAAGCUGAUAAUUAACAAUAUUGAUGUUUGUCGCCAUGCAAUUUUAACGGAUGAUUCAACAGUGUGUGCAUCGAUGUAUCAUGACAGAUUGCUGUGGAAAAUAAUAGCUUUGGGUGUGAAUGAGAGGUGUUUGCCUGUUGUUCUUGUAACUUCAGAUAGCUACCAUUCAUACCAAGCCUAUUUGGAUUUUAGAUUUCCAAACAUAUUCAUCUCUCGUGAGACCUUUGGAUGGACUCCACAAGAAGCUAAACUGCAUAUGGUCACAGAUUAUUUCAGUCAUUCUGAGUUGGCAGUGAUAGCUGAUGUUCUUGGACCAAACCCUCGACAUAUGUUUGAGCUUUAUGCACUUCAACAGAGCAAUUAUUAUCGAAAGGUUAUGGAAGACAGUGGUAGUACAUUUGAGGAUAUCAUAGAUGCAUAUUUGUCAUAUUUGCAAAUUACUGUGGUGAAUCCUGCCAUGGAUAAAGCAUUGAAACUCCUGGAAAAGUUUGUUGUUGAUAGAUUACGUUUUGGUGCUCCUUGGAGACAUCCUCCACGUAUAGACAACCCUACUUUGUGCUCGGAGUGGACGAAGCUUCAAUUAAUUGAUUUUGUUCAAUCUCUAGUAUAUCCGAGUUUGGGGUGAGCAAAUAUGUUCUGAAACUGCUGGUUCAUUCAAGACGAAUGUCAUAAGAAAACAGUCGGGUGGGUCUUGAAAGCUUGGGUUUCUUUCAGUUGAUUGGGCAAUGGGAGGACACUGGUUUUGAUGGAGGGUGAUUCUCGGCAGAUAAAGGAAAGAGAUUCGAGGUGACUUGGAAAGGGAGAAACAGGCUGGUGGUCUUUUGGGGGAAUAGAAGAUAGAGAGGGAGACACCACUUUUUUGGAGAAGGGAGGUCCACACAGGUUCAGAUUUUGGUGAGGCUUUCUGGGGAUUUUCGGAAGCAGAUUCAACAGAUUUUGGUGAAGGAGUUCUCUAGGCGGUUUUUUUCUGUUGUUAAGUGGCAGCCGCAUGGACUGCAUAAGGAGGGUUGAUGUCUCAUAGUCACCUUCUUUCCUCCAUUGAUAGUAGCCCACAAGGGCACCUUAAGUGGGCGACACAAUAAGGCUGCCAUGCACGCAUGAGGCAUCCAUGACGCAGCCAUGUGGGAGAAGGUAGCAACCACUUUCUCAUUUUUUCUAUGUAUCUCCAGAAACUCCUUUGUACAGCCCACACACGCGCUAAUGAAGUAGAUUCGGCAUAUUUUUAGAGGGGGAAUCUUGAAACCACACAACAUCAAGAGACUUGGCCGGAAGUGUGAUGAUGGGUAUUUCCAAAGAAAAGUUAUAAUUCGCCCACUUUUGAAUAUGUUCAUAGAUGUGAAGGGUCCCACGAGCCUUGAAUUUGUCACUACAUGCAAAAUAUAUGCAGAAGUGAUUGAAAAUGCAUGGCCACCUUUUCCUGCAUGUGAAUGUGUUGAGCUCUAUGGUGCAAUUACUAAUGAAAUUCUCAAUUUAGUUGAUAAGUAUUUUGAGAUGCAAAAGCAUAAUGUUGUCCGGGCAUUGGAAAUUUAUCUGAAAGCAGGAGAGCCAUCAACCAUUCACUCGACAAGCAAGAGAAACACAUAGGCCGCACCAUUCUCCAACAAGACACAACAACAUACAUUCUUGAAGGUAAGUCCCUUUCUAAAAUUUUAUUUUAGUUUAAUUUUAAUUUAUUUAGUUAGUUUAGAUUUUUUUUUUUUCAUAAUUAGUUUAAUUAAUUCUACAUUAUAAAGCUCUUAUUUUUCAUUCCGAUUUAGUUUAGUGUUGAUUUUUCUUUUAGUUUAAGUGUGUUUAUGGUAUUAAUUCAGUAGUUUAAUUCAUCUUAUUAGACAAAGUUCAUAUAUAUAUAUAUAUAUAUAUAUAUAUAUUAUCCCAAAUUAGUUUAGUUUUAAUCUAUCUUUUAGUUUAAGUGUGUUAGUAAUUUUAAUUCAGUAGUUUAAAUAAUCAUGUCAGAUAAAGUUUGUGUUUUUAAUUCUAAUUAGUUUCGUCUUAAUUUAUUCUUUAGUUUAGAUUUGUUGUUGAUUGUAAUUUAUUAGUUUAAUUAAUCUUAUUAGAUAAAGUCUAAUUUCAAUUUAGUUUAGUUUUAAUUUAUUCUAUAGUUUGAGUUUGUUUGCGAUUUUAAUUCAAUUGUUUAAUUAAAGCUCAUAGGUAAAGAUCUUGUUUUUAAUUCUGAUUUAGUUUAAUUUUAAUUUACUUAUUUAUUUAUUUAUUUUAGUUUAGAUGUGUUUGUAAUUUUAAUUCGACAGUUUAAUCGAUCUUAUUAGAUAAAGUUGAUGUUUUUAAUUCUAAUUUAGUUUAUUUUAAUUUAUUUUUUAGUUUUAAUGUGUUUGUGUGUUUAAUUGACCUUAUGCUAGCUCUUGAUUUGUUAUUCUCAAUUUAGUUGUUUUCUUGAAUCUUAGUCAUUAAUUCUUGGUGGAUAUCUGAUUAGUUUAUUUAAUUUAAGUUUUAAUAAUUUAUUAUUUCGAUAGUCUCUUGUCAAAUUUACUUUUCAGAGGCUAUCGGAAAAUAGUGAAAAUUGACCUCCAUUCUCACCACUUUAGUUUGUUUGGUUGUCAAAAAUUUUACUUUAUGAUUUUGUUUACUUUUAUUUUGCUUGUUUCUUAUGUUUUAUUGUUUUCAAAUUGAUUUAAUUUUAUUUCAAAAUAAAAUAUUUUUCUCAAAAGAUCCAUUUGAAAAUUCUAUUUUAAAAACAAUUCAUUUAGAGUCCUUAGAAUCAGAAUCUCAUUUUUUAAUAAUAUGCAACCAUGUCUUGAUUGGUUUGCAUUUUUCUCAGUUUUCAAUAAAAAUUCUGGUUUUAAAUGGAAUAUGAAUCCAAGCUUGUGGUCCCAAACAAAUGGGAUAAUUCUGGGCUAGAUUUCUGUAUAUCAAUUGGGGAAUUGGUGGAACCCCUACAUAAGAAAAUGAUUCAAAACUCAUCUUUGCUGCCACCUUUGCUAUUUCAUGAAAUCAUGUCUAUUUAUUUUUUAGGAAUUAUAUACAAGAUGUAUGUGAUAAUUGAUGAUUUUGUAUACUUUGAUAAUUUUUCCUAGGCUAAUUAUAUAACAAGCACGUUAGGAUUUUUUUAUUUUAUUAUUUAUUAUCUAAUCCCUCCUGUCUUGUGGAAGCACGUUACAAGUUAUCUAUGCUAUCCAAGUACGCCCUCUAUCACCCACCUUCUAAAUUUUGCGAAUAUGUUGGUCACUGUGAACUGCGCUUAUGUUUGAUAGUGCUUGGGUGUCUUGAUAUUUGUUUCAUUGUUCGAUUAUUUUUUAUAAAGCGCAUGCUGGAUGAUAUACUAUUUGAACUAACUUUGAUGUCUUGUGAGGGCACUUAAGAAGCAGUCUAAGUACACACCCUAAAUCUUCUUUAUGAUUAUGAUUUGUUUUUCUUAUUUGGCAUACUAUUUUUUAAAUCACCUAGCCUACUUAGGUAUCCAUGAUCAACCAAUUAAUUGUCACAUUUCCCUCAACUUAGCCAGUAGAGAUCUUUUUAAGGCUUAGAGGAGUGUUACCUCUUAGAGGUACCUUUCCAAUAGGUAACCUAAUUCUUGAACCAAGACUUGGGUUUUCGAAACAUGCUUUUCCAAAAUUGUGGAGUCACUUAUUUAGGGUUUUCUUUCUUGUUUUAUUUUUCCUUUAAAGUAAAAUAAAAUAAGCAGCGACUCCAGCUUUUCCAAAACUAAUUUUUUACCAAUAAAAGUGAGUCUCGCCGAUUGAGUGGGGACGCACGUGAAGAAUGUGGGUCCACAAUAUAUAUGGGGCAACCUAAAGGAUUUAUUGUAAUAAGACAAGAACACCAAGUUAGAGAUAGAUACAUUUAGCUAGGUUGGUUUUUAACCAAUCCAAAAAUCAAAUAAGAGUUCAUUGGUUUUAACUAAAGUACAACAAAUUUAUUUGUUUACUUAUACUAAUCCAACUUAAUAUCAAUUCGAUUUAGUUUAGUUAACUCAAUUUAAACAAAAAUAUUGAGUUUGUAUGUUUUUUUUCACAUUGACCAUACAACCAAAAUGAUCAAAUUGUUUUAGAUAUAUAUAUAUAUAUAUAUAUAUAUAUAUAUAUAUAUAUAUAUAUAUAUAUAUAUAUAUAUAUUACAAGUAAUAAAAUUAAAAAAUUGUAAAAUAUGUCCAAAGAAAAGUUAUAAUUCGCCCACUUUUGAAUAUGUUCAUAGAUGUGAGUUUGUCACUACAUGCAAAAUAUAUGCAGAAGUGAUUGAAAAUGCAUGGCCACCUUUUCCUGCAUGUGAAUGUGUUGAGCUCUAUGGUGCAAUUACUAAUGAAAUUCUCAAUUUAGUUGAUAAGUAUUUUGAGAUGCAAAAGCAUGAUGUUGUCCGGGCAUUGGAAAUUUAUCAGAAAGCAGGAGAGCCAUCAACCAUUCACUCGACAAGCAAGAGAAACACAUAGGCCGCACCAUUCUCCAACAAGACACAACAACAUACAUUCUUGAAGGUAAGUCCCUUUUUAAAAUUUUAUUUUAGUUUAAUUUUAAUUUAUUUAGUUAGUUUAGAUUUUUUUUUUCAUAAUUAGUUUAAUUAAUUCUAUAUUAUAAAGCUCUUAUUUUUCAUUCCGAUUUAGUUUAGUGUUGAUUUUUCUUAUAGUUUAAGUCCGAAAGUACAAUGAUUUUAAAUUUUAGAUAAUGCUUAUGCCAUAAGCAACUUUUAAUUUGUAAUAAAGCCAUAUGAGUUAGACUCCAAGCCGCUAACACCAAAUUGUAGCCCAACUAAGUUGCCUUCGGAUGAGAAUGGUUCGACUCACAAAGUCCCAAGAUUCUCCACAACACUCCAAAAUCCAAGCAAUUAUAUUUGUCCCACUCCUCUACUACUUGGGUUUGUUUGCCAGUCCACUUUUGGUAAGUGAUCUAGGUUGAAUUUUCCAUAAGCCAAAAACCAAAAUAGAGUUACUCAAGUAAGAAUACUUCUAAAGAGAAUAGUCUAAAGAGCUACUACAAAAGAGAAUUGGAGAUGGUUGGAGUAAUGGUGGUGGCUAUUGAAAGGGUUAAUGGUGGUGGGAAGCCAUAGCCCUUGGUGAAGAGGAAGUUAGGUGAAUUGGAGACUCGGUGAAGAAGAAAAUGUGAGCUUGAUAAAAUUUCCUCCAACUUUUCCUUCUCUCUCUUAUUUUCCCCACUAAUUUUUAAGGAAAGUAGUAGGGAAAAUAUUACAAUAUUUCCUUUAGUAUUUUUCUUUAUAUUUUUUUUCCAUCAUAUUUUUCAUGUCACCCAAACUAAGAAAAAUAACUUUCCACAAUAUUUUUUUUUCCUUUCCCUUGCAUUUUCUGAAAACUAAACACAACCUUUAUAAAUAAAAAAUUAAGAAUUACAGUAAGACGGUAUAUUCUUCCUUUUUCUUCCUGCAUUUCUACAUCAACUACUCUAUCUUACAUCAUAUUUUUACUCCCUUCUUCAAUCAGCAUUCCUCUCUUUAUAUAGAGUUAUCUUCACACCAAUUCAUAAGAUAAGAAAGAUGAAUGAACCUUGGGGCAAGGUUGGACAACUGGUGGCAGCUAGUCAAGGCUAGAAGUCAACUUUUGCUUGACUCUUUGGGAAUGGGUAGCAACGUGUCGACCUUUCUUUAGCAUGAAAAUGGCUAGAACGUGUCGACCUUUCUUUAGCAUGAAAAUGGCUAGAACGUGUUAAGCUCUCUUAUUAGAUGACGUGUCAACUAUAGGGUAAUCAUAGGGUGGGGAAUAUAUGGUAAUUAUGCAAAAAAAGAAAAAAAAAGAAAAAGAAAAAUUGAUAUCCAAUUAUAUAGAAAGACAUCUUCCAACAUUUGAUAUAAAUAAAAAUUAAGAGAAAAAUAUUUUAAAAAAGCAUAUUAAACCUAAAAAUAGGGAAUUAAUAAUAAAAUCAAGUAAAAAGGUAAAAUUAAAACUAAAUAUAAAAUAUGAAUAUAGUUUAAAUAUUAAAAAUAAUAUUAUUUAGGUUAAAUCAUUAGGCUUGCUAGAGGAGUUUAUAUAUAUAUAUUAGUUUUUUCUUUUUUUUUAAUCCUUUCUAUGUUGUUUAUAUUAAUGCAUUGAAUUUGAUGUUACCUAAAACAAAAUUAUAUUUCAUGUCCUCUAUUAUAAGUGGACAACCAUUCCUUAUGUUAGAUUUUAGAUAAAGAACGAAUAAUGAAGAUUGGAAUUGUAAGAAAUUAGGAGAUCCUAAUUUUAAAUAUGUAACAAAGUUCUAUAAUCACUCCUAUCCACAUUUAAAAAUUGUAUUUCUUUCUAAUAUGGGAGCAAACUUUUUCCUUCUUUCUUAUAAUUUUCAUUUGGGAAUGAUUUAAAAAUAAAUAAACAAAAGCCCUUCUAAAUAUUAAAAAAACAAUCUCUUAUAAAAAUUAAUUAGGUGGAUGGUAAGGUCAAAUUCGGGAUACUUCAUAUUUUUUGCUUUGCCUGAAAAUUAAAAUCAAAAUCAAAAUUAAAGUAAUAAUUUUUAAGAUGUUGUAAAAGUUUUAUUAAACAUGAAAGAACUUAUUGUGUAAACAAAAAUAGAACUAUAGAAUUCUUAUAAGAAAUAACAAUUUUAUGAAUUCUAUAUGAAACCUUUUUUAAAAGUUAUAAGUUUUUUUUUAUAAAUAAUUAAAUAGGUAUAGGAACUUUUAUUCAACUUAAUUUUUUUUAACGGUUAAAAGUCAAUCCAAAUAAAAUUUAAAUAUAUUUGAAAAUCAUUUUAAAAAAUUCAAAAAAUCACUUAAAAAAAAUUUAUGAAUUUUUUUUUUAAUUUACAUUCAAAUACUAAGUGAUUCUUUUAAAAAUCAUUUAUAAUGUCAAAAUAUUUUUUUAUGGAUAAAAACAUUAGAAAUAAAAAACAUUUCUAAUGAAAGUUUAAUCAAUUAAUCUUUUUUAGCACACCACUCAUAACUGUCAGUGAUUUCCUGCUAACUUAACAUAUCGACAUGGACUUGGAGAGUUCGGUCAAUUAAAGCAGCCUGAUUAAUUGUAAGUGUCUUUUCUCUAAACCAUAAAUUCCUACGUUUUAAUUUACAAAAGCCAGUGAUUUGUUUUUACUUAAGGAAGCAGGAAAGGGUUUAAUGAGUUGAAACAAGAACACAACAUCAAAUUCUCUUUUUAUAAUCAAAGACUACUAUGGAAAAUUCCACCAUAGCAUAUCUCAAAUUCCAUUAAUAAUCCCAAACACAAUAUUCCGCAACUUUACAUUAUUCUUUUUAUCAACUUUACACAAAAAAUUGAAGAGGAAUACUAACUUAAAUCAAACAGAAAUUAAAUCAUGAAAGAUGAAUAAUACAAAUAUUCAAUGAAAUCUUUGGCGUGUUAUUUCUUUGCAGCUUCAACAUGGUGGCAUGUCCGACGGAGGAGGCAACAUUUGAGCUUCCGGGUGUUUACCAUUUUUCACUAUGAACGCAGUUUCCAUGCCCCAAGUCAGAUGGCGUUCUACAUGGCAGUGCAUGAACCACACUCCUGCAACAGAGAAAAUAUACCAACAUUACACCUAACUUUAUUGUAAUAUUAAGAAAAAAUAUUUCAUUGGUAUGUAGGUUGGCAGUUUCAAGGGUUUUUUUCUUUAAUAAAGGACAUGAGUGCUUGGAACAUACCAGGGUUGGAUGCCUCGAAUCUGAUUGCAACCCAACCAUUCGAAGGAACAGAGAUGGUAUUCUGAAAGGGAGGAUCCACCAUAUUAUAGCGCAAAGGGUCCUUAUUUCCAUCGAAAUUCCCAAAUCCCCAUCCAACAACAUAGAAACUGUAUCCAUGGAGAUGCAUGGGGUGGUGUGUCGCUGCAAGCACAUUUGUCCCUUGAAAAACAAUAUCCACUGUGGAGUUAUACUCGAGCACCCUUACUUCUGUUCCGCUGCUCGGCAACUGAUAGAUUAAUGGAAGAUAAUCAGCUGUAAAAUCGAACACCAGUGGUGGAUCACUAGGAAAUUUAUCUCCAUAUAUACCACUGAUGUUAUAAUAGUAAGCUUGCAGUAUGUCAACUGUAGGGGUAUGGAAGCUUAUGUUGUUUAUACUUGAGGAGAAUCGCGUCCCAUUGGCCCCUGCACAUGAAUUAUUGACGCAUGGGUACGAGUUUACAGAAACAGUGUAAAUCAGGUUAGUGCUCGUGCUCAAUGGGACAUUGCAAGGAUGUUCCGCAUUUGCUAAGCUUCGGAGGCCGGCCAUGACCUGAACGGAUGCAUUUGUGUCAUUGUAUGCAGGAAGAUAAGGCAAGGAGGGAGGUGAAGAUGGAGUGUAGUAUCCGUUGUAUUGUACAAUAGCUGUGGUGGUUGUGUUAUCAUAAAAGUCUUGAUAUUUCGGGGCAACAGAAUAAGUUAUAGCCGCCAUGUAAUAGUGAUCCGGGCGUUGGUUAGCUUCUAGUAAGACAUCAUAGGUUUGGCCAGGAAAUAUUGUGAUAAAAUCUCGUGUCAAUGGUUUCGUGUAGCUACCAUCUGUUCCAACCACUGUCAUUUUAUGCUUGUCAAUGGAGAAGAAGAGAGCCUCUUGCAAGGCAGCAUUGAUUAUGCGAAGUAGAUAGGUCUUUCCAUGAUCCACCGUUAGCUUGAAUGUGUCUGCAAUUAGAAAGGGAAAGUUGUAUACUUAUGACUAGCCAAAAGAAAAAGAAAAAGUUUCCAUGAGGAUCCACUAAUUAUGAAGUGAUUGAUUGAUGAGGGGUGUAAAUUUGGCUCCAUAGUUCAAAAUUAUAUUUGGACUAGCCUUCUUUUGUGUUUUAAAUCAUGGCUCUACCAUCCUCAUAGCUAUAUUCCUCUUUCUUAGCAUUAAGCUUUAAAUAUGUUGAUGUUAAUAAGAAAAAGUAAUAUGGCUAACAUAUAAGAAAAUGAAAUUGUGUACAAUUUUAAAAUGGGAAGUUAAACUUUGUACCUGAUUUUGAGCAUGGAUAUAGAUCACCGGGUUGUCCAUUUAUCAAUAAAGCAUCAGAGGGGUCGGGGUCACCUCCGGUUGCAAGCCCUUCAUCUCGAACCGCAUUCACAUCAUUCUUCCACCAUUCUCCUGCAUUUCAACAACUUCAAUAAUUUUAGAUUUUGCUUUGUUGGUUAAUUCAUAAUAUGUAAAUUAACCUUUAAAAGUAACAACACUUAUACCUAAUAUGAUAGGGACCUCUCUAUCAGGUUUGUGAAAAGGAUACUUGGUUCCAUUCUUGGGAUAGAUAAUUAUAGCUCCAUGAACAGUGGCUCGGGUCCAAUCACUGUGAGCAUGCCACCAUAGAGUGCCUUCUUCAGUGGAAAGGAUGAUCUUCUGUGUAAACUUUGACCCUGGCCGAAUUGGGCAUUGUGUGAUAUACUCGGGACCAUCUGUCCAUGGAUAUCUAGGCAUGGUCACCCCAUGCCUGCGAAACCAUAACUAUACGUUAAAACUAGUACUAAUUUUCAAAGUAACAAAAGAUGGCAUGCAACAACAUAUUAUCAUAAUAACAAGAGGCAUCAAUUGUAUUUCAAUGGAACUAAAGCAAAUAACCUAAAAGUAUUGUUUUAAAUUUGACUUUAUUUUCAAAGUUAUAUAUUGUAGCCCCCUCUUAGAUAUAAAAGAAUAUAUGUCAUGCAAGCAUGGUACCACUGCUCUUUCUUUGAGACACGCACAGGACCUACCAGUGAAUGGUGAUGUUUUCAUUUCCCUUGUUAUAAACGUCGACAAUGAUCGUCUCUCCUUUCGUAGCAUAUAUGGUUGGUCCCGGAAAUUUUCCAUUUACUGUUAAGAUGUUCUUGGUGCUACAAAGCCUUUUAUAUGAAGCUUCCCUCACCUGCAACCAAUUAAAAGUUAGCCAUGCAACCUGAUCCCAAAAGAAAUAUCACAUGCAUGAAUAGUUGUAUCGAUCCAUUCAUGUAAGUGUAUAACCAAUUAGAAAUUGAUAGCAUGCAUGAACGACUCAACGACACCAAGGUAGUAGGUCAUAUGGUACGAAAUGAGAGCAAUACCACUCCCUAAAUAUCAUGAUUACAAGGUGGCGUUAAGGCCAGAAUCAUAUAUAGUAUUUACCACAAAAGUAAGCCGACGGGUCGAAGCUUGGCAAUGGAUGCCACCACCAAAAACUAGAAACGCUAAAAUUUGCAGGAGGAAAACCUUCAUGAUCAGCCACAUUUUCCUUGGAAUAAAAGCCUCUUCUCUUGUCCUAAACACAACUCCUUCAAUUCUCUUACUGCUUUUGAUGUAUUUCUUUCAUAUAUGGUUCAUUAUAUAGGCAUGGUAAUUCUCUAGGGAUACAAUACGUGUCAAUAUAAGAGGAAGUGAUUUGAAUGUGUAUUGGUUUUCAAUGUUCUUUCAGGACGACUUCAAUGAGCAGGACCACUUCAAAAUAAUUAAUUAUGAUAUUUCUUACACGUUACCUACACGUUAUUUUAGAAUAAAUUUAAAAUAUCCUUUCACAAGUCUUUUAUUGAUUAUUUCAACAAAUGUUAAUUAAUUAAAUAUAUGUAGGAUAUUUUUAAAACUUUGACCUCCCGUAUGAAAACUGUUUUUCAUUGACAACUACUUUUAACAAUUAUUGGGUGGUUGGCGGCAAAGUUGUUUUCGUAUUGUUAAUACAAUUUGUCAUGAUCGUUGAUUUCGUUUGAAUGGGACAAAGUUGUUUCCAAUUUUUUUUAAACUUGAGAAUUGAGAUUAUAAAAGACAAGAUGAGAAGUUAUUUGGUAUUUCAGAAUUUUCCAUAACAAAUACAAAAAUAUAUUUUGUAAAAAGCUGAAAAUAGGAUACUAACAACCCCUUAUAGUAUUUUUUUUUUUCUCAACAAAAAGCAAUUUAAUACUAAUAAUAAAAAAUAAUUAUAGAUUUUAAAAUAUAUUUUUCAAAAGAAAUGAAUCUAUAAUUUAUUUGUUCAAAUGGUAUGUAUAUAUUGAUUAAAUAAAUAAAUUAUGAAAAGAUUUAUAUAUUUUCAAAAUGAGAUUUUAAAAUUGAACAGAGAUAUUUGUUUAUUUUAGAUUUGAAUGUUUGGAUUCAUCUAAUUCCAUAAAUUAUUAUUUCUUUAUUUUAUUGGAGUUGACUUUAAAUGUUUGGAUUGACCUAAUUCCAAGUGGACUAAGCCAACCUAAUAUUUGAAUGGAGAUGAAAGCAUGGGUAUAGGUUUGUACUUAAAGAAAUUUAAAAAGGAAAUGAAGAUAUGAUUAAAAUAAACCUGAUACAGUUACUCUAUAAGAAUAGAUCCUGUUUCUAACCUUUUAACAUACAAAUUUGGAAACCUAAACGUAUGGAUUGUUUCUUUCCUAUAAUGGAAUCCUAUAUUCCUUCUCAAAGCAGCGCUGACUUGAUAAAGGUUUAUUUUAUCUAUAUAUGGGAGGUCAAAGUUUUAAAAGUAUUCUACAUAUAUUUUAAAUUUAUUCUAAAAUAAUGUGUUUGAUUAAUUUCUUGGUCGAUUCUCAAAGUCAAACUUGUAUUUUGAAUUAGAAAAUUCAAGAGAUUCUAAGAAACUCGUCUUCUACGAUACACAACCUGAUUGAAGCUGAGCUUUGAGAAAUUUUCACAAUUGUUAGCAUUCUUCAGGCAUUUGGUUUAUUUAAAUUUUAGUAGGUAAUCAAAUAUCAUACACAACCUGCUCUUUGAAGUGGUCCUGGAAGAACAUUCAAAACCAAUACACAUUCACAUUACUUCGCUUAUAUUGAUACGCGGCGAGGAAUUGUUGAUACCCAAGCCACAUGUGAUCUGAUUUAAUGAAUGAAUCUCUGCCCUUCAUCCGAAGAAUUCUGGUGUUCUGGAUUGAUGGGAGCAAAAAGGUGACCAGUUUUACCUUGAGUCAAAUUCAAAUGACAAAAUAUAUUACCAGGGCAAUCAUGGACACCACCCUUAACUACAAAAAUAGCGCACACAGCCAAUCCCAUCAACCUAGUAUUACACCAAUUUGGAGGCAGAUGUACCAUAUUACUGUGGAGCCUAUACGCUGUUGGCUGAACCACUCAGGAAUUCAACUUCCAGGAACGAAAGUACUGGAUUCAAUAUGUGGAGUAUAUGGCACCAUCUGGGUCAUGAAAAUCAAUGUCAAGUUAUAUGGAAAUAAUGUAGGAGUAGUGCUCAAAGGAGUAUAAGAAUUAUUCCAUAGGAUUUAAUUGAUUUACUUUUACAAUAUGAUCAAGAGAGAGAGGAGAGAAACCUGAAUUGGGAAUUGAAAUCUUGGUAAUUUAUUUGCCAGACUUUGCAUUUCCCUUAAUGUAGCUGCCACAAAGUUGCUGCUUUCAUUCUCAGACAGUCUGAAGCAAUUAGAAAAUGUGAAUCGGAGGCCCCCACAUUCCUUGGAUCUGUAGACACUUGAUGGACACAAAAUGUUUUCCAUAACUGUGCCAUCAUGGGCAUCUAUUUCUUCUAUACUUGAUGGAAGCUCUGGUAAUGAUUGAAGCCUCUUGCAACAACCCAACCUAAGGCCUUUGAGCUGUGAAAGUUGAUUGAGGCGUGCAGGUAGAGUAACAAAAUUGUUUCUGCUCAGAUCUAAAUAUUCCAAUGAGCACAGAGAGCUAAAGUCAUUGGGAAUUGCUCCUUCCAAUAUGUGGCAAUCACUUAGAUUUAACUUUCUUAGGGAUCUUAAACCAAAGAAAGAUGCAGUUGCCACACUAUUCUUAGAUUUAACUUUCUUAGGGAUCUUCAUAUUUAGUUUCAUAGGAAAGAUGUUUUCAAAGAAAUCUGCAUUCUUUGUUUCUAUUAUAGUAUUGACAUCUACCAGAUUAUUUUCUGACUUAGUAACAAGAAACCUAUAUGCCACACUAUUCUCAGCAUAGCCAAUGAACGUUGCAUCAAAGGUUUUAGGACCUAGUUUUCGUUUUUUAGGUUCGGGGAGAAGAACUUUAGCUAAACACCCCCACACUUUCAGGUAUGCUAUAUUAGGUGCACAACCUUUGCACAACUCAUAAGGAGUUUUACUAGUUUUCUUGUAAGGUAUUCUAUUUUGAAUAUGGCAUGCGGAUAGGAUAGCUUCCCCCCACAAGUUCAAGGGUGCUCCUGAACUUACUAACAUUGGAUUCAUAAUUUCUUUUAAGGUCUUAUUUUUCCUUUAUGCUAUUCCAUUAGACUCAGGGGAAUAAGGAGGAAUAAGGAGGAGUAGUUUCAUGAAUGAUCCCAUGAUCUUCACAAAAAGAAUUAAAGGGGUUGGACUCAUACUCUCCUCCUCUUUCAGUUCUAAGCCUUUUAAUUUUCUUACUUAGUUGAUUUUCCAUUUCAUUUUUGUACUUGAUGAAAGCAUCUCUUGCUUCAUCUUUGUUUCUCAAAAGAUAUACCCUUGUAUACCUUGAGUAGUCAUCUAUGAAAGUUAUGUAGAAUUGAUCACCACCUCUAGUCAUUGUAUUUUUUAGGUCUCCUAAGUCACUAUGUAUUAAACUUAGUAGACCUGAUUCUCUUUCAACUGAUUUGCAAGAUUUCUUUGUGGCUUUAGAUUCUACACAAGAUUCACAUUUCCCAUGGUUUUCUAAGGACAGAUUAGGGAUUAAACUCAAUUCAACCAUUUUCUUCGUAUAUGAAAAGUUCACAUGUCCUAGUCUACCAUGCCAAAUAUCACAAGAAUCAACUAUGUAAGCAAAAGAAGAAGAUGUAUUAUUAUUGAUAAUAUCAUAAACAUUCAACAUAAAUAAACCCUGAUUACAAUAGCUCUUUCCCACAAAUGCAUCAUUCUUGGUUAAAACUAUUUUAUCAGAGUCAAACAAGAUCCUCACUCCUGCUUUUCCAAGUAGAGAUACCGACACCAAGUUCCAACAGAUAUCUGGCACAUGAAGAACAUCAUGUAGGGCAAGCACUUUUCCAGAUGUUAGCUUGAGGAGAACUUUCCCUUUGCCAAUCACUGGAGUAGAUCUAGAAUCACCCAUGAACACUUGUUCCUCUCCUUUCUUUAUAGUGGUAUAGGAAGUAAAUGCAUUUCUAUUCCCACAGAUGUGCCUAUUAACCCCAAAGUCUACCACCCAUUCCUUCAUAUUGGUGACCAUGCUCACCUCAAAGGAGAUUACUGUUGUGAUCACCUCUGUCUCUGCCAGAUUUGCCUUUGAACUAGUCUUCUCAAUUCUCUUCCUAUGGCGACAUUGAGCUGCAUGGUGUCUAGACUUGCCACAGACAAAGCAAUUACCCCAUUUUUUAAUAAUUGAGUUUUGGACCUUGUUUAAUGCAUUAGGCUUGGUCCUAAAGUUUUGUUUCCUGAACCUAUUAUUUUUGGGUUUAGAUUUUUCUUCUACUACAUUAGCUUUAGAAGACAAUUCCUUAGCUUUCUCAAUAUUGUCCCUAUUUCGGUUUUGUUCCUCAAUCCUAAUAUGGAUUAUGACAUCCUCUAAGGACAUUUGUUUCCUUUUAUGUUUCAUGUUGUUUUUAUAGUCUUUCCAAGACUCCGGAAGAGCCUCUACUAAAUAACUAGCCACAAAAGGUUCGGGUAAUUUAAUGUCUUCAAUAGCUAAGUCAUUAAUCAACAAGUGGUAGUCAUGGAUUUGAGAUGAUACAACUCUAUCCUCACUCAUUUGGAAAUUUCUAAAAUUCCCUAUGGCAUAUUUAUGAGUUCCCGCAUCUUGCAAAAUAUAUUUUUUAUUCAUUGCAUCCCAAAUUUAUUUUGCAACUUUAAAUUGACAAUAAAUAUCAAAAAGUUCAUUAGAAAGUGUACUCAGAAUAGCAUAGCUAACUUGUUUAUUUCUAGUUUCCCAGGUUGGUAACCUAUGAGAACCAUCUUAUUGUUUUGGAUCAGUCAAAAUAUGUCCUAAGUUCACCACAUCAAUUGUAGAGAAAACCCUUUCCUGUCAUCUCUUAAAGAAUGUCCCAUUAAAUGGAUUAAUUUUAGAGGUGUCAGGAUGGGUGUGAAUUAGGGAAGCUUUCAUUUGAAUUUAUUUCAAGAUUGUUGGAUUUUAAGGGUAUGGAAACAAAGACUAGCCCAAAAAGACACAAACAAAGAACAUAAUGAAUAAUAAAAAAAAACUUAUCGGCUGAGGCAUGACAAACACUGUCCUUGAAAUAGAUCCACCCUUCUCGAAGACGAACUCUAUGCACUAUGUGAGAAAGGGUAUAAAUAAUGUGAGAUAAGGUACAAAAAAAUGUGAAAAAAAUGUACGAAUAAUGUGAGAAAAUGGUAUGCACAAUGUUAUAAAAUGGUACAAAAAAUGUAAGACAUGGUAUGAAUAAUGUGAGAUAGGGUACAAAUAAUGUGAUAUAAUGUAUGAAGAAUGUGAAGAAUGUGAGCAUGGGUAUGAAGAAUGUGAGAAAUUGUACGAAAAAUGUGGAAAAAAAAGUGCGAACAAUGUGAGAAAUUAUACAAAACAAUACAAGACAUAUGGUACAAAUAAUGUGAGAGAGAUGGUAUGAAAAAUUUGAAAUAUGAUACGAACAAUGUAAGGAAUGUUACAACCAAUAUGAGAAAGAAUACAAAGAAUAGGAGGAAGGAUAUGAAGAAUGUGAGACAUAGUAUGAAAAAUCUGAGAAAGGGUACGAACAAUGUGAGAAAGAAUACAAAGAAUGUGAGAUAGGGUAUAAAUUGUAAGGAAACCCAGAUCACUCUAUUCCAUAUCUUAGAAUUAGGUUAGAUGCAUGCAAAAACUUUCCUAGGCUUUUCUAAAUCCUAUGCAUAAUAAAAACAAACAUUUAAAAACUUUAGCAAGAUUUAAAAAUCAAAAGAGAAAAACUAUACAUUGAUUUGGAUAUUCUCAAAUCAAAUCCAUGUAGUGAAGUUGAAGGUUGAAGUAUUCAGAGGUCUCAAUGACUCAAACUCGAUAUUUGAACCCCAAAGGUGGGUUGGCUAUUGCUAUCUACAAAUUGGAUGAUAGAACACAACUAUCUUAAAAACCCUAACCUUUGAGAAGGUAUUUAUAGGGUUCCUUAAUUAGGCUUAAGUGACUUAAGCUUACCGUGGACUUAGGUCACUUAAUUUAGCUCAAAAUAUGUCUUAAUCAAUUAAUUACAUGACACUAUUAGGUUAAUUGAUUAAUUAACCUAAUAUGGCCAAUCAAUUAACCUAAUAGGGCCAUGUAAUUAAUCAAUUAACCUAAUCUAGAGGUUUUAUUCACUUACCUUUGUGUAACCUUACAUAAUUACCAAAACACUAUUAUGCACAAAAGUUAAUUAAGAGUUAAUCUAACCCUUAUGAACCAUUCCACCAAGGUAUAUGAACUCGAGUGGGGACCCCACUAGGAACCAUAGGAUAAUACUGACACAUUCAUAAUCCAGUUUUGAAGUUAACUCAACAUUCCACUACAAAAAAUUAAUUGCACCACAAUAUCCUAUGUACAAUACAAUGAAACACCAAGUUCUCUAGAUCGUGACCUAUUAUCCACUAAUUUCACCACAAUAUCCUAUGUGCAUAUGAUCAAAUGACAUGCCCUACCUCACUAAGAGCAUACGUCAAAUUACUAAAGGAAUUACUGUGUGUCCACAGAUUUCAUGAUCACACGUCCUUAGGAUCACCCAAUGGAACACACUCUCUUAAAGUCCAUGAGAUAUCGUGGUGUCUCUAAUGAGAAUACCAAUUUUUAUCGGCUUCCAUCAAUAGUGACUUAAUCCAUAGGAAAUAUAUGAUCAACUUACGAUCUCACAGUAGGUCAAAGCCUCUACUAACUUUAACUUAUAUAAGCUUAGUAUUCUCUUAAGGUUGAGAGACAAUACAAUUUAAUAGCUUGGUGAAGUCAUGACUACAUGAUAGUCUUAUGUCGUGACUCACCAUAGGUUCUGUUCAAUAUUGUGCAAACUUACACACUAGUGCACUCACCAUGGGAACCCCAUCCCAAUGGCCAAGACCAAUCAUUCCUCCUAUUAGAAGGUAGUGCACUACAACUUCUAAUGGGUUACCUAGGUUCAUGAACUAGCUAUGAACAAGUCAUCUAUUUGUAAUAAACCCAUGACUUGGAUCUUCUAUGCAACUCCUAAUGCACUUAAGUCGCAUUUAAUCAAACCUAAAUGCUUACAAGGUAUAGUGAAUGUCAUGUCAUGUCAUGUCAUGCUUUUAAAGAUUUUAUCAUAACUUGAAUAAUGUGAGACAUGGUACGAACAAUGUAAGAGAGAGUACAAAUAAUAUAAGAAAGAGUAAAAACAAUGUUAGAAAGAGUAUGAACAAUGUGAGACAAGAUAUGAAGAAUGUGAGGGAGGGUAUGAACAAUGUGAAGGAGGGUACAAACAAUGUGAGACAAUACAUGAAGAAUGUGAGGAAUGAUACAAAGAAUGUGAUGAAUGGUACAAAGAAUGUGAGGCAAGGUAAGAAGAAUGUGAGAAAGCGUACGAACAAUAUGAGAAAGUGUAUGAACACUGUGAGACAAUGUAUGAAUAAUGUGAGAUAAUGCAUGAAUAAUGUAAGAUAGUGUACAAAACAAAGUGAGAAAGAAUACGAACAAUAUGAGAAAUUAUAUGAAAAAUAUGGAGGGUAUAAAGAAUAUGAGAUAUUAUAUAAAUAAUGUGAGAAAAUAUACGAAAAAUAUGAGAUAUAGUACGAAUAAUGUAGAAAUGGUACGAACAAUGUGAGAUAAGCUAUGAAGAAUGUGAGAAAUAGUACUCUUCAUAUCCUUUCUCACAUUAUUUAUACCCUCGCUCAUGUACUUUUGUACAUAUUCUCACAUUCUUUGUACAUGAUCUCGCAUAAAAUAGAUAUUGUUUUAUUAAAUACAAAAAAAUUAUAAAAAAUUAUAAAAAUAUUGAAUUUUUAAAAAACCAAAUUGAUAACAUGUAUGGCUAAAUAAUGUAGUUCUCUAACUACUAUUUUUUUAUUAUUUUAUUUUAGUUUCUUCAUGGAUAUAAUGGACAAAGGCAAACGAAAGAAAUUCAUCAUUGAUUUGAAUAAUGAAAACUUUGAUUAAUAAUAUGAUUGCAAUGUGAAAACCGGGUUUGACAAAAAGCCCAUGCUAGUUUAAGAGAAUAUUUUGUAUGGUUUAAGACUUGAAGAUGUAUGGGAAAUGGAGUUCAACUCAAUAGAUGAGAUAGAAGAAUUUUACAAUUUAUACGUAAAGUUAACAAAUUCAAUGUUAGAAAGGAUGAUGUUAAAUGAGAUAAGAAUGAAAAUAUAGCAUCUCAUAUGUGGGUUUGCUCAAAGAAGGAUAAAGACAAACAAUAUGUUUGGAGAAUGAAAAUCGAAAACGAGAACAUAAGACAAUAACUAGAGUUGGUUGUGAGACAUCACUUCGUAUCGAGUUUAACAAACAAAUAAAUAAGUGUAUUAUGAUGGAGUUUAUGGGUGAUCAUAAUCAUCCUUUGGUGGAACCAAAAAUACCCAAUUCUUUCAAUCCCAAAGGGUCAUGAGGAAUGCAUAUAAGGCUUAAUUGAGUGCAAUGCGUAGUGUUUGCCUGAGAACUAGACAAAUUAUGGAUUACAUGGUGCAACAAUCAAAUGGAUAUAUUAAUGUGGGCUUCACAAAGAAAAAAAGAUCUAUAUAACCAUGUUAAUGUUGAUUGUAAAGUUCAGAUAAGAAAUGGUGAUACAAAGGGUACACUUUCUUACUUGUGUGGAAAGGCUUAAAUGGAUACAUCAUUUUAUUACAAGUACAAUGUUGAUAAAGACAAUCGCUUAACAAACUUGUUUUGGCCAAAUUCUACAAGAAUAUUGGAUUACACUUAUUUCAGAAAUGUGUUAGCAUUUAAUAGAACUUAUGAGACUAAUGCUUAUAGAAAACUAUUGGUCAUCUUAGUUGACAUUAACCAUCACAAUCAAAUUGUAGUGUUUAGAUGUUCAUUAUUGGUAGAUGAGAGUCUUUACACUUAUACAUAGGUUUUGGAGACAUUUUUGGAUGUAAUGAAUAAAAAGAAGUUUUUUAUUUUUUUCUGUUAUUAUAGAUGAGGACAAAGCAAGGUGUCAAGCCAUUAAGAGAAUAUUUCUAUAGUUUUAUCAUUGGUUAUGUGCUUAUUAUAUUCAAUGCAAGACAUUCAUUAAUGUCUAUGUCAAAGACUUUACUUAUCAUUUUUCUAGGUACAUGUUCAUGGAAGGCACCGUUAAUUUGAAUGUGCAUGGAGUGGCAUGGUGGAAAUGUGUAAUCUCCACGAACAUAAUUGGGUGAUAGACAUAUAUGCUAAGUGUCCUAGAUGGGCAAAGGCUUAUUUAAAGGUGCAUUUCUUUGCAAGUUUGAAAGCGCACAAAGGUGUGAAAGGAUGAAUGCAUACUUGAAUAGUUUCCUUAAAACUCAUUUAAAGUUGUUUGAGUUUUUGAAGCAUUUUGAUUGAGCACUCUCAUGUAUUCAUCAUAAUGAGGCAAAGGCAAAGUUUGAGAUGCACACUCUUUUACUUCUUCUAAACUCCAAACUCCAUGAAAUUGAGAAAUAUACAGACAUUGUUUUCACUCGGAAAUCUUUUCUCAAAUUUAGGGAUGAAAUGAAUGCGAAACUUUUUUCCCUUAUUAGUACAAAAAAUCAUAGAGGUUAUCAUGUCCAUACAUUGACUAAAUUUAGAAGCUCUGACAAGUUCUCAAAAGUAUGUUAUGGUAAUUGUGAUGAGUCUAUGAAAUGUACUUGGAAAGGGAGACACAGGUUGGUGGUCUUUUGGGGGGAAUAGAAGAUAGAGAGGGAGACACCACUUUUUUGGAGAACGGAGGUCCACACAGGUUCAGAUUUUGGUGAGGCUUUCCGGGGAUUUUCGGAAGCAGAUUCAACAGAUUUUGGUGAAGGAGUUCUCUAGGCGGUUUUUUCUGUUGUUAAGUGGCAGCCGCAUGGACUGCAUGAGGAGGGUUGACGUCUCAUAGUUACCUUCUUUCCUCCAUUGAUAGUAGCCCACAAGGCCACCUUAAGUGGGCGACACAAUAAGGCUGCCAUGCACGCAUGAGGCAGCCAUGACGCUGCCAUGUGGGAGAAGGUAGCAACCACUUCCGCAUUUUUUCUAUGUAUCUCCAGAAACUCCUUUGUACAGCCCACACACGGGCUAAUGAAGCAGAUUCCUGCAUGUGUCACUACAUGCAAAAUAUAUGCAGAAUAUAUAUGAGCCUUGAAUUUGUCACUACAUGCAAAAUAUAUGCAGAAGUGAUUGAAAAUGCAUGACCACCUUUUCCUGCAUGUGAAUGUGUUGAGCUGUAUGGUGCAAUUACUAAUGAAAUUCUCAAUUUGGUUGAUAAGUAUUUUGAGAUGCAAAAGCAUGAUGUUGUCUGGGCAUUGGAAAUUUAUCAGAAAGCAGGAGAGCCAUCAAACAUUCACCCGACAAGCAAGAGAAACACAUAGGCCGCACCAUUCUCCAACAAGACACAACAACAUACAUUCUUGAAGGUAAGUCCCUUUUUAAAAUUUUAUUUUAGUUUAAUUUUAAUUUAUUUAGUUAGUUUAGAUGUUUUUUCUUCAUAAUUAGUUUAAUUAAUUCUACAUUAUAAAGUUCUUAUUUUUCAUUCCGAUUUAGUUUAGUGUUGAUUUUUCUUUUAAUUUAAGUGUGUUUGUGGUUUUAAUUCAAUAGUUUAAUUAAUCUUAUUAGAUAAAGUUCAUAUAUAUAUAUAUAUAGAUUAUCCCAAAUUAGUUUAGUUUUAAUCUUUCUUUUAGUUUAAGUGUGUUAGUAAUUUUAAUUCAGUAGUUUAAAUAAUCAUGUCAGAUAAAGUUCGUGUUUUUAAUUCUAAUUAGCUUCGUCUUAAUUUAUUCUUUAGUUUAGAUUUGUUGUUGAUUAUAAUUUAUUAGUUUAAUUAAUCUUAUUAGAUAAAGUCUAAUUUCAAUUUAGUUUAGUUUUAAUUUAUUCUAUAAUUUGAGUUUGUUUGCGAUUUUAAUUCAAUUGUUUAAUUAAACCUCUUAGGUAAAGAUCUUGUUUUUAAUUCCGAUUUAGUUUAGUUUUAAUUUACUUAUUUAUUUAUUUAUUUUAGUUUAGAUGUGUUUGUAAUUUUAAUUCGACAAUUUAAUCGAUCUUAUUAGAUAAAGUUGAUGUUUUUAAUUCUAAUUUAGUUUAAUUUUAAUUUAUUUUUUAGUUUAAAUGUGUUUGUGUGUUUAAUUGACCUUAUGCUAGCUCUUGAUUUGUUAUUCUCAAUUUAGGCGUUUUCUUGAAUCUUAGUCAUUAAUUCUUGGUGGAUAUCUCAUUAGUUUAUUUAAUCUAAGUUUUAAUAAUUUAUUAUUUCGGUAGUCUCUUGUCAAAUUUACUUUUCAGAUGCCAUCGGAAAAUAGUGAAGAUUGACCUCCAUUCUCACCACUUUAGUUUGUUUGGUUGUCAAAAAUUUUACUUUGUGAUUUUGUUUACUUUUAUUUUGCUUGUUUCUUAUGUUUUGAUUGUUUUCAAAUUAUUUUAUUUUAUUUUAAAAUAAAAUAUUUUUCUCAAAAGAUCCAUUUGAAAAUUCUAUUUUAAAAAUAAUUCAUUUAGAGUCUUUAGAAUCAGAAUCUCAUUUUUUAAUAAUAUGCAACCAUGUCUUGAUUGGUUUGCAUUUUUCUCAGUUUUCAAUAAAAAUUCUGGUUUUAAAUAGAAUAUGAAUCUAAACUUGUGGUCCCAAACAAAUGGGAUAAUUCUGGGCUAGAUUUUUGUAUAUCAAUUGGGGAAUUGGUGAAACCCCUACAUAAGAAAAUUCUUCAAAACUCAUAUUUUUUGCCACCUUUGCUAUUUCAUGAAAUCAUGUCUAUUUAUUUUUUAGGAAUUAUAUACAAGAUUUAUGUGAUAAUUGAUGAUUUCGUAUACUUUGAUCAUUUUUGCUAGGCUAAUUAUAUAACAAGCACGUUAGGAUUUCUUUAUUUUAUUAUUUAUUAUCUAACCCCUCAUGUCUUGUGAAAGCACGUUACAAGUUAUCUAUGCUAUCCAAGUACGUCCUCUAUCACCCACCUUCUAAAUUUUGUGAAUAUACCGGUCACUGUGAACUGCACUUAUGUUUGAUAGUGCUUGGGUGUUUUGAUAUUUGUUUCAUUGUUCGAUUAUUUUUUAUAAAGCGCAUGCUGGAUGAUAUAUUAUUUGAACUAACUUUGAUGUCUUGUGAGGGCGCUAAGAAGCAGUUUAGGUACACACCUUAAAUCUUCUUUAUAAUUAUGAUUUGUUUUUCUUAUUUGGCAUGCUAUUUUUGAAAUCACCUAGCUUACUUAGGUAUCCAUGAUCAACCAAUUAAUUGUCACAUUUCCCUCAACUUAGCCAGUAGAGAUCUUUUUAGGGCUUAGAGGAGUGUUACCUCUUAAAAGUACCUUCCCAAUGGUAACUUGAUUCUUGAACCAAGACUUGGGUUUUCGAGACAUGCUUUUCCAAAAUUGUGGAGUCACUUAUUUAGGGUUUUCUUUCUUGUUUUAUUUUCCCUUUAAAGUAAAAUAAAAUAAGGGGCGACUCCAGCUUUUCCAAAACUAAUUUUUCACCAAUAAAAGCGAGUCUCACUGAUUGAGUGGGAACGCACGUGAAAAAUGUGGGUCCACAGUAUAUAUGGGGCAACCUAAAGGAUUUAUUGUUAUAAGAUAAGAACACCAAGUUAGAGAUAGAUACAUUUAGCUAGGUUGGUUUUUAACCAAUCCAAGAAUCAAAUAGGAGUUCAUUGGUUUUAACUAAAGUACAACAAAUUUAUUUAUUUACUCAUACUAAUCCAACUUAAUAUCAAUUCGAUUCAGUUUAGUUAACUCAAUUUAGACAAAAUUAUUGAGUUUGUAUGUUUUUUUUCACUUCGACCAUACAACCAAAAUGAUCAAAUUGUUUUAGAUAUAUAUAUAUUUUACAAGUAAUACAAUUAAAAUUUUUUUAAAUAUGUGUGGGAGCAACCUAUGGGUUAUUUGCUUGUUGGGAGUAAGUCAAUGAGUUGUAUUAUUGACAUAUUGGGCACUUGUGACUUGAAAUUAUAUUAUCAUCAUUAUUAAGUCCCAAAGUACAAUGAUUUUAAAUUUUAGAUCAUGCUUAUGCCAUAAGCAACUUUUAAUUUGUAAUAAAGCCAUACGAGUUAGGCUCCAAGCCACUAACACCGAAUUGUAGCCCAACUAAGUUGGCUUUGGAUGAGCAUGGUUCGACUCAUAAAGUCCCAAGAUUCUCCACAACACUCCAAAAUCCAAGCAAUUAUAUUUGUCCCACUCCUCUACUACUUGGGUUUCUUUGCCAGUCCACUUUUGGUAAGUGAUCUAGGUUGAAUUUUCCAUAAGCCAAAUACCAAAAUAGAAUUACUCAAGUAAGAAGACUUCUAAAGAGAAUAGUCUAAAGAGCUACUACAAAAGAGAAUAGGAGAUGGUUAGAGUAAUGGUGGUGACUAUUGAAAGAGUCGAUGGUGGUGGGAAGCCAUAGCUACUGGUGAAGAGGAAGUUAGGUGAAUUGGAGACUCAGUGAAGAAGAUAAUGCGAACUUGAUAAAAUUUCCUCCAACUUUUCCUUUUCUCUCUUAUUUUUCCCGCUAAUUUUUAAGGAAAGUAGUAGGGAAAAUAUUACAAUAUUUUCUUUAGUAUUUUCCUUUAUAUUUUUUUUCCAUCAUAUUUUUCAUGUCACCCAAACUGAGGAAAAUAACUUUCCAUAAUAUUUUUUUUCCCUUUCCCUUGCAUUUUCUGAAAACUAAACACAACCUUUAUAAAUAAAAAAUUAAGAAUUACAGUAAGACGGUAUAUUCUUCCUUUUUCUUCCUGCAUUUCUACAUCCACUACUCUAUUUUACAUCAUAUUUUUACUCCCUUCUUCAAUCAGCAUUCCUCUCUUUAUAUAGAGUUAUCUUCACACUAAUUCAUAAGAUAAGAAAGAUGAAUGAACCUUGGGGCAAGGUUGGACAAUUGGUAGCAACGUGUCGACCUCUCUUUAGCAUGAAAAUGGCUAGAACGUGUUAAGCUCUCUUAUUAGAUGACGUGUCAACUAUAGGGCAAUCAUAGGAUGGGGAAUAUAUGGUAAUUAUGCAAAAAAAGAAAAAAAGAAAAAAAGAAAAAGAAAAAUCGAUAUCCAAUUAUAUAGAAAGACAUCUUCCAACAUUUGAUAUAAAUAAAAAUUAAGAGAAAAAUAUUUUUAAAAAACAUAUUAAACCUAAAAAUAGGGAAUUAAUAAUAAAAUAAAGUAAAAAGGUAAAAUUAAAACCAAAUAUUAAAAAUAAUGUUAUUCAGGUUAAAUCAUUGGGUUUGCUAGAGGAGUUUAUAUAUAUAUAUUAGUUUUUUUUCUUCUUUUUAAUCCUAUCUAUGUUGUUGAUAUUAAUGCAUUGAAUUUGAUGUUACCUAAAACAAAAUUAUAUUUCAUGUUCUCUAUUAUAAGUCGACAACCAUACCUUAUGUUAUAUUUUAGAUAAAGAACGAAUAAUGAAGAUUGGAGUUGUAAGAAAUUAGGAGAUCCUAAUUUUAAAUAUGUAACAAAGUUCUAUAAUCACUCCAAUCCACAUUUAAAAAUUGUAUUUCUUUCUAAUAUGGGAGCAAACUUUUUCCUUCUUUCUUAUAAUUUUCAUUUGGGAAUGAUUUAAAAAUAAAUAAAUAAAAGCCCUUCCCAAUAUUAAAAAAAACACUCUUAUAAAAAUUAAUUAGGUGGAUGGUAAGGUCAAAUUCGGGAUAGCUUCAUAUUUUUUGCUUUAAUUGAAACUUAAAAUCAAAAUUAAAGUAAUAAUUUUUAAGAUGUUGUAAAAGUUUUAUUAAACAUGAAAGAACUUAUUGUGUAAACAAAAAUAGAACUAUAGAAUUCUUAUAAGAAAUAACAAUUUUAUGAAUUCUAUAUGAAACCUUUUUUAAAAGUUAUAAGUUUUUUUAUAAAUAAUUAAAUAGGUAUAGAAACUUUUAUUCAACUUAAUUUUUUUUUAACGGUUAAAAGUCAAUCCAAAUAAAAUUUAAAUAUAUUUGAAAAUCAUUUUUAAAAAUCCAAAAAAUCACUUAAAAAUAAUUUCUGAACUUUUUUUUUUUUUAAUUUACAUUCAAAUACUAAGUGAUUCUUUUAAAAAUCAUUUAUAAUGUCAAAAUAUUUUUUUAUGGAUAAAAACACUAGAAAUAAAAAACAUUUUAAUUCAUGAAAUUUCAUUUAUUGUUAUUUAUUUUUUGGGAUUUAAUUCUUUACAAUUAUUUUUGAGUGUUUAUAAAGUAUAAUUAGGUUAUGCCCAAAUUUAUUCCUUUAACUCUAUCCAUUAGAUAUAAGUAGCGUGAAAUUUUGGCCUGUCUCCACCUUUCUUCACUUCUGACAUUGUCAUGCAGUGCUUCGUCAAUGGAUAAUAUAUUAAUUUAUUUCUUAAUUUAAUAGCAUUGGAGUGUCAGCUGGAAUAAAAUGAAAGUUCAAUCAUUUAAUCUUUUUUAGCACACCACUCAUAACUGUCAGUGAUUUCCUGCCAACUUAACAUAUUGACAUGGACUUGGAGAGUUCGGUCAAUUAAAGCAGCUUGGUUAAUUGUAAGUGUUUUUUCUCUAAACCAUAAAUUCCUACGUUUUAAUUUAUAAAAACAAGUGAUUUGUUUUUACUUAAGGAAGCAGGAAAGGGUUUAAAAUAAGAGUUGAAAAGUAUGCCAAUUAUUUUAACUUAAAAUACUUAAAUAAAAAGGAAUUGAUUUUAUCUCAAUUGUAUAAGACUUUAUAAAAAUUAUCAUUUAUAAUUUUUUUGAUUAUUAAUAUGAUACGUAACCUUUGACAGAAUUGGAAUAAAAUAUGGAUAAUUAAAAAAUGUCAACUAUCCCAUUUCAAACUUUUCUAAUACAGCAUGAUAUUUUAUCAUGUUGAAUGAAAUGGGAAUGACCAAAAAUUGUCAAAUCAAAGAUUUAUCUAUUGUGGACAUGGCAUUCAGAGGCUUCUUAACAUUGUAUUGGUCUAUUUAAUGAGUUGAAAUAAGAACACAACAUCAAAUUCUCUUUUUAUAAUCAAAGACUGCUAUGGAAAAUUCCACCAUAGCAUAUCUCAAAUUCCAUUAAUAAUCCCAAACACAAUAUUCCGCAACUUUACAUUAUUCUUUUUAUCAACUUUACACAAAAAAUUGAAGAGGAAUACUAACUUAAAUCAAACAGAAAUUAAAUCAUGAAAGAUGAAUAAUACAAAUAUUCAAUGAAAUCUUUGGCGUGUUAUUUCUUUGCAGCUUCAACAUGGUGGCAUGUCCGACGGAGGAGACAACAUUUGAGCUUCCGGGUGUUUACCAUUUUUCACUAUGAACGCAGUUUCCAUGCCCCAAGUCAGAUGGCGUUCUACAUGGCAGUGCAUGAACCACACUCCUGCAACAGAGAAAAUAUACCAACAUUACACCUAACUUUAUUGUAAUAUUAAGAAAAAAUAUUUCAUUGGUAUGGAGGUUGGCAGUUUCAAGGGUUUUUUUCUUUAAUAGAGGACAUGAGUGCUUGGAACAUACCAGGGUUGGAUGCCUCGAAUCUGAUUGCAACCCAACCAUUCGAAGGAACAGAGAUGGUAUUCUGAAAGGGAGGAUCCACCAGAUUAUAGCGCAAAGGGUCCUUAUUUCCAUCGAAAUUCCCAAAUCCCCAUCCAACAACAUAGAAACUGUAUCCAUGGAGAUGCAUGGGGUGGUGUGUCGCUGCAAGCACAUUUGUCCCUUGAAAAACAAUCUCCACUGUGGAGUUAUACUCGAGCACCCUUACUUCUGUUCCGCUGCUCGGCAACUGAUAGAUUAAUGGAAGAUAAUCAGCUGUAAAAUCGAACACCAGUGGUGGAUCACUAGGAAAUUUAUCUCCAUAUACACCACUGAUGUUAUAAUAGUAAGCUUGCAGUAUGUCAACUGUAGGGGUAUGGAAGCUUAUGUUGUUUAUACUUGAGGAGAAUCGCGUCCCAUUGGCCCCUGCACAUGAAUUAUUGACGCAUGGGUACGAGUUUACAGAAACAGUGUAAAUCAGGUUAGUGCUCGUGCUCAAUGGGACAUUGCAAGGAUGUUCCGCAUUUGCUAAGCUUCGGAGGCCGGCCAUGACCUGAACGGAUGCAUUUGUGUCAUUGUAAGCAGGAAGAUAAGGCAAGGAGGGAGGUGAAGAUGGAGUGUAGUAUCCGCUGUAUUGUACAAUAGCUGUGGUGGUUGUGUUAUCAUAAAAGUCUUGAUAUUUCGGGGCAACAGAAUAAGUUAUAGCCGCCAUGUAAUAGUGAUCCGGGCGUUGGUUAGCUUCUAGUAACACAUCAUAGGUUUGGCCAGGAAAUAUUGUGAUAAAAUCUAUUGUCAAUGGUUUCGUGUAGCUACCAUCUGUUCCAACCACUGUAAUUUUAUGCUUGUCAAUGGAGAAGAAGAGAGCCUCCUGCAAAGCAGCAUUGAUUAUGCGAAGUAGAUAGGUCUUUCCAUGAUCCACCGUUAGCUUGAAUGUGUCUGCAAUUAGAGAAGGAAAGUUGUAUACUUAUGACUAGCCAAAAGAAAAAGAAAAAGUUUCCAUGAGGAUCCACUAAUUAUGAAGUGAUUGAUUGAUGAGGGGUGUAAAUUUGGCUCCAUAGUUCAAAAUUAUAUUUGGACUAGCCUUUUUUUGUGUUUUAAAUCAUGGCUCUACCAUCCUCAUAGCUAUAUUCCUCUUUCUUAGCAUUAAGCUUUAAAUAUGUUGAUGUUAAUAAGAAAAAGUAAUAUGGCUAACAUAUAAGAAAAUGAAAUUGUGUACAAUUUUAAAAUGGGAAGUUAAACUUUGUACCUGAUUUUGAGCAUGGAUAUAGAUCACCGGGUUGUCCAUUUAUCAAUAAUGCAUCAGAGGGGUCAGGGUCACCUCCGGUUGCAAGCCCUUCAUCUCGAACCGCAUUCACAUCAUUCUUCCACCAUUCUCCUGCAUUUCAACAACUUCAAUAAUUUUAGAUUUUGCUUUGUUGGUUAAUUCAUAAUAUGUAAAUUAACCUUUAAAAGUAACAACACUUAUACCUAAUAUGAUAGGGACCUCUCUAUCAGGUUUGUGAAAAGGAUACUUGGUUCCAUUCUUGGGAUAGAUAAUUAUAGCUCCAUGAACAGUGGCUCGGGUCCAAUCACUGUGAGCAUGCCACCAUAGAGUGCCUUCUUCAGUGGAAAGGAUGAUCUUCUGUGUAAACUUUGACCCUGGCCGAAUUGGGCAUUGUGUGAUAUACUCGGGACCAUCUGUCCAUGGAUAUCUAGGCAUGGUCACCCCAUGCCUGCGAAACCAUAACUAUACGUUAAAACUAGUACUAAUUUUCAAAGUAACAAAAGAUGGCAUGCAACAACAUAUUAUCAUAAUAACAAGAGGCAUCAAUUNNNNNNNNNNNNNNNNNNNNNNNNNNNNNNNNNNNNNNNNNNNNNNNNNNNNNNNNNNNNNNNNNNNNNNNNNNNNNNNNNNNNNNNNNNNNNNNNNNNNNNNNNNNNNNNNNNNNNNNNNNNNNNNNNNNNNNNNNNNNNNNNNNNNNNNNNNNNNNNNNNNNNNNNNNNNNNNNNNNNNNNNNNNNNNNNNNNNNNNNNNNNNNNNNNNNNNNNNNNNNNNNNNNNNNNNNNNNNNNNNNNNNNNNNNNNNNNNNNNNNNNNNNNNNNNNNNNNNNNNNNNNNNNNNNNNNNNNNNNNNNNNNNNNNNNNNNNNNNNNNNNNNNNNNNNNNNNNNNNNNNNNNNNNNNNNNNNNNNNNNNNNNNNNNNNNNNNNNNNNNNNNNNNNNNNNNNNNNNNNNNNNNNNNNNNNNNNNNNNNNNNNNNNNNNNNNNNNNNNNNNNNNNNNNNNNNNNNNNNNNNNNNNNNNNNNNNNNNNNNNNNNNNNNNNNNNNNNNNNNNNNNNNNNNNNNNNNNNNNNNNNNNNNNNNNNNNNNNNNNNNNNNNNNNNNNNNNNNNNNNNNNNNNNNNNNNNNNNNNNNNNNNNNNNNNNNNNNNNNNNNNNNNNNNNNNNNNNNNNNNNNNNNNNNNNNNNNNNNNNNNNNNNNNNNNNNNNNNNNNNNNNNNNNNNNNNNNNNNNNNNNNNNNNNNNNNNNNNNNNNNNNNNNNNNNNNNNNNNNNNNNNNNNNNNNNNNNNNNNNNNNNNNNNNNNNNNNNNNNNNNNNNNNNNNNNNNNNNNNNNNNNAGGAGAGAAACCUGAAUUGGGAAUAGAAAUCUUGGUAAUUUAUUUGCCAGACUUUGCAUUUCCCUUAAUGUAGCUGCCACAAAGUUGCUGCUUUCAUUGUCAGACAGUCUGAAGCAAUUAGAAAAUGUGAAUCGGAGGCCCCCACAUUCCUUGGAUCUGUAGACACUUGAUGGACACAAAAUGUUUUCCAUAACUGUGCCAUCAUGGGCAUCUAUUUCUUCUAUACUUGAUGGAAGCUCUGGUAAUGAUUGAAGCCUCUUGCAACAACCCAACUUAAGGCCUUUGAGCUGUGAAAGUUGAUUGAGGCGUGCAGGUAGAGUAACAAAAUUGUUUCUGCUCAGAUCUAAAUAUUCCAAUGAGCACAGAGAGCUAAAGUCAUUGGGAAUUGCUCCUUCCAAUAUGUGGCAAUCACUUAGAUUUAACUUUCUUAGGGAUCUUAAACCAAAGAAAGAUGCAGUUGCCACACUAUUCUUAGAUUUAACUUUCUUAGGGAUCUUCAUAUUUAGUUUCAUAGGAAAGAUGUUUUCAAAGAAAUCUGCAUUCUUUGUUUCUAUUAUAGUAUUGACAUCUACCAGAUUAUUUUCUGACUUAGUAACAAGAAACCUAUAUGCCACACUAUUCUCAGCAUAGCCAAUGAACGUUGCAUCAAAGGUUUUAGGACCUAGUUUUCGUUUUUUAGGUUCGGGGAGAAGAACUUUAGCUAAACACCCCCACACUUUCAGGUAUGCUAUAUUAGGUGCAUAACCUUUCCACAACUCAUAAGGAGUUUUACUAGUUUUCUUGUAAGGUAUUCUAUUUUGAAUAUGACAUGCGGAUAGGAUAGCUUCCCCCCACAAGUUCAAGGGUGCUCCUGAACUUACUAACAUUGCAUUCAUAAUUUCUUUUAAGGUCUUAUUUUUCCUUUAUGCUAUUCCAUUAGACUCAGGGGAAUAAGGAGGAAUAAGGAGGAGUAGUUUCAUGAAUGAUCCCAUGAUCUUCACAAAAAGAAUUAAAGGGGUUGGACUCAUACUCUCCUCCUCUUUCAGUUCUAAGCCUUUUAAUUUUCUUACUUAGUUGAUUCUCCAUUUCAUUUUUGUACUUGAUGAAAGCAUCUCUUGCUUCAUCUUUGUUUCUCAAAAGAUAUACCCUUGUAUACCUUGAGUAGUCAUCUAUGAAAGUUAUGUAGAAUCGUUUACCACCUCUAGUCAUUGUAUUUUUUAGGUCUCCUAAGUCACUAUGUAUUAAACUUAGUAGAUCUGAUUCUCUUUCAACUGAUUUGCAAGAUUUCUUUGUGGUUUUAGAUUCUACACAAGAUCCACAUUUUCCAUGGUUUUCUAAGGACAGUUUAGGGAUUAAACUCAAUUCAACAAUUUUCUUCAUAUAUGAAAAGUUCACAUGUCCUAGUCUACCACAAGGAUUGAAAUAUUGGCAAAUACGGAUAUAUCGGUACUUGGAUUUUACGGAUAUAUCGGAAAUAUCAGAGAAAUAUCGGUUGAUAUUUUUCAUCAAAUAUCGGUGAGACAAAAAUUAUCCAAAAUUGAUGGGAAUGCUUAGAAAAAUCCAAAGAAUGAUAAAAUAAGCAAGAAUAUACAUGUUAAAGUUAUUUUAUAAGUGUAAUUGACAUAAAUAUGGUCAGAGAAAAAAAUAUCGGUAAACAGUUUACGAUACUUGGAUUUUAAGAAUUGAAAAUAUGAAAUUUGGAAUUGUACACUUGGAUAAAGUGAAGAUUGAUUUUCCACCAUUGGAUCACAAAUCUGACCGUUGGAGGCCUUUACAAAUACACGGGUGAAAUCUGGGCCAUCAGAUCCUCAAAAAUUCAAAAUUGGCCGUCAGAUCAAAAUCCUUGAAGUUGGAAAAAAUUGGCAAUAUAUAGGUAAAAUCCCUGAUUUUUUGGGCUCUUCCUCCGGCUUCUCCUCGCAUGCCUCCACUGGCGAUUUUUCGCCGAUUUAUCGGUGCUUCACCGAUAUUUCGCUGAUAUAUUGGCGAUUUUGCCGAUUUUUUACCGGUUUUUCCUUUGAUCGAUAAUCGGUGACGAUUAUUGUUUCGGUGCCGCCCGAUAUUCGAUAUUUCUCCGAAAUAUCGACGAUAUAUCCCGAUUUUUCAAUCCCUGGUCUACCAUGUCAAAUAUCAUAAGAAUCAACUAUGUAAGCAAAAGAAGAAGAUGUAUUAUUAUUGAUAAUAUCAUAAACAUUCAACAUAAAUAAACCCUGAUUACAAUAGCUCUUUCCCACAAAUGCAUCAUUCUUGGUUAAAACUAUUUUAUCAGAGUCAAACAAGAUCCUCACUCCUGCUUUUCCAAGUAGAGAUACCGACACCAAGUUCCAACGGAUAUCUGGCACAUGAAGAACAUCACGUAGGGCAAGCACUUUUCCAGAUGUUAGCUUGAGGAGAACUUUCCCUUUGCCAAUCACUGGAGUAGAUCUAGAAUCACCCAUGAACACUUGUUCCUCUCCUUUCUUUAUAGUGGUAUAGGAAGUAAAUGCAUUUCUAUUCCCACAGAUGUGCCUAUUAACCCCAAAGUCUACUACCCAUUCCUUCAUAUUGGUGACCAUGCUCACCUCAAAGGAGAUUACUGUUGUGAUCACCUCUGUCUCUGCCAGAUUUGCCUUUGAACUGGUCUUCUCAAUUCUCUUCCUAUGGCGACAUUGAGCUGCAUGGUGUCUAGACUUGCCACAGACAAAGCAAUUACCCCAUUUUUUAAUAAUUGAGUUUUGGACCUUGUUUAAUGCAUUGGGCUUUGUCCUAAAGUUUUGUUUCCUAAACCUAUUAUUUUUGGGUUUAGAUUUUUCUUCUACUACAUUAGCUUUAGAAGACAAUUCCUUAGUUUUCUCAAUAUUGUCCCUAUUUCGGUUUUGUUCCUCAAUCCUAAUAUGGAUUAUGACAUCCUCUAAGGACAUUUGUUUCCUUUUAUGUUUCAUUUUGUUUUUAUAGUCUUUCCAAGACUCCGGAAGAGCCUCUACUAAAUAACCAGCCACAAAAGGUUCGGGUAAUUUAAUGUCUUCAAUAGCUAAGUCAUUAAUCAACAAGUGGUAGUCAUGGAUUUGAGAUGAUACAACUCUAUCCUCACUCAUUUGGAAAUUUCUAAAAUUCCCUAUGGCAUAUUUAUGAGUUCCCGCAUCUUGCAAAAUAUAUUCUUUAUUCAUUGCAUCCCAAAUUUAUUUUGCAACUUUAAAUUGACAAUAAAUAUCAAAAAGUUCAUUAGAAAGUGUACUCAGAAUAGCAUGGCUAACUUGUUUAUUUCUAGUUUCCCAGGUUGGUAACAUAUGAGAACCAUCUUCUGGUUUUGGAUCAGUAAAAAUAUGUCCUAAGUUCACCACAUCAAUUGUAGAGAAAACCCUUUCCUGUCAUCUCUUAAAGAAUGUCCCAUUAAAUGGAUUAAUUUUAGAGGUGUCAGGAUGGGUGUGAAUUAGGGAAGCUUUCAUUUGAAUUUAUUUCAAGAUUGUUGGAUUUUAAGGGUAUGGAAACAAAGACUAGCCCAAAAGACACAAACAAAGAACAUCAUGAAUAAAAAAAAAAAACUUAUCGGCUGAGGCAUGACAAGCACUGUCCUUGAAAUAGAUCCACCCUCCUCAAAGACGAACUCGGUGCACUAUGUGAGAAAGGGUAUAAAUAAUGUGAGAUAAGGUACAAAAAAAUGUGAAAAAAAUGUACGAAUAAUGUGAGAAAAUGGUAUGCACAAUGUUAUAAAAUGGUAUGAACAAUGUGAAAAAAGAUACAAAUAAUAUGAGACAUGGUAUGAAUUAUGUGAGAGGGGAUACAAAUAAUGUGAGGGAAGGUACAAACACUAUGAGAAAGAGUACAAACAAAACAAGGAAAUGUACAAACAAUGUGAUAAAUGGUACGAAAAAUGUAAGACAUGGUAUGAAUAAUGUGAGAUAGGGUACAAAUAAUGUGAUAUAAUGUAUGAAGAAUGUGAGCAUGGGUAUGAAGAAUGUGAGAAAUUGUACGAAAAAUGUGGAAAAAAAAGUACGAACAAUGUGAGAAAUUAUACAAAACAAUGCAAGACAUAUGGUACAAAUAAUGUGAGAGAGAUGGUAUGAAAAAUUUGAAAUAUGAUACGAACAAUGUAAGGAAUGUUACAACCAAUAUGAGAAAGAAUACAAAGAAUAUGAGGAAGGAUACGAAGAAUGUGAGACAUAGUAUGAAAAAUCUGAGAAAGGGUACGAACAAUGUGAGAAAGAAUACAAAGAAUGUGAGAUAGGGUAUAAAUUGUAAAGAAGCCCAGAUCACUCUAUUCCAUAUCUUAGAAUUAGGUUAGAUGCAUGCAAAAACUUUCCUAGGUUUUUCUAAAUCCUAUGCAUAAUAAAAACAAACAUUUAAAAACUUUAGCAAGAUUUAAAAAUCAAAAGAGAAAAACUUUACAUUGAUUUGGAUAUUCUCAAAUCAAAUCCAUGUGGUGAAGUUGAAGCUUGAAGUAUUCAAAGGUCUCAAUGACUCAAACUCGAUAUUUGAACCCCAAAGGUGGGUUGGCUAUUGCUAUCUACAAAUUGGAUGAUAGAACACAACUAUCUUAAAAACCCUAACCUUUGAGAAGGUAUUUAUAGGGUUCCUUAAUUAGGCUUAAGUGACUUAAGCUUACCGUGGACUUAGGUCACUUAAUUUAGCUCAAAAUAUGUCUUAAUCAAUUAAUUACAUGACACUAUUAGGUUAAUUGAUUAAUUAACCUAAUACGGCCAAUCAAUUAACCUAAUAGGGCCAUGUAAUUAAUCAAUUAACCUAAUCUAGAGGUUUUAUUCACUUACCUUUGUGUAACCUUACAUAAUUACCAAAACAUUAUUAUGCACAAAAGUUAAUUAAGAGUUAACCUAACCCUUAUGAACCAUUCCACCAAGGUAUAUGAACUCGAGUGGGGACCCCACUAGGAACCAUAGGAUAAUACUGACACAUUCAUAAUCUAGUUUUGAAGUUAACUCAACAUUCCACUACAAAAAAUUAAUUGCACCACAAUAUCCUAUGUACAAUACAAUGAGACACCAAGUUCUCUAGAUCGUGACCUAUUAUCCACUAAUUGCACCACAAUAUCCUAUGUGCAUAUGAUCAAAUGACAUGCCCUACCUCACUAAGAGCAUACGUCAAAUUACUAAAGGAAUUACUAUGUCUCCACAAAUUUCAUGAUCACACGUCCUUAGGAUCACCCAAUGGAACACACUCUCUUAAAGUCCAUGAGAUAUCGUGGUGUCUCUAAUGAGAAUACCAAUUGUUAUCGGCUUCCAUCAAUAGUGACUUAAUCCAUAGGAAAUAUAUGAUCAACUUACGAUCUCACAAUAGGUCAAAACCUCUACUAACUUUAACUUAUAUAAGCUUAGUAUUCUCUUAAGGUUGAGAGACAAUACAAUAUAAUAGCUUGGUGAAGUCAUGACUACAUGAUAGUCUUAUGUCGUGACUCACCAUAGGUUCUGUUCAAUAUUGUGCAAACUUACACACUAGUGCACUCACCAUGGGAACCCCAUCCCAAUGGCCAAGACCAAUCAUUCCUCCUAUUAGAAGGUAGUGCACUACAACUUCUAAUGGGUUACCUAGGUUCAUGAACUAGCUAUGAACAAGUCAUCUAUUUGUAAUAAACCCAUGACUUGGAUCUUCUACGCAACUCCUAAUGCACUUAAGUCGCAUUUAAUCAAACCUAAAUGCUUACAAGGUAUAAUGAAUGUCAUGUCAUGUCAUGUCAUGCUUUUAAAGAUUUUAUCAUAACUUGAAUAAUGUGAGACAUGGUACGAACAAUGUAAGAGAGAGUACAAAUAAUAUAAGAAAGAGUACACACAAUGUUAGAAAGAGUAUGAACAAUGUGAGACAAGAUAUGAAGAAUGUGAGGGAGGGUAUGAACAAUGUGAAGGAGGGUACAAACAAUGUGAGACAAUACAUGAAGAAUGUGAGGAAUGAUACAAAGAAUGUGAUGAAUGGUACAAAGAAUGUGAGGCAAGGUAAGAAGAAUGUGAGAAAGCGUACGAACAAUAUGAGAAAGUGUAUGAACACUGUGAGACAAUGUAUGAAUAAUGUGAGAUAAUGCAUGAAUAAUGUAAGAUAGUGUACAAAACAAAGUGAGAAAGAAUACGAACAAUAUGAGAAAUUAUAUGAAAAAUAUGGAGGGUAUAAAGAAUAUGAGAUAUUAUAUAAAUAAUGUGAGAAAAUAUAUGAAAAAUAUGAGACAUAGUACGAAUAAUGUAGAAAUGGUACGAACAAUGUGAAAUAAGCUAUGAAGAAUGUGAGAAAUAGUACUCUUCAUAUCCUUUCUCACAUUAUUUAUACCCUCACUCAUGUACUUUUGUACAUAUUCUCACAUUCUUUGUACAUUAUCUCGCAUACAAUAGAUAUUGUUUUAUUAAAUACAAAAAUUUUUUAAAAAAUAUUGAAUUUUUAAAAAACCAAAUUGAUAACAUGUAUGGCUAAAUAAUGUAGUUCUCUAACUACUAUUUUUUUAUUAUUUUAUUUUAGUUUCUUCAUGGAUAUAAUGGACAAAGGCAAAGGAAAGAAAUUCAUCAUUGAUUUGAAUAAUGAAAACUUUGAUUAAUAAUAUGAUUGCAAUGUGAAAACGGAGUUUGACAAAAAGCCCAUGCUAGUUUAAGAGAAUAUUUUGUAUGGUUUAAGCCUUGAAGAUGUAUGGGAAAUGGAGUUCAACUCAAUAGAUGAGAUAGAAGAAUUUUACAAUUUAUACGUAAAGUUAACAAAUUCAAUGUUAGAAAGGAUGAUGUUAAAUGAGAUAAGAAUCAAAAUAUAGCAUCUCAUAUGUGGGUUUGCUCAAAGAAGGAUAAAGACAAACAAUAUGUUUGGAGAAUGAAAAUCGAAAACGAGAACAUAAGACAAUAACUAGAGUUGGUUGUGAGACAUCACUUCGUAUCGAGUUUAACAAACAAAUAAAUAAGUGCAUUAUGAUGGAGUUUAUGGGUGAUCAUAAUCAUCCUUUGGUGGAACCAAAAAUACCCAAUUCUUUCAAUCCCAAAGGGUCAUGAGGAAUGCAUAUAAGGCUUAAUUGAGUGCAAUGCGUAGUGUUUGCCUGAGAACUAGACAAUUUAUGGAUUACAUGGUGCAACAAUUAGAUGGAUAUAUUAAUGUGGGCUUCACAAAGAAAAAAAGAUCUAUAUAACCAUGUUAAUGUUGAUUGUAAAGUUCAGAUAAGAAAUGGUGAUACAAAGGGUACACUUUCUUACUUGUGUGGAAAGGUUUAAAUGGAUACAUCAUUUUAUUACAAGUACAAUGUUGAUAAAGACAAUCGCUUAACGAACUUGUUUUGGCCAAAUUCUACAAGAAUAUUGGAUUACACUUAUUUCAGAAAUGUGUUAGCAUUUAAUAGAACUUAUGAGACUAAUGCUAAUAGAAAACUAUUGGUCAUCUUAGUUGACAUUAACCAUCACAAUCAAAUUGUAGUGUUUAGAUGUGCAUUAUUGGUAGAUGAGAGUCUUUACACUUAUACAUAGGUUUUGGAGACAUUUUUGGAUGUAAUGAAUAAAAAGAGGUUUUUUUUUUUUUUUUUUUCUGUUAUUAUAGAUGAGGACAAAGCAAGGUGUCAAGCCAUUAAGAGAAUAUUUCUAAAGUUUUAUCAUUGGUUAUGUGCUUAUUAUAUUCAACGCAAGACAUUCAUUAAUGUCUAUGUCAAAGACUUUACUUAUCAUUUUUCUAGGUACAUGUUCAUGGAAGGCACCGUUAAUUUGAAUGUGCAUGGAGUGGCAUGGUGGAAAUGUGUAAUCUCCAUGAACAUAAUUGGGUGAUAGACAUAUAUGCUAAGUGUCCUAGAUGGGCAAAGGCUUAUUUAAAGGUGCAUUUUUUUGCAAGUUUGAAAGCGCACAAAGGUGUGAAAGGAUGAAUGCAUACUUGAAUAGUUUCCUUAAAACUCAUUUAAAGUUGUUUGAGUUUUUGAAGCAUUUUGAUUGAGCACUCUCAUGUAUUCAUCAUAAUGACGCAAAGGCAAAGUUUGAGAUGCACACUCUUUUACUUCUUCUAAACUCCAAACUCCAUGAAAUUGAGAAAUAUACAGAGAUUGUUUUCACUCGGAAAUCUUUUCUCAAAUUUAGGGAUGAAAUGAAUGCGAAACUUUUUUCCCUUAUUAGUACAAAAAAUCAUAGAGGUUAUCAUGUCCAUACAUUGACUAAAUUUAGAAGCUCUGACAAGUUCUCAAAAGUAUGUUAUGGUAAUUGUGAUUAGUCUAUGAAAUGUACUUGGAAAGGGAGACACAGGUUGGUGGUCUUUUGGGGGGAAUAGAAUAUAGAGAGGGAGACACCACUUUUUUGGAGAACGGAGGUCCACACAGGUUCAGAUUUUGGUGAGGCUUUCCCGGGAUUUUCGGAAGCAGAUUCAACAGAUUUUGGUGAAGGAGUUCUCUAGGCGGUUUUUUCUGUUGUUAAGUGGCAGCCGCAUGGACUGCAUGAGGAGGGUUGACGUCUCAUAGUUACCUUCUUUCCUCCAUUGAUAGUAGCCCACAAGGCCACCUUAAGUGGGCGACACAAUACGGCUGCCAUGCACGCAUGAGGCAGCCAUGACGCUGCCAUGUGGGAGAAGGUAGCAACCACUUCCGCAUUUUUUCUAUGUAUCUCCAGAAACUCCUUUGUACAGCCCACACACGGGCUAAUGAAGCAGAUUCGGCAUAUUUUUAGAGGGGGAAUCUUGAAACCACACAACAUCAAGAGACUUGGCCGGAAGUGUGAUGAUGGGUGUUUCCAAAGAAAAGUUAUAAUUCGCCCACUGUUGAAUAUGUUCAUAGAUGUGAAGGGUCCCACGAGCCUUGAAUUUGUCACUACAUGCAAAAUAUAUGCAGAAGUGAUUACAAAAGCAUGACCACCUUUUCCUGCAUGUGAAUGUGUUGAGCUCUAUGGUGCAAUUACUAAUGAAAUUCUCAAUUUGGUUGAUAAGUAUUUUGAGAUGCAAAAGCAUGAUGUUGUCUGGGCAUUGGAAAUUUAUCAGAAAGCAGGAGAGCCAUCAAGCAUUCACCCGACAAGCAAGAGAAACACAUAGGCCGCACCAUUCUCCAACAAGACACAACAACAUACAUUCUUGAAGGUAAGUCCCUUUUUAAAAUUUUAUUUUAGUUUAAUUUUAAUUUAUUUAGUUAGUUUAGAUGUUUUUUUUUUCAUAAUUAGUUUAAUUAAUUCUACAUUAUAAAGUUCUUAUUUUUCAUUCCGAUUUAGUUUAGUGUUGAUUUUUCUUUUAAUUUAAGUGUGUUUGUGCUUUUAAUUCAAUAGUUUAAUUAAUCUUAUUAGAUAAAGUUCAUAUAUAUAUAUAUAUAUAUAUUAUCCAAAUUAGUUUAGUUUUAAUCUAUCUUUUAGUUUAAGUGUGUUAGUAAUUUUAAUUCAGUAGUUUAAAUAAUCAUGUCAGAUAAAGUUCGUGUUUUUAAUUUUAAUUAGCUUCGUCUUAAUUUAUUCUUUAGUUUAGAUUUGUUGUUGAUUAUAAUUUAUUAGUUUAAUUAAUCUUAUUAGAUAAAGUCUAAUUUCAAUUUAGUUUAGUUUUAAUUUAUUCUAUAAUUUGAGUUUGUUUGCGAUUUUAAUUCAAUUGUUUAAUUAAACCUCCUAGGUAAAGAUCUUGUUUUUAAUUCCGAUUUAGUUUAGUUUUAAUUUACUUAUUUAUUUAUUUAUUUUAGUUUAGAUGUGUUUGUAAUUUUAAUUCGACAAUUUAAUCGAUCUUAUUAGAUAAAGUUGAUGUUUUUAAUUCUAAUUUAGUUUAAUUUUAAUUUAUUUUUUAGUUUAAAUGUGUUUGUGCGUUUAAUUGACCUUAUGCUAGCUCUUGAUUUGUUAUUCUCAAUUUAGGCGUUUUCUUGAAUCUUAGUCAUUAAUUCUUGGUGAAUAUCUCAUUAGUUUAUUUAAUCUAAGUUUUAAUCAUUUAUUAUUUCGGUAGUCUCUUGUCAAAUUUACUUUUCAGAUGCCAUCGGAAAAUAGUGAAGAUUGACCUCCAUUCUCACCACUUUAGUUUGUUUGGUUGUCAAAAAUUUUACUUUAUGAUUUUGUUUACUUUUAUUUUGCCUGUUUCUUAUGUUUUGAUUGUUUUCAAAUUAUUUUAUUUUAUUUUUAAAUAAAAUAUUUUUCUCAAAAGAUCCAUUUGAAAAUUCUAUUUUAAAAAUAAUUCAUUUAGAGUCCUUAGAAUCAGAAUAUCAUUUUUUAAUAAUAUGCAACCAUGUCUUGAUUGGUUUGCAUUUUUCUCAGUUUUCAAUAAAAAUUCUGGUUUUAAAUGGAAUAUGAAUCCAAGCUUGUGGUCCCAAACAAAUGGGAUAAUUCUGGGCUAGAUUUCUGUAUAUCAAUUAGGGAAUUGGUGAAACCCCUACAUAAGAAAAUUCUUCAAAACUCAUAUUUUUUGCCACCUUUGCUAUUUCAUGAAAUCAUGUCUAUUUAUUUUUUAGGAAUGAUAUACAAGAUUUAUGUGAUAAUUGAUUAUUUCGUAUACUUUGAUCAUUUUUGCUAGGCUAAUUAUAUAACAAGCACGUUAGGAUAUCUUUAUUUUAUUAUUUAUUAUCUAACCCCUCAUGUCUUGUGAAAGCACGUUACAAGUUAUCUAUGCUAUCCAAGUACGUCCUCUAUCACCCACCUUCUAAAUUUUGUGAAUAUACCGAUCACUGUGAACUGCACUUAUGUUUGAUAGUGUUUGGGUGUCUUGAUAUUUGUUUCAUUGUUCAAUUAUUUUUUAUAAAGCGCAUGCUAGAUGAUAUAUUAUUUGAACUAACUUUGAUGUCUUAUGAGGGCGCUAAGAAGCAGUUUAGGUACACACCCUAAAUCUUCUUUAUAAUUAUGAUUUGUUUUUCUUAUUUGGCAUGCUAUUUUUGAAAUCACCUAGCUUACUUAGGUAUCCAUGAUCAACCAAUUAAUUGUCACAUUUCCCUCAACUUAGCCAGUAGAGAUCUUUUUAGGGCUUAGAGGAGUGUUACCUCUUAAAAGUACCUUCCCAAUAGGUAACCUGAUUCUUGAACCAAGACUUGGGUUUUCGAGACAUGCUUUUCCAAAAUUGUGGAGUCACUUAUUUAUGGUUUUCUUUCUUGUUUUAUUUUCCCUUUAAAGUAAAAUAAAAUAAGGGGCGACUCCAGCUUUUCCAAAACUAAUUUUUCACCAAUAAAAGCGAGUCUCGCUGAUUGAGUGGGAACGCACGUGAAAAAUGUGGGUCCACAGUAUAUAUGGGGCAACCUAAAGGAUUUAUUGUUAUAAGAUAAGAACACCAAGUUAGAGAUAGAUACAUUUAGCUAGGUUGGUUUUUAACCAAUCCAAGAAUCAAAUAGGAGUUCAUUGGUUUUAACUAAAGUACAACAAAUUUAUUUAUUUACUCAUACUAAUCCAACUUAAUAUCAAUUCGAUUCAGUUUAGUUAACUCAAUUUAUACAAAAAUAUUGAGUUUGUAUGUUUUUUUUCACUUUGACCAUACAACCAAAAUGAUCAAAUUGUUUUAGAUAUAUAUAUAUUUUACAAGUAAUACAAUUAAAUUUUUUUAAAAUAUGUGUAGGAGCAACCUGUGGGUUAUUUGCUUGUUGGGAGUAAGUCAAUGAGUAGUAUUAUUGACAUAUUGGGCACUUGUGACUUGAAAUUAUAUUAUCAUCAUUAUUAAGUCCCAAAGUACAAUGAUUUUAAAUUUUAGAUCAUGCUUAUGCCAUAAGCAACUUUUAAUUUGUAAUAAAGCCAUACGAGUUAGGCUCCAAGCCACUAACACCGAAUUGUAGCCCAACUAAGUUGGCUUUGGAUGAGCAUGGUUCGACUCAUAAAGUCCCAAGAUUCUCCACAACACUUCAAAGUCCAAGCAAUUAUAUUUGUCCCACUCCUCUACUACUUGGGUUUCUUUGCCAGUCCACUUUUGGUAAGUGAUCUAGGUUGAAUUUUCCAUAAACCAAAUACCAAAAUAGAAUUACUCAAGUAAGAAGACUUCUAAAGAGAAUAGUCUAAAGAGCUACUACAAAAGAGAAUUGGAGAUGGUUAGAGUAAUGGUGGUGGCUAUUGAAAGGGUUGAUGGUGGUGGGAAGCCAUAGCUACUAGUGAAGAGGAAGUUAGGUGAAUUGGAGACUCAGUGAAGAAGAUAAUGCGAACUUGAUAAAAUUUCCUUCAACUUUUCCUUCUCUCUCUUAUUUCCCCCACUAAUUUUUAAGGAAAGUAGUAGGGAAAAUAUUACAAUAUUUUCUUUAGUAUUUUCCUUUAUAUUUUUUUUCCAUCAUAUUUUUCAUGUCACCCAAACUGAGGAAAAUAACUUUCCAUAAUAUUUUUUUUCCCUUUCCCUUGCAUUUUCUGAAAACUAAACACAACCUUUAUAAAUAAAAAAUUAAGAAUUACAGUAAGACGGUAUAUUCUUCCUUUUUCUUCCUGCAUUUCUACAUCCACUACUCAAUUUUACAUCAUAUUUUUACUCCCUUCUUCAAUCAGCAUUCCUCUCUUUAUAUAGAGUUAUCUUCACACUAAUUCAUAAGAUAAGAAAGAUGAAUGAACCUUGGGGCAAGGUUGGACAAUUGGUGGCAGCUAGUCAAGGCUAGAAGUCAACUUUUGCUUGACUUUUUGGGAAUGGGUAGCAACGUGUCGACCUCUCUUAAGCAUGAAAAUGGCUAGAACGUGUUAAGCUCUCUUAUUAGAUGACGUGUCAACUAUAGGGCAAUCAUAGGAUGGGGAAUAUAUGGUAAUUAUGCAAAAAAAGAAAAAAAGAAAAAAAGAAAAAAAAAAUCGAUAUCCAAUUAUAUAGAAAGACAUCUUCCAACAUUUGAUAUAAAUAAAAAUUAAGAGAAAAAUAUUUUUAAAAAGCAUAUUAAACUAAAAAUAGGGAAUUAAUAAUAAAAUAAAGUAAAAAGGUAAAAUUAAAACCAAAUAUUAAAAAUAAUAUUAUUUAGGUUAAAUCAUUGGGUUUGCUAGAAGAGUUUAUAUAUAUAUAUAUAUAUUAGUUUUUUUUCUUCUUUUUAAUCCUAUCUAUGUUGUUGAUAUUAAUGCAUUGAAUUUGAUGUUACCUAAAACAAAAUUAUAUUUCAUGUUCUCUAUUAUAAGUGGACAACCAUACCUUAUGUUAUAUUUUAGAUAAAGAACGAAUAAUGAAGAUUGGAGUUGUAAGAAAUUAGGAGAUCCUAAUUUUAAAUAUGUAACAAAGUUCUAUAAUCACUCCAAUCCACAUUUAAAAAUUGUAUUUCUUUCUAAUAUGGGAGCAAACUUUUUCCUUCUUUCUUAUAAUUUUCAUUUGGGAAUGAUUUAAAAAUAAAUAAAUAAAAGCCCUUCUCAAUAUUAAAAAAAACACUCUUAUAAAAAUUAAUUAGGUGGAUGGUAAGGUCAUAUUCGGGAUAGCUUCAUAUUUUUUGCUUUAAUUGAAACUUAAAAUCAAAAUUAAAGUAAUAAUUUUUAAGAUGUUGUAAAAGUUUUAUUAAACAUGAAAGAACUUAUUGUGUAAACAAAAAUAGAACUAUAGAAUUCUUAUAAGAAAUAACAAUUUUAUGAAUUCUAUAUGAAACCUUUUUUAAAAGUUAUAAGUUUUUUUAUAAAUAAUUAAAUAGGUAUAGAAACUUUUAUUCAACUUAAUUUUUUUUAACAGUUAAAAGUCAAUCCAAAUAAAAUUUAAAUAUAUUUGAAAAUCAUUUUUAAAAAUCCAAAAAAUCACUUAAAAAUAAUUUCUGAACUUUUUUUUUUUUUAAUUUACAUUCAAAUACUAAGUGAUUCUUUUAAAAAUCAUUUAUAAUGUCAAAAUAUUUUUUUAUGGAUAAAAACACUAGAAAUAAAAAACAUUUUAAUUCAUGAAAUUUCAUUUAUUGUUAUUUAUUUUUUGGGAUUUAAUUCUUUACAAUUAUUUUUGAGUGUUUAUAAAGUAUAAUUAGGUUAUGCCCAAAUUUAUUCCUUUAACUCUAUCCAUUAGAUAUAAGUAGCGUGAAAUUUUGGCCUGUCUCCACCUUUCUUCACUUCUGACAUUGUCAUGCAGUGCUUCGUCAAUGGAUAAUAUAUUAAUUUAUUUCUUAAUUUAAUAGCAUUGGAGUGUCAGCNNNNNNNNNNNNNNNNNNNNNNNNNNNNNNNNNNNNNNNNNNNNNNNNNNNNNNNNNNNNNNNNNNNNNNNNNNNNNNNNNNNNNNNNNNNNNNNNNNNNNNNNNNNNNNNNNNNNNNNNNNNNNNNNNNNNNNNNNNNNNNNNNNNNNNNNNNNNNNNNNNNNNGAGGACAUGAGUGCUUGGAACAUACCAGGGUUGGAUGCCUCGAAUCUGAUUGCAACCCAACCAUUCGAAGGAACAGAGAUGGUAUUCUGAAAGGGAGGAUCCACCAGAUUAUAGCGCAAAGGGUCCUUAUUUCCAUCGAAAUUCCCAAAUCCCCAUCCAACAACAUAGAAACUGUAUCCAUGGAGAUGCAUGGGGUGGUGUGUCGCUGCAAGCACAUUUGUCCCUUGAAAAACAAUCUCCACUGUGGAGUUAUACUCGAGCACCCUUACUUCUGUUCCGCUGCUCGGCAACUGAUAGAUUAAUGGAAGAUAAUCAGCUGUAAAAUCGAACACCAGUGGUGGAUCACUAGGAAAUUUAUCUCCAUAUACACCACUGAUGUUAUAAUAGUAAGCUUGCAGUAUGUCAACUGUAGGGGUAUGGAAGCUUAUGUUGUUUAUACUUGAGGAGAAUCGCGUCCCAUUGGCCCCUGCACAUGAAUUAUUGACGCAUGGGUACGAGUUUACAGAAACAGUGUAAAUCAGGUUAGUGCUCGUGCUCAAUGGGACAUUGCAAGGAUGUUCCGCAUUUGCUAAGCUUCGGAGGCCGGCCAUGACCUGAACGGAUGCAUUUGUGUCAUUGUAUGCAGGAAGAUAAGGCAAGGAGGGAGGUGAAGAUGGAGUGUAGUAUCCGUUGUAUUGUACAAUAGCUGUGGUGGUUGUGUUAUCAUAAAAGUCUUGAUAUUUCGGGGCAACAGAAUAAGUUAUAGCCGCCAUGUAAUAGUGAUCCGGGCGUUGGUUAGCUUCUAGUAAGACAUCAUAGGUUUGGCCAGGAAAUAUUGUGAUAAAAUCUCGUGUCAAUGGUUUCGUGUAGCUACCAUCUGUUCCAACCACUGUCAUUUUAUGCUUGUCAAUGGAGAAGAAGAGAGCCUCAUGCAAGGCAGCAUUGAUUAUGCGAAGUAGAUAGGUCUUUCCAUGAUCCACCGUUAGCUUGAAUGUGUCUGCAAUUAGAGAGGGAAAGUUGUAUACUUAUGACUAGCCAAAAGAAAAAGAAAAAGUUUCCAUGAGGAUCCACUAAUUAUGAAGGGAUUGAUUGAUGAGGGGUGUAAAUUUGGCUCCAUAGUUCAAAAUUAUAUUUGGACUAGCCUUUUUUUGUGUUUUAAAUCAUGGCUCUACCAUCCUCAUAGCUAUAUUCCUCUUUCUUAGCAUUAAGCUUUAAAUAUGUUGAUGUUAAUAAGAAAAAGUAAUAUGGCUAACAUAUAAGAAAAUGAAAUUGUGUACAAUUUUAAAAUGGGAAGUUAAACUUUGUACCUGAUUUUGAGCAUGGAUAUAGAUCACCGGGUUGUCCAUUUAUCAAUAAAGCAUCAGAGGGGUCGGGGUCACCUCCGGUUGCAAGCCCUUCAUCUCGAACCGCAUUCACAUCAUUCUUCCACCAUUCUCCUGCAUUUCAACAACUUCAAUAAUUUUAGAUUUUGCUUUGUUGGUUAAUUCAUAAUAUGUAAAUUAACCUUUAAAAGUAACAACACUUAUACCUAAUAUGAUAGGGACCUCUCUGUCAGGUUUGUGAAAAGGAUACUUGGUUCCAUUCUUGGGAUAGAUAAUUAUAGCUCCAUGAACAGUGGCUCGGGUCCAAUCACUGUGAGCAUGCCACCAUAGAGUGCCUUCUUCAGUGGAAAGGAUGAUCUUCUGUGUAAACUUUGACCCUGGCCGAAUUGGGCAUUGUGUGAUAUACUCGGGACCAUCUGUCCAUGGAUAUCUAGGCAUGGUCACCCCAUGCCUGCGAAACCAUAACUAUACGUUAAAACUAGUACUAAUUUUCAAAGUAACAAAAGAUGGCAUGCAACAACAUAUUAUCAUAGUAACAAGAGGCAUCAAUUGUAUUUCAAUGGAACUAAAGCAAAUAACCUUAAAGUAUUGUUUUAAAUUUGACUUUAUUUUCAAAGUUAUAUAUUGUAGCCCCCUCUUAGAUAUAAAAGAAUGUAUGUCAUGCAAGCAUGCUACCACUGCUCUUUCUUUGAGACACGCACAGGACCUACCAAUGAAUGGUGAUGUUUUCGUUUCCCUUGUUAUAAACGUCGACAAUGAUCGUCUCUCCUUUCGUAGCAUAUAUGGUUGGUCCCGGAAAUUUUCCAUUUACUGUUAAGAUGUUCUUGGUGCUACAAAGCCUUUUAUAUGAAGCUUCCCUCACCUGCAACCAAUUAAAAGUUAGCCAUGCAACCUCAUCCCAAAAGAAAUAUUACAUGCAUGAAUAGUUGUAUCGAUCCAUUCAUGUAAGUGUAUAACCAAUUAGAAAUUGAUAGCAUGCAUGAAUGACUCAACGACACCAAGGUAGUAGGUCAUAUGGUACGAAAUGAGAGCCAUACCACUCCCUAAAUAUCAUGAUUACAAGGUGGCGUUAAGGCCAGAAUCAUAUAUAGAAUUUACCACAAAAGUAAGCCGACGGGUCGAAGCUUGGCAAUGGAUUCCACCACCAAAAACUAGAAACGCUAAAAUUUGCAGGAGGAAAACCUUCAUGAUCAGCCACAUUUUCCUUGGAAUAAAAGCCUCUUCUCUUGUCCUAAACACAACUCCUUCAAUUCUCUUACUGCUUUUGAUGUAUUUCUUUCAUAUAUGGUUCAUUAUAUAGGCAUGGUAAUUCUCUCGGGAUACAAUACGUGUCAAUAUAAGAGGAAGUGAUUUGAAUGUGUAUUGGUUUUCAAUGUUCUUUCAGGACGACUUCAAUGAGCAGGACCACUUCAAAAAUAAUUAAUUACGUACACGUUAUUGAUUAUUUUAGAAUAUUCUUUCAAAAGUCUUUUAUUGAUUAUUUCAACAAAUUUUAAUUAAUUAAAUAUAUGUAGAAUAAUUUUAAAACUUUGACUUCCCGUAUGAGUACAAUUUGUCAUGAUCGUUGGUGUAGAUAUAAAAAGAGACUAAAUUAAAGGAUUUUGAAAAUGUGUCGACAAGAACAUCAUUGAAAAAUUUGAAGGUUCCAAUUUUGUGGGUCAUGCAAUUUAUUGGACACUGAAUGGAUAAACAAGCCACGCUCUCCACUUAUUUUCUUUCAAUAUAUAAGCCUUGUACGUGAUGUUGGUUGACUAUUAUGAUAGUAAAUUCGGGAGGAUGUUUAAAUGGACGGGCAAGAUAAGAAAUAGAUUUUCUAUUAAGAUAUUUGAAUGGAGAUGAAAGCAUGGGUAUAGGUUUGUACUAAGGAAAUGAACAUAUGAUUAAAAUAAACCUGAUACAGUUAGUCUAUAAGAAUGGAUCCUGUUUCUAACCUUUUAACACACAAAUUUGGAAACCUAAACCUAUGGAUUGUUUCUUUCCUAUAAUGGAAUCCUAUGUUCCUUCUCAAAGCAGCGCUGACUUUUCCCUUCCUACCAACUACAAAGAGAAAAUCUUGACUAAUCUCGAUAAAGGUUUAUUUUAUCUAUACAUGCGAGGUCAAAGUUUUAAAAGUAUUCUACAUAUAUUUUAAAUUUAUUCUAAAAUAAUGUGUUUGAUUAAUUUCUUGGUCAAUUCUCAAAGUCAAACUUGUAUUUUGAAUUGGAAAAUUCUAGAGAUUCUAAGAAACUCGUCUUCUACGAUACACAACCUGAUUGAAGCUGAGCUGUGAGAAAUUUUCACAAUUGUUAGCAUUCUUCAGGCAUUUGGUUUAUUUAAAUUUUGGUAAUAGUCAUAUGAUAGUAAAUUCGGGAGGAUGCUUGCAUGCAUGGGCAUCAUGAUUUUUUUUGAGAUGUUUAAAUGGACGUGAAAGAUAAGAAAUAGAUUUUCUAUUAAGAUAUUUGAAUGGAGAUGAAAGCAUGGGUAUAGGUUUGUACUAAGGAAAUGAACAUAUGAUUAAAAUAAACCUGAUACAGUUAGUCUAUAAGAAUGGAUCCUGUUUCUAACCUUUUAACACACAAAUUUGGAAACCUAAACCUAUGGAUUGUUUCUUUCCUAUAAUGGAAUCCUAUAUUCCUUCUCAAAGCAGCGCUAAACCUAAACCUGAUACAGUUAAUCCUAUAUUUAAAAUACAAGUUUGACUUUGAGAAUUGACCAAGAAAUUAAUCAAACGCAUUAUUUUAGAAUAAAUUUAAAAUAUCCUUUCACAAGUCUUUUAUUGAUUAUUUCAACAAAUGUUAAUUAAUUAAAUAUAUGUAGGAUAUUUUUAAAACUUUGACCUCCCGUAUGAGUACCCUUCUGAAAAGUCGGGAGGAUGUUGGUUGACUAUUAUGAUAGUAAAUUCGGGAGGAUGCUUGCAUGUAACAAUUUUAUUUUAUUUUAUUUUAAAAUUUAUUCUAAAACCAUAGGUUUAGGUUUCCAAAUUUGUGUGUUAAAAGGUUAGAAACAGGAUCCAUUCUUAUAGACUAACUGUAUCAGGUUUAUUUUAAUCAUAUCUUCAUUUCCUAAGUACAAACCUAUACCCAUGCUUUCAUCUCCAUUCAAAUAUCUUAAUAGAAAAUCUAUUUCUUAUCUUUCACGUCCAUUUAAACAUCCUCCCGAAUUUACUAUCAUAAUAGUCAACCAACAUCACGUACAAGGCUUAUAUAUUGAAAGAAAAUAAGUGGAGAGCGUGGCUUGUUUAUCCAUUCAGUGUCCAAUAAAUUGCAUGACCCACAAAAUUGGAACCUUCAAAUUUUUCAAUGAUGUUCUUGUCGACACAUUUUCAAAAUCCUUUAAUUUAGUCUCUUUUUAUAUCUACACCAACGAUCAUGACAAAUUGUACUCAUACGGGAAGUCAAAGUUUUAAAAUUAUUCUACAUAUAUUUAAUUAAUUAAAAUUUGUUGAAAUAAUCAAUAAAAGACCUUUGAAAGAAUAUUCUAAAAUAAUCAAUAACGUGUAGGUAAAUAAUCAAGAACAUCUUAACAGUAAAUGGAAAAUUUCCGGGACCAACCAUAUAUGCUACGAAAGGAGAGACGAUCAUUGUCGACGUUUAUAACAAGGGAAACGAAAACAUCACCAUUCACUGGUAGGUCCUAUGCGUGUCUCAAAGAAAGAGCAGUGGUAGCAUGCUUGCAUGACAUACAUUCUUUUAUAUCUAAGAGGGGGCUACAAUAUAUUACUUUGAAAAUAAAGUCAAAUUUAAAACAAUACUCUAAGGUUAUUUGCUUUAGUUCCAUUGAAAUACAAUUGAUGCCUCUUGUUACUAUGAUAAUAUGUUGUUGCAUGCCAUUAUAGGAUUCCAUUAUAGGAAUAUAGUUAUGGUUUAGGUUUCCAAAUUUGUGUGUUAAAAGGUUAGAAACAGGAUCCAUUCUUAUAGACUAACUGUAUCAGGUUUAUUUUAAUCAUAUGUUCAUUUCCUUAGUACAAACCUAUACCCAUGCUUUCAUCUCCAUUCAAAUAUCUUAAUAGAAAAUCUAUUUCUUAUCUUGCCCGUCCAUUUAAACAUCCUCCCGAAUUUACUAUCAUAAUAGUCAACCAACAUCACGUACAAGGCUUAUAUAUUGAAAGAAAAUAAGUGGAGAGCGUGGCUUGUUUAUCCAUUCAGUGUCCAAUAAAUUGCAUGACCCACAAAAUUGGAACCUUCAAAUUUUUCAAUGAUGUUCUUGUCGACACAUUUUCAAAAUCCUUUAAUUUAGUCUCUUUUUAUAUCUACACCAACGAUCAUGACAAAUUGUACUCAUACGGGAAGUCAAAGUUUUAAAAUUAUUCUACAUAUAUUUAAUUAAUUAAAAUUUGUUGAAAUAAUCAAUAAAAGACUUUUGAAAGAAUAUUCUAAAAUAAUCAAUAACGUGUAGGUAAAUAAUCAAGAACAUCUUAACAGUAAAUGGAAAAUUUCCGGGACCAACCAUAUAUGCUACGAAAGGAGAGACGAUCAUUGUCGACGUUUAUAACAAGGGAAACGAAAACAUCACCAUUCACUGGUAGGUCCUAUGCGUGUCUCAAAGAAAGAGCAGUGGUAGCAUGCUUGCAUGACAUACAUUCUUUUAUAUCUAAGAGGGGGCUACAAUAUAUUACUUUGAAAAUAAAGUCAAAUUUAAAACAAUACUCUAAGGUUAUUUGCUUUAGUUCCAUUGAAAUACAAUUGAUGCCUCUUGUUACUAUGAUAAUAUGUUGUUGCAUGCCAUUAUAGGAUUCCAUUAUAGGAAUAUAGUUAUGGUUUAGGUUUCCAAAUUUGUGUGUUAAAAGGUUAGAAACAGGAUCCAUUCUUAUAGACUAACUGUAUCAGGUUUAUUUUAAUCAUAUGUUCAUUUCCUUAGUACAAACCUAUACCCAUGCUUUCAUCUCCAUUCAAAUAUCUUAAUAGAAAAUCUAUUUCUUAUCUUGCCCGUCCAUUUAAACAUCCUCCCGAAUUUACUAUCAUAAUAGUCAACCAACAUCACGUACAAGGCUUAUAUAUUGAAAGAAAAUAAGUGGAGAGCGUGGCUUGUUUAUCCAUUCAGUGUCCAAUAAAUUGCAUGACCCACAAAAUUGGAACCUUCAAAUUUUUCAAUGAUGUUCUUGUCGACACAUUUUCAAAAUCCUUUAAUUUAGUCUCUUUUUAUAUCUACACCAACGAUCAUGACAAAUUGUACUCAUACGGGAAGUCAAAGUUUUAAAAUUAUUCUACAUAUAUUUAAUUAAUUAACAUUUGUUGAAAUAAUCAAUAAAAGACUUGUGAAAGGAUAUUUUAAAUUUAUUCUAAAAUAAUGCGUUUGAUUAAUUUCUUGGUCAAUUCUCAAAGUCAAACUUGUAUUUUGAAUUAGAAAGUUCAAGAGAUUCUAAGAAAGUCGUCUUCUACGAUACACAACCUGAUUGAAGCUGAGCUGUGAGAAAUUUUCACAAUUCUUAGCAUUCUUCAGGCUUUUGGUUUAUUCAAAUUUUGGUAAGUAAUCAAAUAUCAUACACAACUUGAAGUGGUCCUGCACAUUGAAGUGGUCCUGGAAGAACAUUCAAAACUGCACAUUGAAGUGGUCCUGGAAGAACAUUCAAAACCAAUACACAUUCAAAUUACUUGGCUUAUAUUGAUACGCGUCGAGGAAUUGUUGAUACCCAAGCCACAUGUGAUCUGAUUUAAUGAAUCUCUGCCCUUCAUCCGAAGAAUUCUGGUGUUCUGGAUUGAUGGGAGCAAAAAGGUGACCAGUUUUACCUUGAGUCAAAUUCAAAUGACAAAAUAUAUUACCAGGGCAAUCAUGGACACCACCCUUAACUACAAAAAUAGCGCACACAGCCAAUCCCAUCAACCUAGUAUACACCAAUUUGGAGGCAGAUGUACCAUAUUACUGUGGAGUCUAUACUCUGUUGGCUGAACCACUCAAGAAUUCAACUUCCAGGAACAAAAGUACUGGAUUCAAUAUGUGGAGUAUAUGGCACCAUCUGGGUCAUGAAAAUCAAUGUCAAGUUAUAUGGAAAUAAUGUAGGAGUAGUGCUCAAAGGAGUAUAAGAAUUAUUCCAUAGGAUUUAAUUGAUUUACUUUUACAAUAUGAUCAAGAGAGAGAGGAGAGAAACCUGAAUUGGGAAUUGAAAUCUUGGUAAUUUAUUUGCCAGACUUUGCAUUUCCCUUAAUGUAGCUGCCACAAAGUUGCUGCUUUCAUUCUCAGACAGUCUGAAGCAAUUAGAAAAUGUGAAUCGGAGGCCCCCACAUUCCUUGGAUCUGUAGACACUUGAUGGACACAAAAUGUUUUCCAUAACUGUGCCAUCAUGGGCAUCUAUUUCUUCUAUACUUGAUGGAAGCUCUGGUAAUGAUUGAAGCCUCUUGCAACAACCCAGCCUAAGGCCUUUGAGCUGUGAAAGUUGAUUGAGACGUGCAGGUAGGGUAACAAAAUUGUUUCUGCUCAGAUCUAAAUAUUCCAAUGAGCACAGAGAGCUAAAGUCAUUGGGAAUUGCUCCUUCCAAUAUGUGGCAAUCACUUAGAUUUAACUUUCUUAGGGAUCUUAAACCAAAGAAAGAUGCAGUUGCCACACUAUUCUUAGAUUUAACUUUCUUAGGGAUCUUCAUAUUUAGUUUCAUAGGAAAGAUGUUUUCAAAGAAAUCUGCAUUCUUUGUUUCUAUUAUAGUAUUGACAUCUACCAGAUUAUUUUCUGACUUAGUAACAAGAAACCUAUAUGCCACACUAUUCUUAGCAUAGCCAAUGAACAUUGCAUCAAAGGUUUUAGGACCUAGUUUUCGUUUUUUAGGUUCGGGGAGAAGAACUUUAGCUAAACACCCCCACACUUUCAGGUAUGCUAUAUUAGGUGCAUAACCUUUCCACAACUCAUAAGGAGUUUUACUAGUUUUCUUGUAAGGUAUUCUAUUUUGAAUAUGGCAGGCGGAUAGGAUAGCUUCCCCCCACAAGUUCAAGGGUGCUCCUGAACUUACUAACAUUGCAUUCAUAAUUUCUUUUAAGGUCUUAUUUUUCCUUUAUGCUAUUCCAUUAGACUCAGGGGAAUAAGGAGGAAUAAGGAGGAGUAGUUUCAUGAAUGAUCCCAUGAUCUUCACAAAAAGAAUUAAAGGGGUUGGACUCAUACUCUCCUCCUCUUUCAGUUCUAAGCCUUUUAAUUUUCUUACUUAGUUGAUUUUCCAUUUCAUUUUUGUACUUGAUGAAAGCAUCUCUUGCUUCAUCUUUGUUUCUCAAAAGAUAUACCCUUGUAUACCUUGAGUAGUCAUCUAUGAAAGUUAUGUAGAAUUGUUUACCACCUCUAGUCAUUGUAUUUUUUAGGUCUCCUAAGUCACUAUGUAUUAAACUUAGUAGAUCUGAUUCUCUUUCAACUGAUUUGCAAGAUUUCUUUGUGGUUUUAGAUUCUACACAAGAUUCACAUUUUCCAUGGUUUUCUAAGGACAGAUUAGGGAUUAAACUCAAUUCAACCAUUUUCUUCAUAUAUGAAAAGUUCACAUGUCCUAGUCUACCAUGCCAAAUAUCACAAGAAUCAACUAUGUAAGCAAAAGAAGAAGAUGUAUUAUUAUUGAUAAUAUCAUAAACAUUCAACAUAAAUAAACCCUGAUUACAAUAGCUCUUUCCCACAAAUGCAUCAUUCUUGGUUAAAACUAUUUUAUCAUAGUCAAACAAGAUCCUCACUCCUGCUUUUCCAAGUAGAGAUACCGACACCAAGUUCCAACGGAUAUCUGGCACAUGAAGAACAUCACAUAGGGCAAGCACUUUUCCAGAUGUUAGCUUGAGGAGAACUUUCCCUUUGCCAAUCACUGGAGUAGAUCUAGAAUCACCCAUGAACACUUGGUCCUCUCCUUUCUUUAUAGUGGUAUAGGAAGUAAAUGCAUUUCUAUUCCCACAGAUGUGCCUAUUAACCCCAAAGUCUACCACCCAUUCCUUCAUAUUGGUGACCAUGCUCACCUCAGAGGAGAUUACUGUUGUGAUCACCUCUGUCUCUGCCAGAUUUGCCUUUGAACUGGUCUUCUCAAUUCUCUUCCUAUGGCGACAUUGAGUUGCAUGGUGUCUAGACUUGCCACAGACAAAGCAAUUACCGCGUUUUUUAAUAAUUAGAUUUUGGACCUUAUUUAAUGCAUUGGGCUUGGUCCUAAAGUUUUGUUUCCUGAACCUAUUAUUUUUGGGUUUAGAUUUUUCUUCUACUACAUUAGCUUUAGAAGACAAUUCCUUAGCUUUCUCAAUAUUGUCCCUAUUUCGGUUUUGUUCCUCAAUCCUAAUAUGGAUUAUGACAUCCUCUAAGGACAUUUGUUUCCUUUUAUGUUUCAUGUUGUUUUUAUAGUCUUUCCAAGACUCCGGAAGAGCCUCUACUAAAUAACCAGCCACAAAAGGUUCGGGUAAUUUAAUGUCUUCAAUAGCUAAGUCAUUAAUCAACAAGUGGUAGUCAUGGAUUUGAGAUGAGACAACUCUAUCCUCACUCAUUUGGAAAUUUAUAAAAUUCCCUAUGGCAUAUUUAUGAGUUCCCGCAUCUUGCAAAAUAUAUUUUUUAUUCAUUGCAUCCCAAAUUUAUUUUGCAACUUUAAAUUGACAAUAAAUAUCAAAAAGUUCAUUAGAAAGUGUACUCAGAAUAGCAUGGCUAACUUGUUUAUUUCCAGUUUCCCAGGUUGGUAACAUAUGAGAACCAUCUUCUGGUUUUGGAUCAGUCAAAAUAUGUCCUAAGUUCACCACAUCAAUUGUAGAGAAAACCCUUUCCUGCCAUCUCUUAAAGAAUGUCCCAUUAAAUGGAUUAAUUUUAGAGGUGUCAGGAUGGGUGUGAAUUAGGGAAGCUUUCAUUUGAAUUUAUUUCAAGAUUGUUGGAUUUUAAGGGUAUGGAAACAAAGACUAGCCCAAAAGACACAAACAAAGAACAUAAUGAAUAAAAAAAAAAAACUUAUCGGCUGAGGCAUGACAAGCACUGUCCUUGAAAUAGAUCCACCCUCCUCGAAGACGAACUCGGUGCACUAUGUGAGAAAGGGUAUAAAUAAUGUGAGAUAAGGUACAAAAAAAUGUGAAAAAAUGUACGAAUAAUGUGAGAAAAUGGUAUGCACAAUGUUAUAAAAUGGUAUGAACAAUGUGAAAAAAGAUACAAAUAAUAUGAGACAUGGUAUGAAUUAUGUGAGAGGGGAUACAAAUAAUGUGAGGGAAGGUACAAACACUAUGAGAAAGAGUACAAACAAAACAAGGAAAUGUACGAACAAUGUGAUAAAUGGUAGGAAAAAUGUAAGACAUGGUAUGAACAAUGUAAGAAAAAUAAAAAAUAGAUAAGAUUAAUAAAUUAUUUUUUCAUUAAUAUAAAUUAAAUAAUUAAAAUACCUAAGUUUUUCAAAAAUUUUAAUCAUGGUAGUGGGCCUUUGAUCAACCAAAGAUAGCCCAUGUAUCAUUUUCCAAAGUGAAGCACAACAACCUUAUAACAGUGAUGUCACAUAGCAAUUCAUUAUUCAUUAUUUUGUUUUCCCUUUUCAAUGUGGAUUUUCUUAAAGCUAUUAAAAAAACACACAAAAUCAAGAUUUGAGCAUGGGUCUUUCACAAUAUCUUUUAUAUACUAAUAAUUAUAAAUUAAUUAAAAUGAAAUUAUUAUAAAUAAGUUAAUUUUAAUUAUCUUAUUAUGUCUCAUAUAAAGUGAUUAGAUAUAGGAUAAAUAUAAAUUUAUAAAUAAAAUUAUUAACAUUUUCAAAUAAAAAAUAUAAAUAUAUAUCAAUUUUUUUUAUAUCCUUUAGUAUAUCUAAACUUAAUGCAUUAUCAUUUUAGUAUUAAUAUUUCCCAAUUCGGUAUAUUAUUGUCUGAGAUUACAAAUUUAUUAUACAUUUAUCAAUUUUUCUUAAAACAAUAUCAUUAUAUACAUUAUUACUUUUCUAUCAUUUUUUGAGUUAUUUCCAACAUUUCAUAAGGUUUUAUCAAUUUCCAUCUUAUAUAUAUAUAUAUAUAUAUUUCAGAAUUUUCAUUGAUAUUUCUUUAUAUAUCUAUAAACUCCAACUAAUGAUAUAUCGGUAAAAAUCAAUAUUUUUAUUCUUACUUAACAUAAGAAAGAAAAUUAUUCAAAUGGUGCAUAAAUUAAUGUGACCUCCUGAUGAGAAUGACAAUGACAACCAUGAGUCAUAAUUAGUGUAUGUGUGUGGUAAAUUAACUUAGUGUUUGAUAAAAUAAUUAUUUAUCAUCAUUUAAAAUUUAAAAAUAAAUUUAAAUGUUAAAUCAAAAUAAUUAACUUAUUCUAAAUACUAAUUUUUUUUAUUCUCUUUGUUCAUAUUUGGUGAUAACCAUGCUUUAUUUUUAGAAUUCUUUUUUUUUUUAGUAAAUAUUUUGUAGUUAUUUUGUAGCUUCACAAUAGUACUUUUUAAUAUAAAUGUUUAACAAGCUUGAGUUUAUGAAGAUAAAUAUUAAGAAAAAUUAAUGAGUUUAAAUAUAUCAAUAUAAUAACUUUUAAAAAAUUAAGUUGAUUUUACCAAAAUAAAAAUAAAAAUAAUUCAUCUUAAAAUUAAUUUCAAUAAUUAAGUAAUAAGGAUUAAGUUUUAUCAUACACUCUCUUAAUUAAUAAAUGACAUAACUUCUUUCAACAACUUCUUCGUUCUACUUUUGAAAAAAAAUAAUAAUAAUGUGAUAUUUAUUUAUUUAUGUCUAAAAUUUAAAUAUACUUGAAUUUGACUUAAAUCUAAAUAUAGCUUAAUAUUAUUAAGUGUUCAGACUAUUUUUUUUUAUUUGUGUCUAAAUAUUAUUAACUGUUAAAUUGUUUCUUUUUAUUAAUAUCAAAAUAUGUGAAGUGUUAAAUUUAUUUAUUUUUGGUUAAAAACAUUUAUAAAAGUAAUUGUUAUAUUUCUUCUUAUUUUAAUUUGAAAAGUUAUAAUUUAACAAAAUAGUAAUUUAAUUAACACAUCUAAAAAAUAUUAUAAUACAUUGUCAAAGUAAAAAUUUUAUAAUGAUAAUUAUGUAAUUAGUAAAUUAUAUUAUUGUACAAUCCAUUGUUCCAUGUCGUAUAAUAUAGAAUAGCUAUGCAUACCCAUCAGUGCAUAGACAUAUAUCUUUUGAUAAUCUAUCAUGAAUGUCACCUGGACUCUAAGUGAAGUAUGUAGCUAUUAUACUAUAAAGAUGGCAUAGGAAGAGGCUCCGGGUUUACUAGUUCUCACUCAACCAUAGAAAUAGGGAAUAUAUUGCACAUUAUUUUCAUCUAAAAGAAAGGUAGAAAGACCUUAGAAAUGGAACUUUUAGAUAAAACCUAAGGGUGGCAAUGAGAUGAGUCUAAGAAGGAUCACCUCAAUCUCAAUCUUAUGCCAUUUAUUUAUAUUAAAUGGGGUGAGAUAAGACAAAAUUAUAUUCGAACCUGUCUUGAAUUUGGUUCGAGGGCAAGAAGGGUCUUUACAAAAAUCAGCCUCAUUGUCAUUCUUAGGUACGCAUCUAUACCAAUGAAAGUUUUUACAUCUAUUAAAAAAUUUAAUGUUCCCGAUGUUAAUUAACUUCACCAGACUACAUACACUUCAUAAUCGUGAAAAAGUGUUAAAAUUCUCAACCAAUCAAUGACAUAAACUACAAUCAAGUUUAGUACAUCGUAACCCUAAAAUACCUCCAAACCCCAUUUCUUGUAAGACCCCCUUCUGAUUAGGUUGCAAAUGUUGAAGUGCAUUAUACAACUAAUUAGGCGAACAACAAGUGUCAAGGUAAGACUGCAAGCCAUACAUAUACAUAUGCAUAUAAAUUCGAAAUUGAAAGAAAAUAUUAUCAAAUUUUAAAAAGAUAAAUUUCAAUUUUUUUUUUGUCUUUGAUACAUUUUUUGAGCUUGUACCAUUUUGUUUUACAUAUUCAUUGGAGUAUUUCUUCAUCAUGGGUCUUCAUCCAUUAGGGCACCAAGGAGAGCAAGUUCAUUGGCACGUGCUUUAAUGGUAUGUAGGAAGGUAGUGAUGCUUUGCAAACCCUUGGUGUGAUUCUUAAGGUGGUUGUUGACUUGUUUAAUGUAGACAUGUGAUAGUUUGACAUAGGUAUUGGUGAAGAUGAUCUAUGCUUCACGAAAGGUUGUGGCACAGGCAAUGAAUGGAAUUAUGGUGGGUGAAACGGAGCCAAUAAGUGCAUUUAGGAUCAAUUGAUCUUGAUGAAGCAAGAAUAGGUUGGGUUGGGUAUUACAGUGUCGUUGGCAUAGUGGUGGGUGGACAAGGUUUGGUUCUAUCAAUAUAGCUAAGGCGGUCAAAGCCAAUAAAUAGUGUUUGGAAUUGAAAUCUUUAUGAUAUAUAGUUGGUAGUGGUUAGUUUAAGUGGGGCUCGAGCAAAAACAUUUAUUGAGAUGAGUAUUUGGUGUGACUCAUGGGUGUUGUGAAUAUUGAGAGUAGAAGUUACAGAAGUGGUGACAUCUUAGGUGGCCAUGAGGCUAUGAUGAUGGGGAGGAGCAUUAGAUGGCUUUGGCAUAGAAAAAGAGGUAAGAAGGAAGAACAAGUGGUGGUGAGGGUUUUCAGGUUAAGAAGCUUGAAUGCUCUGAUGUCAUAUUGAAGAAUGAGAUUGGUAAAUUAUUUUUCUAGGUUGAUUCUAUGUUGCUUAUAUGCAUGAUUCACCAAGGGUUUCUGACAAGCAUUAGCUAAGGGUGGCUGAACCCAAUGACAGACCAGAUGAAGGAUUAAUAAUAUAUUGCACUCCAGCAGUUCAACCAAUUCCCUUCGUUUCCUUAAUGACUUCUUUUGGUGACCUAUCAAUUUCUCUCUUGGAAAGUCUAGUAAUGGGUUGCCAAUUACCUAAAAGUUACUUCUGAGGUUUUGUUUUGUUGAUUCUAUGCUAACUGAUAAUCUGCAGAGGAAACAACUUGUUCGUCUGGAGAAGGUCUUGAAGCAUGCACUGUGAUGAAUUUGACCAGAAGAGUAAACUCAUCAAGUCCAUAUUAAGUCAUCAGGUUCCAGUAGAGCUAUUUCAAAAACUUCUUUAAUGCAUUAGCAUUUAAAAAUUGAAACAAUAAAAUAACAUAUAUUAUUGAUACUAUCAUUUAAAACAAGAAAUAUAUUGUUGAUAAUGGCAUUUAAAACAAUAAAAUAGUGCAUUAGACCUGCAUUCAAAUCUUCAAUUCUCAAACACCACCAACCCACCCAUGAAUAGAGAAAGAGAAGAGAACCCUAGCAAAAGUAGAGAGGUUCGAUUCUCAAAUCUUCAAUUUUCUUUUUAUGUGUUCAAGUCAUUUUUAUUUGUUAAAUGAUUCCAGCUACUACUUGGGUCUAGUAUUUCCUUGGUGUAUAUAUCAUGCACUUCUCAGUAGAAUGCCCAUAGACAUGGAGAAACAAUUUUUUAUUUAUUUGCAAUGCCUAAUAUAAAUUAAUAAGCACCUAAUUUUUUGUUUCAGCUAUGAAUGGUAUUUUUCUCUAGAUCAUAAGUACGUUGGUUGAAUUUUAAAAAAUUUAUACCAUUUCAGCGACUAAUUAAUAUCAUGCAAUAGAAAAACAAAGUUGAAAUUUGGGAUAAUAAAUAUCAUUAAAGUACAAAGAAAGUAACUUAUUGGGAGCAAAUUCUUCACAACCUGGCAUUCGCCUUUAGAUUAAAUAAUUUAUUAAUAAUCUCCUCUUUCUUUCUAAACUUAUACCGCUGUUUAUGAAAGUUUCUAAAAACCAAAGCCCAAAGCCUAGACUAUAAAAAGGAAAUAAUCACUUGGAGAGGGGUUGUUUGUUUUUCUUGAGAGCCUAAUAAAUGCAACGACAUAGACAGAAAGAGGCGGAAGAGUUGAGUCGGAGGAUCAAGAAACACAACCAUUCUUCUCUUUCAUUAGGGUUUUUGGCUGACUCUAAGGCCGUCUUACCUUCCUCUUAGAAUGAUGGCCUCUCGUUUCUAUACAUAUCCUUUCAUGCAUUUUCUGGCUCUCCCAUUCUCUUUUUCAAAGCUACGUCUUUCCUCAUAGACCCUGUUUGGUUUCUAAGAAAGUGGUCUAGGUCUCUUUCUUUUUCUUGAUUUAUCUUUUGGUUUACAAGAAUCAGCGACACAAUAAGACUGCCAUGAACGCAUGACGCAGCCACGUGGGAGAAGGCAGCAACCACUUUCGCAUUUUUACUAUGUAUCUCCAGAAACUCCUUUGUACAGCCCACACACGCGCUAAUGAAGCAGAUUCAGCAGAUUUUAAGAGGGGGAAUCUUGAAACCACACAACAUCAAGAGACUUGGCCGGAAGUGUGAUGAUGGGUGUUUCCGAAGAAGAGUUAUAAUUCGCCCACUGUUAAAUAUGGUCAUAGCCGUGAAGGGUCCCACGAGCCUUGAAUUUGUCACUACAUGCAAAAUAUAUGCAGAAGUGAUUGAAAAUGCAUGGCCACCUUUUCCUGCAUGUGAAUGUGUUGAGCUCUAUGGUGCAAUUACUAAUGGAAUUCUCAAUUUAGCUGAUAAGUAUUUUGAGAUGCAAAAGCAUGAUGCUGUCCGGGCAUCGGAAAUUUAUCAGAAAGCAGGAGAGCCAUCAAGCAUUCACUCGACAAGCAAGAGUAACACAUAGGCCACACCAUUCUCCAAAUAGACACAACAACAUACAUUCUUGAAGGCAAGUCCCUUUUUAAAAUUUUAUCUUAGUUUAAUUUUAAUUUAUUUAGUUAGUUUAGAUGUUUUUUUCAAAAUUAGUUUAAUUAAUUCUACAUGAUAAAGCUCUUAUUUUUCAUUUCGAUUUAGUUUAGUGUUGAUUUUUCUUUUAGUUUAAGUGUGUUUGCGAUUUUAAUUCAAUAGCUUAAUUAUUCUUAUUAGAUAAAGUUCAUAUAUAUAUAUAUAUAUAUAUAUAUAUAUAUAUUAUCCCAAAUUAGUUUAGUUUUAAUCUAUCUUUUAGUUUAAGUGUGUUAGUAAUUUUAAUUUAGUUGUUUAAAUAAUCAUGUGAGAUAAAGUUCAUGUUUUUAAUUCUAAUUAGUUUCAUCUUAAUUUAUUCUUUAGUUUAGAUUUGUUGUUGACAGUAAUUUACUAUUUUAAUUAAUCUUAUUAGAUAAAGUCUAAUUAAAAUUAGGUUAGUUUUAAUUUAUUCUAUAGUUUGAGUGUGUUUGCGAUUUUAAUUCAAUUGUUUAAUUAAUCCUCUUAGGUAAAGAUCUUGUUUUUAAUUCCGAUUUAGUUUAGUUUUAAUUUACUUAUUUAUUUAUUUUAGUUAAGAUGUGUUUGUAAUUUUAAUUCGACAAUUUAAUCGACCUUAUUAGAUAAAGUUGAUGUUUUUAAUUCCAAUUUAGUUUAAUUUUAAUUUAUUUUUUAGUUUAAAUGUGUCUGUGUGUUUAAUUGACCUUAUGCUAGCUCUUGAUUUGUUAUUCUCAAUUUAGGUGUUUUCUUGAAUCUUAGUCAUUAAUUCUUGGUGGAUAUCUCAUUAGUUUAUUUUAUCUAAGUCUUAAUAAUUUAUUAUUUCGAUAGUCUCUUGUCAAAUUUACUUUUCAGAGGCCAUCGGAAAAUAGUGAAGAUUGACCUCCAUUCUCACCACUUUAGUUUGUUUGGUUGUCAAAAUUUUUACUUUGUGAUUUUGUUUGCUUUUAUUUUGCUUGUUUCUUAUGUUUUGAUUGUUUUCAAAUUAAUUUCUUUUAUUUUAAAAUAAAAUAUUUUUCUCAAAAGAUCCAUUUGAAAAUUCUAUUUUAAAAAUCAUUCAUUUAGACUCCUUAGAAUCAAAAUCUCAUUUUUUAAUAAUAUGUAACCAUGUCUUGAUCGGUUUGUAUCUUUCACAGUUUUCAAUCAAAAUUCCGAUUUGGAAUGGAAUAUGAAUCCGAGCUUGUGGUCCCAAACAAAUGGGAUAAUUCUGGUCUAGAUUUGUGUAUAUCAAUUGAGGAAUUGGUGGAACCCCUACAUAAGAAAAUUCUUCAAAACUCAUCUUUGCAGCCACCUUUGCUAUUUCAUGAAAUCAUGUAUAUUUAUUAUUUAGGAAUUAUAUACAAGAUGUAUGUGAUAAUUGAUGAUUUCGUAUACUUUGAUCAUUUUUGCUAGGCUAAUUAGAUAACAAGCACAUUAGGAUUUUUUUUAUUUUAUUAUCUAACCCCUCAUGUCUUGUAGAAGCAUGUUACAAGUCAUCUAUCCUAAUAUAUAUUUUAUUAUAUAUUAGUUUUUUUUUUCUUUUUUUAAUCCUAUCUAUGUUGUUGAUAUUAAUGCAUUGAAUUUGAUGCUACCUAAAACAAAAUUAUAUUUCAUGUCCUCUAUUAUAAGUGGACAAUCAUUCCUUAUUUUAGAUUUUAGAUAAAGAACGAAUAAUGAAGAUUGGAGUUGUAAGAAAUUAGGAGAUCCUAAUUUUAAAUAUGUAACAAAGUUCUAUAAUCACUCCAGUACGUUUAAAAUUUGUAUUUCUUUCUAAUAUGGGAGCAAACUUUUUCCUUCUUUCUUAUAAUUUUCAUUUGGGAAUGAUUUAAAAAUAAAUAAAUAAAGGCCCUUCUAAAUAUUAAAAAAACACUCUCUUAUAAAAAUUAAUUAGGUGGAUGGUAAGGUCAAAUUCGGGAUAGCUUCAUAUUUUUUGCUUUAACUGAAAAUUAAAAUCAAAAUUAAAGUAAGAAUUUUUAAGAUGUUGUAAAAGUUUUAUUAAACAUGAAAGAACUUAUUGUGUAAACAAAAAUAGAACUAUAGAAUUUUUAUAAGAAAUAACAUUUUUAUGACUUCUAUAUGAAACCUUUUUUAAAAGUGAUAAGUUUUUUUUUUUAAAUAAUUAAAUAGGUAUAAAAACUUUUAUUCAACUUAAUUUUUUUUAACGGUUAAAAGUCAAUUCAAAUAAAAUUUAAAUAUAUUUGAAAAUCAUUUUUAAAAAUAAAAAAAAAAAACCACUUUUUUUUUAAUUUACAUUUAAUUCAUGAAAUUUCAUUUAUUGUUAUUUAUUUUCGGGAUUUAAUUCUUUGCAAUUGUUUUUGAGUGUUUAUAAAGUAUAAUUAGGUUAUGCCCAAAUUUAUUCCUUUAACUCUAUCCAUUAGAUAUAAGUAGCGUGAAAUUUUGGCCCAUCUCCACCUUUCUUCACUUCUGACAUUGUCAUGCACUACUUCAUCAACUCCAAACACAACCGCUGAGGAUCGAAGAAAAUGAGACAAUGGUCAAUAAAAUGAAAGUUUAAUCAUUUAAUCUUUUUUAGCACACCCCUCAUAACUGUCAGUGAUUUCCUGCCAACUUAACAUAUUGACAUGGACUUGGAGAGUUCGGUCAAUUGCAGCAGCUUGGUUAAUUGUAAGUGUCUUUUCUCUAAACCAUAAAUUCCUACGUUUUAAUUUACAAAAGCCAGUGAUUUUUUUUUACUUAAGGAAGCAGGAAAGGGUUUAAAAUAAGAGUUGAAAAGUAUGCCAAUUAUUUUAACUUUAAGAAAAAACGUUUAUUUUAAUUUAAAAUAAGUAAAUCAAAAGGAAUUGAUUUUAUCUCAAUUGUAUAAGAUUUUAUAAAAAUUAUCUUAUUUGCAAAAUAUUUUCAGAUGUAAAAGUAAAAAAUUAAACAAAUCAUUUGAUGAUCAUAGUCUAAUUUUAAAUUAUUAGAAUAAGUCAAUCCUCUAAACUAUAUCAUUUAUAAUUUUUUUGAUUAUUAAUAUGAUACGUAACCUUCCACGGAAUUGGAAUAAAAUAUGGAUAAUUAAAAAAUGUCAACUAUCCCAUUUCAAACUUUUCUAAUAUAGCAUGAUAUUUUAACAUGAUGAAUGAAAUGGGAAUGACCAAAAAUUGUAAAAUCAAAGAUAUAUCUAUUGUGGACAUGGCAUUCGGAGGCUUCUUAACAUUGUAUUGGUCUACUUAAUGAGUUGAAACAGGAACACAACACCAAAUUCUCUUUUUAUAAUCAAAGACUUCCAUGGAAAAUUCCACCAUAUCAUAUCUCAAAGAUUAGUCAAAUUCCAUUAUCUUUAUAGACUUUUAACAAUCCAAGAAAUUGACAUUAAUAAUCCCAUACACAAUAUUCUACAACUUUACAUUAUCUUGAUUGAAGAUAAUCAUAUUAUUUCAUUAACAAUUCAAGAAAUUCCAUUAUCAAUCAAAAAAUAAAUCAUGAAAGCUAAAUAAUACAAAUAUUCAAUGAAAUCUUUGGCGUGUUAUUUCUUUACAGCUUCAACAUGGUGGCAUGUCCGACGGAGGAGGCAGCAUUUGAGCUUCCGGGUGUUUACCAUUUUUCAUUAUGAACGCAGUUUCCAUGCCCCAAGUCAGAUGGCGUUCUACAUGGCAGUGCAUGAACCACACUCCUGCAACAGAGAAAAUAUACCAACAUUACACCUAACUUAAUUGUAAUAUUAAGAAAAAUUAUUUCCUUGGUAUGCAGGUUAGCAGUUUCAAGGGUUUUUAUUUUUUAUUUUUAAUAGACGACAUGAGUGCUUGGAACAUACCAGGGUUGGAUGCCUCAAAUCUGAUUGCAACCCAACCAUUCGAAGGAACGGAGAUGGUAUUCUGAAAGGGAGGAUCCACCAAAUUAUAGCGUAAAGGGUCCUUAUUUCCAUCGAAAUUCCCAAAUCCCCAUCCAACAACAUAGAAACUGUAUCCAUGGAGAUGCAUGGGGUGGUGUGUUGCUGCAAGCACGUUUGUCCCUUGAAAAACAAUCUCCACUGUGGAGUUAUACUCGAGCACCCUUACUUCUGUUCCGCUGCUUGGCAACUGAUAGAUUAAUGGAAGAUAAUCAGCUGUAAAAUCGAACACCAGUGGUAGAUCGCUAGGAAAUUUAUCUCCAUAAACACCACUGAUGUUAUAAUAGUAAGCUUGUAGUAUGUCAACUGUAGGGGUAUCGAAGCUUAUGUUGUUUAUACUUGAGGAGAACCGCGUCCCAUUGGCCCCUGCACAUGAAUUAUUGACGCAUGGGUACGAGUUUACAGAAACAGUGUAAAUCAGGUUAGUGCUUGUGCUCAAUGGGACAUUGCAAGGAUGUUCCGCAUCUACUAAGCUUCGAAGGCCGGCCAUGACCUGAACCGACGCAUUUGUGUCAUUGUAUGCAGGAAGAAGAGGGAAGGAUGGAGGCGAAGAUGGAGUGUAGUAUCCGUUGUACUGUACAAUAGCUGUGGUGGUUGUGUUAUCAUAAAAAUCUUGAUAUUUCGGGGCAACAGAAUAAGUUAUAGCUGCCAUGUAAUAGUGAUCCGGGCGUUGGUUAGCUUCUAGUAAGACAUCGUAGGUUUGGCCAGGAAAUAUUGUGAUAAAAUCUCGUGUCAAUGGUUUCGUGUAGCUACCAUCUGUUCCAACCACUGUCAUUUUAUGCUUGGCAAUGGAGAAGAAGAGAGCCUCUUGUAAGGCAGCAUUGAUUAUGCGAAGUAGAUAGGUCUUUCCAUGAUCCACUGUUAGCUUGAAUGUGUCUGCAAUUAGAAAGGGAAAGUUGUAUACUUAUGACUAGCCAAAAAAAAAACAAAAAGUUUCCAUGAGGAUCCACCAAUUAUGAAGUGAUUGAUUGAUUAGGUGUGUAAAUUUGGCUGCAUAGUUCAAAAUUAUAUUUGGACUAGCCUUUUUUUUGUGUGUUAAAUCAUGGCUCUACCAUCCUUAUAGCUAUAUUCCUCUUUCUUAGCAUUAACCUUUAAAUAUGUUGAUGUUAAUAAGAAAAAGUACUAGGGUUAACAUACAAGAAAAUGAAAUCAUGUACAAUUUUAAAACGGGAAGUUAAACUUUGUACCUGAUUUUGAGCAUGGAUAUAGAUCACCGGGUUGUCCAUUUAUCAAUAAAGCAUCAGAGGGGUCAGGGUCACCUCCGGUUGCAAGCCCUUCAUCUCGAACCGCAUUCACAUCAUUCUUCCACCAUUCUCCUGCAUUUCAACAACUUCAAUAAUUUUAGAUUUUGCUUUGUUGUUUAAUUCUUAAUAUGUAAAUUAACCUUUAAAAGUAACAACACUUAUACCUAAUAUGAUGGGGACCUCUCUGUCAGGCUUGUGAAAAGGAUACUUGGUUCCAUUCUUGGGAUAGAUGAUUAUAGCUCCAUGAACAGUGGCUCGGGUCCAGUCACUGUGAGCAUGCCACCAUAGAGUGCCUUCUUCAGUGGAAAGGAUGAUCUUCUGGGUAAACUUUGACCCUGGCUGAAUUGGGCAUUGUGUGAUAUACUCAGGACCAUCUGUCCAUGGAUAUCUAGGCAUGGUCACCCCAUGCCUGCGAAACCAUAACUAUACGUUAAAACUAGUACUAAUUUUCAAAGUAACAAAAGAUGGCAUGCAACAACAUAUUAUCAUAGUAACAAGAGGCAUCAACUGUAUUUCAAUGAAACUGAAGCAAAUAACCCUAAAGUAUUAUUUUAAAUUUGACUUUAUUUUCAAAGUAAUAUAUUGGAGCCCCCUCUUAGAAAUAAAAGAAUGUAUGCCAUGUUGGCAUGCUGCCACUGCUCUUUCUCUGAGACACGCAUAGGACCUACCAGUGAAUGGUAACGUUUUCGUUUCCCUUGUUAUAAACGUCGACAAUGAUCGUCUCUCCUUUCGUAGCAUAUAUGGUUGGUCCCGGAAAUUUUCCAUUUACUGUUAAGAUGUUCUUGGCACUACAAAGCCUUGUAUAUGAAGCUUCCCUCACCUGCAAUCAAUUAAAAGUUAACCAUGCAACCUCAUCCCAAAAGAAAUAUUACAUGCAUGAAUAGUUGCAUCGAUCCAUUCACGUAAGUGUAUAACCAAUUAGAAAUUGAUAGCAUGCAUGAACGACUCAAUGACACCAAGGUAAUAGAUCAUACGGUAUGAAAUGAGAGCCAUACUACUCCUUAAAUAUCAUGAUUAGAAGGUGGCGUUAAGGCCAGAAUCAUAUAUAGUAUUUACCACAAAAGUAAGCCGACGGGUUGAAGCUUGGCAAUGGAUGCCACCACCAAAAACUAGAAACGCUAAAAUUUGCAGGAGGAAAACCUUCAUGAUCAGCCACAUUUUCCUUGGAAUAAAAGCCUCUUCUCUUCUCUUGCCCUAAACACAACUCCUUCAAUUCUCUUACUACUUUUGAUGUAUUUCUUUCACAUGUGAUUCAUUAUAUAGGCAUGGUAAUUCUCUCGGGAUACAAUACUUCCUCUCCACGUGUCAAUAUAAGAGGAAGUGAUUUGAAUGUGUAUUGGUUUUUAAUGUUCUUUCAGGACGACUUCAAAAUAAUUAAUUAUGAUAUUUCUUACAAGUUACCUACGCGUUCUUUUAGAAUAAAUUUAAAAUAUUCUUUCACAAGUCUUUUAUUGAUUAUUUCAACAAAUGUUAAUUAAUUAAAUAUAUGUAGGAUGCUUUUAAAACUUUGACCUCCCUAUGAGUAGCCUUCUGAAGAUCGUUGGUGGCAAAGUUGUUUUCGUAUAGUUAAUACAAUUUGUCAUCGUCGUUGUUUUCGUUUGAAUGGGACAAAGUUGUUUCCAAUUUUUUUUAAAACUUGGGAAUUGAGAUUAUAAAAGACAAAGUUGUUAAUACAACUUCAGAAUCGAUGAUAAACUAAUUCGGUAUUUCAGAAUUUUCCAUAAAAAAACACAAAAAUAUAUUUUGUAAAAAGUUGAAAAUAGGAUACAAACAACCCCUUGUAGUAUUUUUUUUUUUCUCAACAAAAACCAAUUUAAUAACAAUAAUAAUAAAUAAUUAUAGAUUUAAAAGAUAAUCUGAAAUUUCUUUCAAUAUAUAAGCCUUGUACGUGAUGUUGGUUGACUAUUAUGAUAGUAAAUUCGGGAGGAUGCUUGCAUGUAAAAAUUUUAUUUUAUUUUAUUUUUAAUCAUGGAGCACAUUUUGAUAGAUUCUGAUUUAUAAUACUGCAUCAAUGGUCAUGAACAUUGCAAUCAUGAUUUUUUUUGAGAUGUUUAAAUGGACGUGAAAGAUAAGAAAUAGAUUUUCUAUUAAGAUAUUUGAAUGGAGAUGAAAGCAUGGGUAUAGGUUUGUACUAAGGAAAUGAACAUAUGAUUAAAAUAAACCUGAUACAGUUAGUCUAUAAGAAUGGAUCCUGUUUCUAACCUUUUAACACACAAAUUUGGAAACCUAAACCUCUGGAUUGUUUCUUUCCUAUAAUGGAAUCCUAUAUUCCUUCUCAAAGCAGCGCUGACUUUUCCCUUCCUACCAAAUACGAAGAGAAAAUCUUGACUAAUCUUGAUAAAGUUUUAAAAGUAUUCUACAUAUGUUUUAAAUUUAUUCUAAAAUAAUGUGUUUGAUUAAUUUCUUGGUCAAUUCUCAAAGUCAAACUUGUAUUUUGAAUUAGAAAAUUCAAGAGAUUCUAAGAAACUCAUCUUCUAGGAUACACAACCUGAUUGAAGCUGAGCUGUGAGAAAUUUUCACAAUUGUUAGCAUUCUUCAGGCAUUUGGUUUAUUUAAAUUUUGGUAAGUAAUCAAAUAUCAUACACAACCUGCUCUUUGAAGUGGUCCUGGAAGAACAUUCAAAACCAAUACACAUUCAAAUUACUUCGCUUAUAUUGAUACGCGGCGAGGAAUUGUUGAUACCCAAGCCACAUGUGAUCUGAUUUAAUGUAGCUGCCACAAAGUUGCUACUUUCAUUCUCAGACAGUCUGAAGCAAUUAGAAAAUGUGAAUCGGAGGCCCCCACAUUCCUUGGAUCUGUAGACACUUGAUGGACACAAAAUGUUUUCCAUAACUGUGCAAUCAUGGGCAUCUAUUUCUUCUAUACUUGAUGGAAGCUCUGGUAAUGAUUGAAGCCUCUUGCAAUAACCCAACCUAAGGCCUUUGAGCUGUGAAAGUUGAUUGAGGCUUGCAGGUAGAUUAACAAAAUUGUUUCUGCUCAGAUCUAAAUAUUCCAAUGAGCACAGAGAGCUAAAGUCAUUGGGAAUUGGUCCUUCCAAUAUGCGGCAAUCACUUAGAUUUAACUUUCUUAGGGAUCUUAAACCAAAGAAAGAUGCAGUUGCAAACGCCUAGAGCGUGGAAUUUCUGCAGGCAACAACUGGAAAGAGAGGAGCAAAUUCCUUGGCUUGGAUUCUAGUCCUUUACAUCCCUCAAAUGAUAAUACUUCAAGGUUUUCUGAAAGAGAAAUAGAGGGCGGCAGCUCUUUUACAGAGUUCCAGCUGCUCCGAGCUUCUCUAAACCUUGUAGGCUCCCCGAACCUCUGGCAAAUUGUCUAGUUUUGAGCAACCAGAUGGAAUAAGAGUUUGAAGAGAUUUCAACUUACAAAUGCUAUGUGGAAGAAUUGCAAGGCUUUUGCAUUCUCUCAGAUUCAACAGAACAAGUCCACUUAGAUGUUGGAUAGGUGAAGUUAGCUCUUUUAGAGCAGUUCCAUCUAAGAAAAGUUCCAACAAACUCCCCAUAUUUUCCAAGACUUCUGGAAGCUCUUUUGAGUUUUAAGCAAUCUGAGAGAAUAAGAAUUUCAAGGGAUCUCAACCUAUAAAUACAGCUUGGUAAUGACUCAGGGUUUUGACAGUUCCUCAGAUUUAAUAAAACAGGUCCAGUCAGAUAUUCAAUCGACAAGGGCAAUCCUUUUACUGCAGUGCCCUCCAAGGAAAGCUCUGAUAAAUGUUUCAUGCACCCUUGGACCUCUGGAAACUUCUUGAGUUUCGAGCACCCGGAGAGAGUAAGAAUUUUGAAGAGAUUCCAUACAGAUGCUUCUUAGAAAACUCUUAAGAUUCUCGCAGCCUUCUAAAUUAAGGAAAACAAGCUUGUUUAGAUCUCCAGUGGAUGGGUGAACCUUGGACAAACUUGUACAACCUUCAAGAAUUAGUCUCCUAAGGUUUGGGGCCCCCGAGAAGUCUGGGGUUUCAAUCAGGUGUUGGGAGUAGCUAAGUUUUACGAAUUUCAAUUGCUGAUACAUCUGUCAAAAACAAAACAGAAAAAAUGAUUAUAAUUCGUUUAAAGUGAAAGACGAAACUUGCAAAGAUUAUAAUCAUAUACCUUGAGUCCUUUCCAAAGUUGUUCAACUCGACUGUAACUCAUAUUUAGCUCGACAAGCUGCUCAGGAUGAAAAUUUAAUGGGAGGGAUUUCAGAGGGUAUCCAUGCCAAUAUAGACAUCUUAAGUUGUUCGAUAGAGAUUUGAAGUCUCCAGAAAGAAGCAAUUUACAGUCUUUGAAUUGAUUGAGCUUAUUCAUCCUUGUGCAAGCAUCAGCCAGCACAUAACUGUUUCCAAGAAAAAUAUUCAAAGCUUCCACAUAGCCGCACGUUACAGACUUUGAGCAAUCUUAAUUUGUUCAUCUUCAUGAAGGCAUCAAAACUGAAGUGUAGUUCCUUUGAUGCUGACAAGUCAAGGACUAUGCCUUCAACUACUUCAGUUCCUUGCAAUUAACCAGGAACAGAGUAUGGAUUGGAAAUUAAAAUCACAAAAUUCUAAAAGGAAAAGCACAGAAAGCAUCAAACUAAUGACUUGUUUUCUUGUUUUUUUAGGCAGUGUUCUAGGAAGCAAGUAUGAAGAUAAAAGAAAAUGCAUCUACUAAGACAGAAACUCAGGGAAAAGUUAGCAAAGGAUUCAAAUCAAAUCAUUCCCCCAGCUUUAUAUCUGCCUUUGCAUACAUAAAUAUGCAAUACCUUAUUAAAAUUGUACAUAUAUGUGAGUUUCUCAAAUAAGUUGAAAUUAUUCAAACUUCCUCUUCACCUAUAGAGCUUAUAUAUACAAAAAGGGAACACACACACAAAGUUCAUGUAUUUAGGUCUUACUAUGUUUCUAGUUAAUGCAUCACUAACAUCUUCAUGAAUCCACAAUCUGCUGUGUUUUCCAGGAUAUUUAAGAGAUUCUUGCCAAACAAUUUCCCAACCCAUUUCUUGUAACAAAUCAUGCAUGCACAACUUAUUAUCUGAAACAAUUAUGAGUGACUUAUCAACGAGAACCCUUAUUCCAAUAUCCGGAAAGAAACCACAACUCUCUAGUAUUUCUGUGACAAAAUCUUUGUCCUCCCAUUUUCAAAAGCAUGCAAUAUCGAGAAAUAUAUCUCUUUGUCAUCUAAUCCAUCAAAACCCAUUUUAAGCACGUUCUGAAUUUCCAUGUUGCUAAUUCUUUUUAGUUUGUCCAAUUCACUUUUCCAUUCAAGUAUGCUCUUGCUAUACAAAAAAGCACCUAAGACUUCAAGAGCUAAGGGAAGACCCUUACUAUAAUGUAUUACAUCAUAGCAUAGCUGCAUAUAAUCUUCUCCAGGGUGGUUAUGUUUAAAGGCAUACUGACGAAAGAGUUGAAAAGCUUCACUAUCCUCUAAUCCCCUAACUUCAUAAAUUGCACUGACUCCAUGUGUAACAAGCAAAUGCUUUUCUCUGCUUGUUAUAAUAAUUCUACUUCCUGAACCAAACCAAUCAUGGUUUCCUGCUUAAUAUUCUAACUGUUCCAAGUUAUCCACAUCAUCAAGAACAAUAAGAACCUUCUUAGAGUGGAGCCUAUCCUUUACAAAAUUGAUUCUUGUAUUGGAAAUUCCUACAUUUGGAUUUCCAUCCUUCAAUGUCUUUGAGAGAAGUUCCACUUGUAAAUGAUCUAGAACACAUUUUUGUGAGCCUUCUCUAACACUUGUAAAUGAUCCAAUAAUUGGUUCAAACAGUUCAAAAUUGGUCCAAUAAAUAUACCCUUCAAAAGGAGAAAUUGAACCAGAAAUGUCGCUUGGUGGUUGGAUCAAUUAGACCAACUGAUUUGUUUCAAUUUUCAAAAAAUAUUGCUUUAACAUGUAUGAUAAUCAAAAUAUAGGAAAAAAAACUAUUUACUAAGAAAUGAGAUUAUUAUAACAAAAUAGAAAAUGUAAUCUAUUUUAAUGAUAUGAUGACUUGUAACUAGAUGAAACUUUGACCAGCAAAGAAAAACAAACAAAUCUUGAGGAAUUAGAAAAUAUUAUCUUUUAUAUUAAACUUAUCUUUGUGUAAAAGCUCUCUACAAUUAACUAUGGGUUUUCAUAAAGCUUUAUUUAGGCUAUGUUACAUUCUUGGAAAUUAAAAAAAAAAAAAUGUAAGAAAUUAAUAAAUUAUUUUUUUCAUUAAUAUAAAUUAAAUAAUUAAAAUACCUAAAUUUUUCAAAAUUGUUAAUCAUGGUAGUGGGCCUUUGAUCAGCCAAAGAUAGCCCAUGCAUCAUUUGCCAAAAUUGUUAAUCAUAGUAGUGGGCCUUUGAUCAGCCAAAGAUAGCCCAUGCAUCAUUUGCCAAAGUGAAGCACAACAACCUUAUAAUAGGGAUGUCACAUAGUAAUUCAUUAUUCAUUAUUUUGUUUUCCCUUUUCAAUGUGGAUUUUCUUAAAGCUAUUAAAAAAUCACAUAAUAUCAAGAUUUGAGCAUGGGUCUUUCACAAUAUCUUUUAUAUACUAAUAAUUAUAAAUUAAUUAAAAUGAAAGAAUUAUAAAUAAGUUAAUUUUAAUUAUCUUAUUAUGUCUCUUAUACAAUGAUUUAAUAUAGGACAAAUAUAAAUUUAUAAAUAAAAUUAUUAACAUUUUCAAAUAAAAAAUAUAAAUAUAUAUCAAUAUAUUUUUUAUAUCCUUCAAUAUAUCUAAACUUAAUGCAUUAUCAUUUUAGUAUUAAUGUUUCCCAAUUCGGUAUAUUAUUAUCUAAUAUUACAAAUUUUUUAUACAUUUAUCAAUUUUUCUUAAAACAAUAUCAAUAUAUACAUCAUUAUUUUUCUAUCAUUUUUUGAGUUAUUUCCAACAUUUCAUGAGGUUUUAUCGAUUUCCAUCUCAUAUAUAUAUAUAUAUUUCAGAAUUUUCAUUGAUAUUUGUUUAUAUAUCUAUAAACUAGAACUAAUGAUAUAUCAGUAAAAAUCAAUAUUUUCAUUCUUAUUUAACAUAAGAAAGAAAAUUAUUCAAAUGGUGCAUAAAUUAAUGUGAUCUCCUGAUGAGAAUGACAACAACAACCAUGAGUCAUAGUUAGUGUAUGUGUGUGGUAAAUUAACUUAGUGUUUGAUAAAAUAAUUAUUUAUCAUCAUUUAAAAUUUAAAAAUAAAUUUAAAUAUUAAAUCAAAAUAAUUAACUUAUUCUAAAUACUAAAUUUUUUUAUUCUCUUUGUUCAUAUUUGGUGAUAACCAUGCUUUAUUUUUAGAAUUCUUUUUUUUAGUAAAUAUUUUUUAGUUAUUUUGUAGCUUCACAAUAGUACUUUUUAAUAUAAAUGUUUAACAAGCUUAAGUUUAUGAAGAUAAUUAUUAAGAAAAAUUAAUGAGUUUAAAUAUAUCAAUAUAAUAACUUUAAAAAAAUUAAGUUGAUUUUACCAAAAUUAAAGUAAAAAUAAUUCAUCUUAAAAUUAAUUUCAAUAAUUCGGUAAUAAGGAUUAAGUUGUAUCAUAUACUCUCUUAAUUAAAAAAUGACAUAACUUCUUUCAACAACUUCUUCAUUCUACUUUUGAAAAAAUAAGAUAAAUUAAAUUAAAAAUUAAAGUGAUAUUUAUUUAUUUAUUUAUGUCUAAAAUUUAAUGUACUUGAAUUUGACUUAAAUCUAACUAUAACUUAAUAUCAUUAAGUGUCUAGACUCUUUUUUUUUAUUAGUGUCUAAAUAUUAUUAACCGUUAAAUUGUUUAUUUUUAUUAAUAUCAAAAUAUGUGAAGUGUUAAAUUUAUUUAUUUUUGGUUAAAAACAUUUACAAAAGUAAUUGUUAUAUUUCUUCUUAUUUUAAUUUGAAAAGUUAUAAUUUAACAAAAUAGUAAUUUAAUUAACACAUCUAAAAAUAUUAUAAUACAUUAUCAAAGUAAAAAUUUUAUAAUGAUAAUUAUGUAAUUAGUAAAUAAUAUUAUUGUACAAUCCAUUGUUCCAUGUCGUAUAUUAUAGCAUAGUUGUGCAUACCCAUCAGUGCAUAGACAUAUCUUUUGAUAAUCUAUCAUGAAUGUCUCGUGGACUCUACAGGAAGUAUGUAGCUAUUAUAGUAUAAAGAUGGCGUAGGAAGAGGCUCCAGGUUUAGUAGUUCACACUCAACCAUAGCAAUAGGGAAUAUAUUGCACAUUAUUUCCAUCUAAAAGAAAGAUAGAAAAGACCUUAUAAAUGGAACUUUUAGAUAAAAACUAAGGGUCACAAUGAGAUGACUCUAAGAAGGAUCACCUCAAUCUCAAUCUUAUGUCAUUUAUUUAUAUUAAAUGGGGUGAGAUAAGACAAAAUUAUAUUCGAACCUGUCCUGAACUUGGUCUGAGGCCAAGAAGGGUCUCUAAAAUAAUAAGCCUCAUUGUCAUUCUUAGGUACACAUCUAUACCAAUGAAAGUUUUUACAUCUAUUAAAAAAUUCAAUGUUCCCGAUGUUAAUUAACUUCACUAGACUACAUACACUUAAAAUGCAUGAAAAAAUGUCAAAAUUCUCAACCAAUUAAUGACAUAAACUAAAAUCAAGUUUAGUACAUCAUAACCCUAAAAUACCUCCAAACCCCAUUUCUUGUAAGACCCCCUUCUGAUUAGGUUGCAAAUGUUGAAGUACUUUAUACACUUAAUUAGGUGAACAACAAGUGUCAAGAUAAGACUUCAAGCCAUACAUAUACAUAUGCAUAUAUAUUUAAAAUUGAAAGAAAAUAUUAUCAAAUUUUAAAAAGAUAAAUUUCAAAUUUUUUUUUUACCUUUGAUACAUUUUUUGAGCUUGUACCCUUUUGUUUUACAUAUUCAUUGGAGCAUUUCUUUGACUUCCCAAAGAACUUUUUUUUUUCUAGGACUAAAAACUUUUUUCCUUAAUCGACUUGGGAUAUUAUAUACACCCACAACCUAACUUAGUAGUUUUAAAAUUAAUUGGUUAAAAAGAAUGAAAUAAUCCCAAAAUUUGUAAAUAUAACAAGAUUGUGUUUUUACUUGAAAAGUAGCCCAUUUUGACAUAAAUGUCUUUCGCCAUUUCAAUUAUUUACAUUUAAAUUUAAAAAAAAAGUUAUGACAUUUUUGUCAAAAGAAGGACACAAAAAGAUCAAAAGUUAAAUUUCCAGAUUUAGUUUUUUAAUAGAUAUUUUAAUAAAAUAAACCUUAGUUUUAUAUCACAUAAUGUUUCUUCUUUAUUGUUCUUUAAUCCCUUUUAUUUAUUUAUUUAUUUUAUCAUACACGACCUAUUAAAUUUGAAAAUUUUAACAAUUUCUUGCAGUGCAUGCCUACGUGCUUAUCACAUGAGCUUCUCCAUCUAUACUAGCUAGGGAUCCAUUUGAUAAUUUCUUUUAGUGUCCACAUGCUUAUCACAUGGACCUCUUCACUUCUAUUAAUAGGGGUCCAUUUGGUAUUUCAAAAUAGUUCAAGGGCUUUGCUUAAGAAAAGCUUAGAGACUAGUUCGAAACAAUGUUUUUAGAACCCAACUAGUUAUUGAAUAAAAAAAGUUAUUGAUUCAUUGUCUAGUGGUCAAAUUAAUGUUUGAACUGCAGUCAAAUUGGUGACAUCAUAAAUAUAUAAAUUAUAUAUUAAAAAAAAUUAUAAAAUUAUAAAACUUAUUUUUCAUCUUUGACAUUUCCAAACUUAAAUCAUGAAUAAAUAUAAAUAUAUUAAUAUUUUAAAUUUUAUAAAUAAAAUUUGUGUAACAUUCAUAUGUAAAGAAAUAUAUUUAAAUAGAAUAAAAUUCUUUUGUUCAUAAUUUAUUUUACUUAUAUUAUAUUAUUUAGUUGUAUUACAAAAUUUAAAAUAAUUAUGUUAAUUUAGGUUUAGUUUGCAUUUUUUAAAUUAUAAUCAUUAAUAACAAAGUGGUGAUAGCCUAAACAUGAUCUAAAGGUCCAUGGUUCAAACCCUUGGUUCCUCAUCAUUUUCCUGGUCUCAUUAGGUGGGCUAGGCUUGGUAUGCGAAGGGCUAACCUUCCACCCAUGAUCCAACCUUUUAGUUGAUGAAAAAAGAAGGCUAACCUAGAAUCGAUAGACCAUGGUUCAAAGUUGUGGUUGCGGUCACUAACUUGGAGGGUCUUGCGGCACAUUGGUCUUGACAUCUUAGCUUGAUAUUAGAUGAUAUGUAAAAUAAGAUAAAUAAAAAUUAUAAAAUUAUAAAAUAUUAUAAUAAAUAUUUAAAAAAUAAAUAUAAUUAAAUAAACUUAAAAUUUAAUAAAAUAAAAUAUUAUGAAAAUUAAAAUUGUUCAAUAAAUUUUUAAUAUUGAAAUUGAAAACAAAAACUCUUUAAUUACCAAACUCAAAUUAAAAAAUAAAAUAAAAUGUGAUGAUUUUUACCACACAUUAGCAUUUAAAAAUUGAAACAAUAAAAUAACAUAUAUUAUUGAUACUAUCAUUUAAAACAACAAAUAUAUUGUUGAUAAUGGCAUUUAAAACUAUAAAAUAGUGCAUUAGACCUGCAUUCAAAUCUUCAAUUCUCAAACACCACCAACCCACCCAUGAAUAGAGAAAGAGAAGAGAACCCUAGCAAAAGUAGAGAGCUUCAAUUCUCAAAUCUUCAAUUUUCUUUUUAUGUGUUCAAGUGAUUUUUAUUUGUUAAAUGAUUCCAGCUACUACUUGGGUCUAGUAUUUCCUUGGUGUAUAUAUCAUGCACUUCUCAGUAGAAAGCCCAUAGACUAAUAUAAAGGAGAAACAAGUUUUUAUUUAUUUGCAAUGCCUAAUAUAAAAUUUAAUAAGCACCUAAUUUUUUAUUUCAGCUAUGAAUGAUAUUUUUCUCUAGAUCAUAAGUACGUUGGUUGAAUUAAAAAAAAUUUAUACCAUUUCAGCCACUAAUUAAUAUCAUGCAAUAGAAAAACAAAAUUGAAAUUUGGGAUAAUAAAUAUCAUUAAAGUACAAAGAAAGUAACUUAUUGGGAGCAAAUUCUUCACAACCUGGCAUUCGCCUUUAGAUUGAAUAAUUUAUUAAUAAUCUCCUCUUUCUUUCUAAACUUCACCGCUGUUUAUGAAAGUUUCUAAAAACCAAAGCCCAAAGCCUAGACUAUAAAAAGGAAACAAUCACUUGGAGAGGGGUUGUUUGUUUUUCUUGGGAGCCUAAUAAAUGCAACGGCAUAGACAGAAAGAGGCGGAAGAGUUGAGUCGGAGGAUCAAGAAACACAACCAUUCUUCUCUUUCAUUUCUAUACAUAUCCUUCCAUGCAUUCUCUGGCUCUCCCAUUCUCUUUUUCAAAGCUACAUCUUUCCUCAUAGACCCUGUUUGGUUUCUAAGAAAGUGGUCUAGGUCUCUUUCUUUUUCUUGAUUUAUCUUUGGUUUACAAGAAUCAGGAGUGAAGUAAAGUGGGCUCUUGAUUUAUGUUUGAUUUUUCUUAUUCAAACCUAUGUUUUGAUCUUUUCUCUCCAGCUCUUGUGGUCUAGGUCUAAUAUGCGUUGUGUUUUCUUUCUUUUUUCUUGGUUUUUGUUUGGUUUUCCAAGAAAGUGAAGGAAAAGGAACUCUUUACUCUCUUGGCAUAUUCCACUUAGGAUUGUCCUCCUACAUCCUUUGAUGCUUUAGUGUUUGGUCAUUAGUUGUUUUUAAGCCCUUAUUGAUGGUCCAUUAAGACAUUUUAAAGGGAUUAGGCGGAUCCCUAUCUUGAUUUUAGUGAUUUUUGAAUCUUAGUUUUAAUUGAUUUAUAACAUAUUUAGGCUUGUUUAGAACUUUUAAAAUUCAUAAUUUUGAAUGUGCCAAAUACCCCCUUCCAUCAAUUCCAACUGCAGCAACUGCCAUUCAAAGAUGCUAGCCACAUAUUAAACCCAUGCAUGAACCCCCAGCCAGAUACCCAUUUUUUCCUCCAUCCAUCAACCACCUUCUUACUCCCACCACCGCCACUGCUCACCAUUCCCACUUCUCCUCCACCACCAUGGCCACCACCGCUUCUGGCUCUGUCUUCCUCCUUCUGCUCCUUGCUGCCAGCGCUGCCGUUGAUGGCAGAGUCAUAAGCAACCGCACAUCGUCCACCGGCCUAGUCUCUGACGGCGUCCACGACCACCGCAAUGGUUUGCCUUAUCUUCUUCUCAGGUCUUUUUCGGCCGUUUCAGCCUCGGAUUCAUGUGAUCAUAUAGUAAACCCAAAUGGAAAUCAAACCUUCACAACCCGCUCACCUUUCCGAUGCCCGUGAUGAUCAAGUCUGGCACUCGAAAGAGAGAGGACAACUGGGUCAUCUCCCUCUUCGUGAUCCUCCACAUUGGGCCCUUCUUGCAUCGCCUUGGAUUUGAAACUGACCGGUUUAGAACCAUAACUCCUGCACGCGAGAGAGAUCACCAUAAGCCAUGCAAGGGAGCAUGCCAGUCACGUUCUCUAACUGCCAUGCAUCCGGUGAAGCGGUUUUGCGAGGAGAAGCCUCCAGAAGAGAAUCUUUUCGGUUGCGGGAAUAUAAAGAUCACGCCAGAAAGAAUAAAGAGGGCUGUUCUAGAGACUUCGGAGGAGGAGAGAGGAAAGGAAAACUGACAUAGAGAGUCUCUGUUUCUGGGCGUUUUUUGGAAGAGAGUUCAAAGAUCUUCUUUCUGUAGAAGAUCAUCACAUGCACCGAUUCAAAGAAUUUAGAGAACUUCUCGUUAGAGUCAAGGUUCUCAUCAUUCUAGACCUUCAUGAACAUCUUCUUCACGGCGGCAUUGGCAUCCCGAUUCCUGAACCUCCAUGAUUGAUUGAUCUCCAUCAUCUUCACGAUCGUGCACAAGUUCUGAAAGUAGAGACGUGAAUCUCUUCAUCGUCUUCACUCUCUAUACUUGUAUCUCGAAGGUUAUCCCGGUUUCUAUGUGCAUCGGAUCUCCAUAGGAAAAAUUAGAGAAUGAAUAGAGGUUGACUGUCAGCCCCUUAGACCCUUGACUUAACCAUGGAGGAAUAGGCCUCAUGGGUAGGCCUUGCACCCAUGAAAGCCUAGGAUGAAAGCAGGGAAAUCCUGGAGGUUUGGUGGUUCAAACUCUAGGAGGCAUGUGAGGAGGCCGCAGGUGAGCCAGACAAGCACUGCGCGCGCAUCGCGGGCGAGGCAGACACGCACCACGCGCACACAGUGGGCAAGCCAGACGCGCACCGCGCGCGCACAGUGGGCGAGCUAGACGCGCACCGCAUGCACACCACAGGCGAGCCAGACAUGCACCGCGUGUGCACCAGAUGGGCAUCGCGCGCGCAUCUGACUUAGGUGGUGCAGAUGAAGGCUGAGGGACUUGGAAUUUUAAUUUAUAAUUAAAAUUAUUAUUCCAUUAUGCCUUCUCAGACAUAUUGAUGUCUCCUCAAGAAACAAUGAAAAUGGCUCGUAUUGCUCUUUAAGGGGGGGGGUAGGUGACUCAAAGGAGGGAGCCACCAAGAGAAGCCUUGACCGCACCAAGGGGGCACCAUGGCAUGGCCUUGGGCGUGCCUAAGACACACGACAUGACUCGAGCACGCACACAUGGGCUCCACGACAUGUGUGGUGUGCACCCCAUGGCCGCAACGGCACGGGGCCUGGUGCGGCCUGACCCCUCCCCGUGCAGGCACGAGGGAACCUAAGCCUUGUGCGGUAAGCCAGUUAAUGAAACCAUGGGCACAAUGCCAUGGUCUGAUGGCUCCAAUAGCUGACUCGCAUCAAGAUGCCUACGCAAAGCACAGGGUGCAAUGCCCUGUGCACCAAGAGGGAUCAGUCAUGGGCGCAAUGCCAUGGCUCGUUGCUUGGAAGCUGGGAAGCAAGCAACAAGCCCAAGCCAUGGGCACCUAGACAUGGCAUGGGUUCAUUCAUUAGUGUGGGGAAGGCACACUGAUGCACUAGACGCUUGGUCAAAUGGGUGGAGCACGUUGCCUGGCUUAGAGGGCCUUGAUCAAAGACAUGCUGAUGGGCACCUGGUCACAAGAGGCACCUUACGGGGGAGGGGUCAGCUUGUUAGGGGGACUCACCAGUAGCUUGGCGAGCAAGACCUGAGGAGAUGGCAGUGCAGCUAGCUAGUGGCAGCUAGCUCAGUGACCAAGUCAAGCCGUCAUUUGAACUGCAGUUGGCUGAGGGAUGAUGGCUGGUGCAAGUGGGUGGCAUGUGCAGGCCACUAUCUAGGUGGUGGGUGGUUAUGCAGGGCAGUUGAGGGCGGUUCUGGCCAGUUGCAUAACCACCAAAGUUGGCUUCAAGAUUUGAAUUGGAAAUUCAAAUUUGUAAUUGCAGCUUGAGUCUUUUAAAAGGGCUCCUGCAGCCUUCAAACAGGGAGAGAGAGUUUUGGGGAAAGGGUUCCUUCUCGUAUGCCUUGGGUGAGAGCAUUGUACUCUAGUUCAGGAAGCAAUUUUGUCUUGCAAGAGUGAUUAAUACAAGUUAGGAAAGGAUUCUCGUAACCUCAUGUGUCCCUGUUGCUUUGUUAUUUCUGUGUUCUACUCUGUUUUUCUAAACGUUAGGAUGGAAGGUUGGCUAAGGACUGGUCCUUAGCACCGCGCACUCGUGAAAAAUUCAGUGAGAUAUUCAGGGGUAUGACACUGACCAUGAUUACUAUAUCUAGAUAUAUGUUAUGGAAUAAUGGCAGUUGUAGUAAAUAAUACACAAUGGGUUACAGGAUAAUGUUGAUGCUUGUUGAUUUUUUUAAUAAAUACUACAUAUAGAAAAGUAGAUGUAUAACCAGCCAUAAGUGUUUUUAGUGGCUCUUGAUUACAAGUUAUUGUGCCUUGUUCAUAUGUAUUAUUUUUUUCUUCUACAUGUUUAGUGUUGUCAUUUUAGUUCCAAGUAUAAUAUUCGAUUCCUUAAUUCUAAUCUUUAUUGCCAAUAUUUUCACUUUAUUCAUGAUUUUUUUGAAUACAUGUUAGUUUAGGUUGGGUGUGGACAAUUUGGGCUACGCAUGAGUGUUGUUAGAAUUUGAUAUUUAGGAAACUAAAUGAUUAAAUGUGGAUUGCUUGGUGAAUUAUGAUUGAGAUUGAGUUAUUUUUUUCUCUUUUUAUUCAAAACUUCUUUUCAUCUAAAUAAGUCAUUGGAUAAUCACAUGAUAAUUGGCUUUGAAUAAAUUCUCCUCAUUUUGAUUCUUAGAAAUUUGAUUUGUCUUAAUUUUCUAAAAUAAUUCACACAUGUACAUUUACAUUUUUUAAUAAUCCAAAUUUAAAAAUAUACAUGAACCGUUUUCCUUUUUUGGAAAAUUGAUUUUAUACCUCAUUCAUAACAAGAUCAAUCUUAGUCUCUUUGAUAAUGGAUGGCUUUUGUAUUUAAAACCUAUCUUAGUCUCUUUUAAGUAGAAAAUUUCAAUUUCUAAAAAGAAUAAUGCUGCCCAUUUUAUUUGGUAUGCAACUUUGAAAGGUUUUAAAAUAUUUUUCCCUUAAUCUAGACUUCUUAAAUUUAAUUUUUGACAUAUUAAAUAUUAAGAAAAGAUUUCUGAAAUGAGAGAUAUAAUUUUUUUCUUUUUGACCUUGCUGCACCUAUGCUCCCCUAGAGCUGAAGGAUGUUUACUUAUUUUUAAAUGUGUCAUGAAUGUAACAUUGCCUUGUGAUUAUUAUUUUUUAUUAAAAAUAGACAUGUUAGCUAGUUGUACGAAUUUUUGUAUGAUUUUAGGACAUCUCCAAGUUAAUUAAAAAAAUAAGUUCUUGAGUAUUUUAACAAAAUGCCCUGUUCUGAACCUACUAAUAUCAUUAUGAAAUCUAGUACUAAAUGAGAGCUAAUUGAUAAAUUGGAUGAUAAAGUAGACAUAUAGAAGAUAUUCUUUGAAAAUUUUUGUAAUGAAAUUCAACUUCUAGAUAUUUGUUUUUGAUUUAUUAUAUCCCCUGUUUUGACCAUUUGCUGACUUUUUUUUUUUCUUUUUUUUUUUUUUUUUGUAAAAGAACUCAUUUGUAAAUAAAUUUGACAUUGAUUAUAUAUAAGUUUAGUUUGUAAUUCCUUUUUGAAUUCAUUACUAUUAUUUGUGAGUUAAUCUCAUUUCUAUGAAAAUGCUUUAAGAUGCUAAAACAGGUAUGCAAACCCUCUUUUCAUAAUUUAUUUAAAUUAAAGCUUAUGAUUGAACAUUGUCUAUUAGAGUUUGCUAGUUGUGUUGAGAUUUAUGACUUUAAAUUUGACUUGUUAUGGAAUAUGUGAUUGCUUAGAAUACAAUGUGAUGCUAUUGCUUGUUAUCUAACUUUUGUGUUUUUUGGAACCGCUCAAAUUAGGUAUGCCUUUCUUCAUAUAAUUGAUGAAUUGUAUUGAUGUGUUUUAUUUAGUUCAUAGUAUCCAUGAAUCAACCAAUUGAUCUUCGGAAUUAUUUCAAUUUACUUAGUAGAGACCUAGCUUUUAGGGCUUAGAGGGACGCUAUAGUUCUUCAUUGUACCUUCCUGAUAAGUAAUCUGAUACUCGAACUUAGACUCGGGUUUUCAAAGACAAGCAUUUCUAAAUAAAAAGGAGUCAUUUUCUAGGGUUUUUCUUUCUUAUUUUGUUUGUCAUUUUAAAAAAAUAAAACGAAAAUAAGUGGUGACUCCAUUAUUUAUAAAAUUGGUUUUUCACAAACAAAAAGUGAGUGUUGCCAUCGAGUGAGAAUGCAUGUGAAAAUGCGGGAUCACAAACGGUGAAGUAAAGUGGUUCUUGAUUUAUGUUUGACUUCUGUUUUUUAAACCUCCAUUUUGAUCUUUCCUCUUCGGUUCUGUUUGGUUUCCAAGAAAGUGGUCUAGGUCUAAUAUGGACCAUAGUUUCUUUCUUUUUCUUGGUUUUUGCUUGUGUUUUUCUUUUUCUUGGUAUAUCUUUGGUUUACAAGAAACAGGAGUGAAGUAAAGUAGGUUCUUUAUUUUUGUUUGGUACUUUGGUUUCUCGUUCUCAAACCUACGUUUUUAUCUUUCCUUUUAUGCUCUGUUUGGUUUCCAAGAAAGUGGUCUAGAUCUAAUAUGCACUGUGCUUUCUUUCUUUUUCUUGCUGUCUGUUUGGUUUACAAGAAGCAGGAAUGAAGUGCAGUGCAUUCUUGAUUUCUAUUUGGUUUCGAAUAAAGUGAAGGAAAAUGAUGUCUUGCUUGUUAUAUAAUCAUUGAUAAGACGCCCAGGGUAAGAACCUCAUAUUCCUAAAAACAUGCUUACCAAUGAUUUUGCUUGAGCUCUUAGAAAUAAUCUCAAAUAAUCUCACUUAAAGCUCUCAAAUAGUAAUCUAUGUCCACCAUGAUAAGACAUGAUGAAAUAAGCCCCACAAAAAUAGUAUUUCAGUGCCAUUAUUUGAACCCAAGAUGAGCCCCAUGGCUCUAUCGUUUGCCUUUCUCAAGCAAACCCUACAAAGUGAAGGCUUCUUUUCUAUUAUUUAACUGUGGAGUGAGGUAACCACAAGGGAGAACCAUCAAGUAGACGCUAUCUCUUUUGCUUUCACUCUUUAUCACUGCUUUAAGUCUAAUUAUGCCUUAGAAGUAGAAACUAUGCACUAACCAUUCUCAGGUCCCACAACCCACUAUUCAUAAGCAUCAGAGUGAUGCUGUGCAUGAAGAUACUUGUACAAGGGUUUUAUGUCAUGCAACUUUCGGUGAAUCCAAUAUGUUACGAACUCCACAAAAACAAUAUAUGCCAUGAUGUACACCAAGUAGGCAAACCAGCCAACUUCACUUAUUCUUGAAAAGCACUUUGUCCACCCAUUUUCGACUGCAUACUCUGAAAAUGUUGGGAGAGCAGCAAACCAGGGAAAACUCCUCAUGGAAGCUUUGACGUGCAAAACAAAAAUGCACUAUUGGAAUAACAUGUAAUUAAGAGCUCAAGAAGACAUGCCAUUCCCUAAUGAAACAACGCUAAGCACUAUUGGAAUAAGCACGCAUUUAAACAAAACUGACAUAGAGAGUCUCUGUUUCUGGGCGUUUUUUGGAAGAGAGUUCAAAGAUUUUCUUUCUGUAGAAGAUCAUCACAUGCACCGAUUCAAAGAAUUUAGAGAGCUUCUCAUUAGAGUCAAGGUUCUCGUCAUUCUAGACCUUUAUGAACAUCUUCUUCACGGCAGCAUUGGCAUCCCGAUUCCUGAACCUCCAUGAUUGAUUGAUCUCCAUCAUCUUCACGAUCUUCACGAUCGUGCACUAGUUCUGAAAGAAGAGACGUGAAUCUCUUCAUCGUCUUCACUCUCUAUACUUGUAUCUCGAAGGUUAUCCCGGUUUCUAUGUGCAUCGGAUCUCCAUAGAUGAACUCGGAUUUUGCAUUGAUCUGAAUCUCAAGCAUGCAUUAUUUCCAUAUUGUGCUGCCAAACUUGGUGUUUUUCUUCAUUUAUUCUUCACCACAACAGUUGGACAUAAAGGUUAGUCUCAAUGAAUCUUUACCAUUUGAAUUAGUUUAUUAAUGAUUUUUAAGUUAUUCAUUGAUGAAGUUAAGGCUAAUAGAUGAAAUUGGUUUGUUGAUUUUGAAACUCACGGCUGUUUGUGACAUGCUUUUAUCAAAAUUAGAGAAUGAAUAGAGGCUGACUAUGAUUACUAUAUCUAGAUAUAUGUUAUGGAAUAAUGGCAGUUGUAGUAAAUAAUACACAAUGGGUUACGGGAUAAUGUUGAUGCUUGUUGAUUUUUUUAAUAAAAGCUACAUAUAGAUAAGUAGAUGUAUAACCAGCCAUAAGUGUUUUUAGUGGCUCUUGAUGACAAGUUAUGAUGCCAUGUUCAUAUAUAUAUAUAUAUUAAUUUUUUCUUUUUUUAAUCCUAUCUAUGUUGUUGAUAUUAAUGCAUUGAAUUUGAUGUUACCUAAAACAAAAUUAUAUUCAUGUCCUCUAUUAUAAGUGGACAACCAUUCUUUAUGUUAGAUUUUAGAUAAAGAACGAAUAUUGAAGAUUGGAGUUGUAAGAAAUUAGGAGAUCCUAAUUUUAAAUAUGUAACAAAGUUCUAUAAUCACUUCAAUCCACAUUUAAAAAUUGUAUUUCUUUCUAAAAUGGGAUCAAACUUUUUCCUUCUUUCUUAUAAAUUUCAUUUGGGAAUGAUUUAAAAAUAAAUAAAUAAAAGCCCUUCUAAAUAUUAAAAAAACACUCUCUUAUAAAAUUUAAUUAGGUGGAUGGUUAGGUCAAAUUCGGGAUAGCUUCAUAUUUUUUGCUUUAACUGAAAAUUAAAAUCAAAAUUAAAGUAAUAAUUUUUAAGAUGUUGUAAAAGUUAUAUUAAACAUGAAAGAACUUAUUGUGUAAACAAAAAUAGAAUUAUAGAAUUCUUAUAAGAAAUAACAUUUUUAUGACUUCUAUAUGAAACUUUUUAAAAAAUUUAUCAGUUUUUCUUUUUAAAAAAUAAUUAAAUAGGUAUAAAAAACUUUUAUUCAACUUAAUUUUUUUUAACUCUUGAAAGUAAAUCCAAAUAAAAUUUAAAUAUAUUUGAAAAUCAUUUUCAAAAAUCCAAAAAAUCACCUAAAAAUAAUUUCAAAUUUUUUUUAUUUACAUUUAAAUACUAAGUGAUUCUUUUAAAAAUCAUUUGUAAUGUCAAAAUAUUUUUUUAUGGAUAAAAAUAUUACAAAUAAAAAACAUUUCAAUCACAAUUAAUUUAUUUUUAAUUCAUGAAAUUUCAUUUAUUGUUACUUAUUUUUUGGGAUUUAAUUCUUUACAAUUAUUUUUGAGUGUUUACAUAGAAUAAUUAGGUUAUGCCCAAAUUUAUUCCUUUAACUCUAUCCAUCAGAUAUAAGUAUCGUGAAAUUUUGGCCUGUCUCCACCUUUCUUCGCUUUUGACAUUGUCAUGCACUGCUUCCUCAACUCCAAACACAACCGCUGAGGAUCGAAGAAAAUGAGACAAUGGUCAAUGAAUAAUUUAUUAAUUUUUUUCUUAAUUUAAUAGCAUUGGAAUGUCAGUUGGAACAAACCAUUUGAUGAUCUUUUUCAUAAGUAUCCAUUUAGAUCAUAGUCUUUUUAAAAUAUUAGAAUAAAUCAAUUAGUCUAAGCUAUAUCAUUUAUAAUUUUUUUAUUAUUAAUAUGAUACCUAUCCUUUCACGGAAUUGAAAUAAAAUAUGAAUAAUUAAAAAAUGUCAACUAUCCAUGAUAUUUGAUACCAAACUUUUCUAAUACAACAUGAUAUCAUGUUGAAUGAAAUGGGAAUCACCAAAUGUUCUCAAAUCAAAGAUAUAUCUACAGGGGACACGUCAAAUUCUCUUUUUAUAAUCAAAGGCUUCCAAAAAAAUUCAACCAUAGCAUAUCUCAAAGAUUAGUCAAAUUCCAUUAUUUUUAUAGACUUCUAACAAUUCAAGAAAUUGACAUUAAUAAUCCCAAACACAAUAUUCUGCAACUUUACAUUAUUCUUUUUAUUGUAAUUGAAGAGGAAUACCAACUUAGUCAAAUAGAAAAUAAAUCAUGAAAGCUGAAUAAUACAAAUAUUCAGUGAAAUCUUUGGCAUGUUAUUUCUUUGCAGCUUCAACAUGGUGGCAUGUCGGAUGGAGGAGGCAGCAUUUGAGCUUCUGGGUGUUUACCAUUUUUCACUAUGAAUGCAGUUUCCAUGCCCCAAGUCACAUGGCGUUCUACAUGGCAAUGCAGGAACCACACUCCUGCAACAGAGAAAAUAUAUCGAGAUUACACCUAACUUAAUUGUAAUAUUAAAAAAAAAUUAUUUCAUUGGUAUGCAAGUUGGCAGUAUCAAGGGUUUUUUUCUUUAAUAGAGGACAUGAGUGCUUGCAACGUACCAGGGUUGGAUGCCUUGAAUCUGAUUGCAACCCAACCUUUCGAAGGAACAGAGAUGGUAUUCUGAAGGGGAGGAUCCACCAAAUUAUAGUGCAAAGGGUCCCUAUUUUCAUCGAAAUUCCUAAAUCCCCAUCCAACAACAUAGAAACUGUAUCCAUGGAGAUGCAUAGGGUGGUGUGUCUCUGCAAGCACGGCUGUCCCUUGAAGAACAAUCUCCACUGUGGAGUUAUACUCGAGCACCCUUACUUCUGUUCCACUGCUCGGCAACUGAUAGAUUAAUGGAAGAUAAUCAUAUGUAAAAUCGAACACUAGUGGUGGAAAGCUAGGAAAGUUAUUUCCAUAUACACCACUGAUGUUAUAAUAGUAAGCUUCCAGUAUGUCAACCGUAGGGGUAUGGAAGCUUAUGUUGUUUAUACUUGAGGAGAACCGCGUCCCAUUUGGCCCUGCACAUGAAUCAUUGACGCAUGGGUACGAGUUCAUAGAAAGAGUGUAAAACAACUUAGUGCUCGUGCUCAAUGGGACAUUGCAAGGAUGUUCCGCAUUUGCUAAGCUUCGGAGGCCGGCCAUGACCUGAACUGAUGCAUCUGUGUCAUUGUAUGCAGGAAGAUGAGGCAAAGAGGAGGUGAAGAUGGAGUGUAGUAUCCCCUAUAUUGUACAAUAGCUGUGGUGGUUGUGUUAUCAUAAAAGCCUUGAUAUUUCGGGGCAACAGAAUAAGUUAUAGCCGCCAUGUAAUAGUGAUUUGGGCGUUGGUUAGCUUCUAAUAAGACAUCAUAGGUUUGGCCAGGAAAUAUUGUGAUAUAAUCUCGUGUCAAUGGUUUCGUGUAGCUACCAUCUGUUCCAACCACUAUCAUUUUAUGCUUGGCUAUGGCGAAGAAGAGAGCCUCAUGCAAGGCAGCAUUGAUUAUGCGAAGUAGAUAGGUCUUUCCAUGAUCCACCGUUAGCUUGAAUGUGCCUGUAAUUAGAAAGGGAAAGUUGUAUACUUAUGACUAGCAAAAAGAAAAAGAAAAAUUUUCCAUGAGAAUCCACCAAUUAUG
rnacentral:lncRNA from 1 species